rnacentral:lncRNA from 1 species
UGAGGUGUAUGUAUGUGUUGAUCCAUGUUUACUUGUAUGGUAGUUUUUCCCCUCAUGUUGUUUUUGGGGUUUUAGAGCUUGUGAUGAGAUUGUGGUGUUGAUAUGUAUGUGCUGAAAACAGCCCCAUUUUGCAACUUGUGCACCUCCUCAUGUUUAGCUAUGUGAUACUUAUUCUAGUGAGAGUUGCAUAAAAUGUUGCACUAUUCACUAUGUUGGAUUCUAUGUAGUUUUUCCUUCCUAGUUUGAGCUCAGUUGCUCCAAGCAAGUGCAUGUGUUUUAUAUAUGGUUUUACGGUAGAAAGAUCCAGGAAUCCAAUGUUGAAAUCAUUUUUUCCAUUGGAGCAUUUUCUGGAAAUGACAUAUUUACAUUUCCUUCUAAGUUUGGAGCUUGGUUCCAUGAGUUGUGGUGAGCCUUUGUGUUUGUUUCUUGGUUGUGCUAGUAGAGGGUGACCCCCUCUACCUCAUGUUGGUUUCCUCUCAUGAUUAGGAUUCCAUAUGUGCAAGUUUUUCCCACUCAAAGUAGGCAUGUGACUGAAAUUCCAGAUUAGUGAAAAUCAAGUCUGAGAAUCUGUUUAUAUUUUCUUCUCGUGUAGAUGAGGUUGUGCUGGUCAUUGUGUUGUGAUCUAGCCCUAGCUUUCAACUAGAAAGUUGGACGGGAUAUGUUUGUAUAGCGCCCUGUAAAAUUUCAUGUCAUUUGGAUCCCUGUAGGUAUUGUUUUGGCUGCUGUCAAAAAGCUUCAGAGCAAAGAUAGAAAGUGAGAAUCUGGAAUUUUUCACUAAGUCCCUGAAAACUGAUGUUUUUGGGCAAGUUGCAGCCUUAUAACUUUCUGUGUUUAAUUCCUUUUUGUGUGUUUCUUGCUUGUGCUUGUAGUAUUCUUGGCUAGCUACAGCCACAUAUAUUAUUUGUCAUAGCUGGGUGGCUGUAGGUGCUUUGCAUGUAGCUCACAAAGUGCUAUGAUGCAGUUUAUGGCAGAUUGUGUAGUUUUGUCAUUUUGAUGAUUGUGAGUGCUUAGUUGAUGUUGCGGUGUUCUUCCUUGCUCCACCCCAUCCAUGAUGGGUUGUUUUAUGUAUUGUCAACCUGGGAAUACCAGAUUUGUGCCAUUUAAGUGUGUGGUGAUGAUUUUGACACGUAGGGCUUCAUAUCUUGUUUCGUUGAUUCCCGUUGAUCCGUAGCUCUUAUUGUAUUGUUCUUUAUAUGGUUUUGCAUCGUUUUCACGAGACGCAUCUAAUCAUGUCAUUCUCAUGCAUGUCAAAUAGGUUAGCAUGCAGCUCUAUCCAGGAACAUGUUUUAACUCCUUUUGCUUGUGCUAGUGAUAGAAAUAGUGAUGAAUGCUGAUAUUCAUCUCAUGCAUUAUGUGAUUGUUGCAUCUUGAGGUGCUGUCGUUCAUUGGAUGUUAUUCUUAUGUUGGGUAGCGCAGGGAUCGGAGAACGAGUACGCGGAGUCGGGAGAGUACGUGCAGGACGAACAAGAACCAUUCCAAGCUGAGGAUCUCACAGGCAAGAUGAUAUGACCUUGAUUCCAUCUCUAGACUUGUUAUGCUAGAUUACGUUUCCUUUGCCAUAUGCUCGCUGCCUACCACUGAAAUAUUUGCCUCUUGAUAUGCCAUGACCCAAACACUGAUCCCUUCCUAGCAAACUUGAAUGGCUAAGUAGGCUUUGCUCAGCUACUAAUGUUAGUGUUGCUAGAUGCAGGUGCUUUGUCUCAUUUGACAACAUAAGCUUGAUAUCAUUAUCUAAAUUCUGUUAUUUAAUUAAUGCACCUAUAUACUUGGUAAAUAACGGAAGGCCUAGCCUUUUGCCGGGUGCUUUGUUCCGUUAUCGCCGCCAUAGUUACCGGCUACCGGUGUUUGAUUCCAUAUUGAUCGCUCCUAACACGUUCGGGGUUGUUAUGGGGACCCCCUCGAUAAAUCGCGUAGUGUUAAGACUUGUCCGGCAGGACCCAACAUUGGUGUUAAUUUGCUAAUCACUUAAUAAUAAACUGCAUAGGGAAUAGCUACUCCAAGUAAUUUAAUCAACAACCCGGGCCAGUGCUCCUCAUGAGUGUUGGUCCAAAAUGGACAGACUGCGGGGGCCACCACAGGGAAUCUUGAGGUUUGGCUCCUGUAGGCUUCUCCAUCCGUCGUGUCCUGAGACUGAGAUACGCGGCUCUUAUCGGGGUCGUCGACACGACGGGAGGUCCUGCUAGUCUUGCCUUAACUUAGCGAUAUAUCUUACGUAUAGGAAUCCCGGUGAAGCUUUGGUUCUCCCCAGAGUUGAUGUUUUCCUCUAAGGAAUCCGACGAGAUCACGAGAAUCGUGAUAGAGGAUUACUUUGCGGCCUGUGUACCUUUGUGAUGGACUAGUUGGAGCACCCCUGCAGGGUUUAAUCUUUCGGAAAGCCGUGCUCGCGAUUAUGUGGCAACUUGGAAUAUUUUGUUAACAUCCGGUAUUAGAUAACUUAAACAAAAGCUAAUAAAUUUGCCAACCGUGUGCGUAACCGUGACUGUCCCCUCGUAGAUCUCUCUUUUAUCGGGAACACGGUGGGGUUAUGAAUGACGUAGCUAGGUGUUCAGGAUCACUUAGUGAUCAAGUAUUCGCGACCGCUAGUAUAGUCCACCUUCAUAAAUGCUCUACGUAAGUUAGCCACCAAGUCAAGCUUAGGAUGCUGCAACCUUAAACACUUUACCUUAUCCUGCCUAAUAACUUGACUAGUUCUGGCACCAAGGUCUUAGAUUGCUUAGUCCCCAUGGCUCACGGAUUCCUCCACAAUACCAACAGGUUCAGGUACCCUAGAGACAGAUGAUCCCCACGGCACGCAGCUAGCAUGGCAGUACGAUGAGGAGACAGACCGCCUGUACGUGAACUAUACAAAAGAUUGAGGCGUGGUCGUGAUCGUGGGCCUGCAGGCAGGGUAGCAUAGCCUUUUCUCCGUUUUGUAGUCCGUAGCGGAACUACUUUGGUUGUAUGCGUGAUGUACUCUGAUAUAUUUAUGAGAAGGCAAUUGAACCCGUGAUUGUCUAUCUUUUAUUAUUAAGUAUGUGCUGUGUUACGUGUUUGCGAGACGCUUAGAUGCACUCCUUUCCAAUUCGGGGCCUCGAUCCCCAGAUUGAGAAGGACCGCAUCUUAGUCGUUACAGGAUCGGUGAUGGAUGAGUAUGCCAGAUGUGAUUCAUCAUGUAGCAACUAUAACACAGAGAGAUAAGUAACUAGCCCCCAUUCGUCAAUCUAAUGUAGGCAUGUAUUUCGUAUGUAGUCAUACGUGCUUAGGGAAAAGAACUUGCAUGACAUCUAUUGUGCAUCCCUCCUGUGGCAGCGGGGUCCUAAUGGAAACUACGGGAUAUUAAGGUUCUCCUUUUAAUAAGAACCGGACCAACGCAUUAACACGUGGUGAAUACAUGAACUCCUCAUACUAUGGUCAUCUCCGGGAGUUGUUCCGGCUAUUGUAACUCCGGGGUUGCCGGGUCAUAACACAGAGUAGGUGACUACAACUUGCAAGAUAGGAUCUAAAACACACAUAUAUUGGCGACACCAUAAUAGGUUCAGAUCUGAAAUCAUGGCACUCGGGCCCUAGUGACAAGCAUUAAGCAUAGCCAAGUAGUAGCAACAUCAAUCUAGAACAUACUGGAUACUAGGGAUCAAUCCCCGUCAAAACUAACUCGAUUACAUGAUAGAUCUCAUCCAACUCAUCACCCUCUAGCAAGCCUACCAUGAGAUUACUCACGAGCGAUGAAGAGCAUCAUGGAAUUGUCGUUGGAGGAAGGUUGAUGAUGACAAUGGCAACGAUUUCCCUUCUCCGGAGCGCCAAACGGACUCCAGAUCUGCCCUCCAGAUGAAGAACAGGAGGUGGCGGCGCCUCCAUAUCAUAAAACGCGAUGAAACCUUCUCCCUGAUUUUUUUCCGGGAAAGACGGAAGCUAUAGAGAUGAGUUUGGGGGCGGUGGUGCCACGUGGGCCCCACAAGCCCUCACGGCGCGGCCUAGGGCGUGGCCGCGGCCUGUGGGCUUGUGGCCCACUGGCACACCCCCUCCGGUGGAUCUCUGCGCACGUAUUUUUGUUUAUUUCCAGAAAAAAUCUCCGUAAAUUUUCAGGACAUUCCGAGAACUUUUAUUUCUACACAAAAACAACACCAUGGCAAUUCUGCUGAAAACAGCGUCAGUCCGAGUUAGUUCCAUUCAAAUCAUGCAAAUUAGAGUCCAAAACAAGGGCAAAAGAGUUCGGAAAAGUAGAUACGACGGUGACAUAUCAACUCCCCCAAGCUUAAAGCCUUGCUUGUCUUCAAGCAAUUCAGUUGACAAACUGAAAGAGACAAAAGAAAAACUUUGACGAACUCUGUUUGAUCUUGUUGUGGCAACUGUGUCUAAAUCAUAACCAGAAUUUCAGCGAGAUCACAAGAAAACCACAUAAGCAAAUGAAAUCUAGGUCUCAUGGUAAACUCAUAUCAAUGGCAUAAUCAACUUGCGAGCAAAUAAUAAUAAGUCUCAAACGUCAACACUUCAAUCAAAACAACAUGAAGCCGUACGGAUAGGUGGUAUCUCGCUAGCUCUUUCUGAGACCGCAAAACAUAAAUGCAGAGCACCUUCAAAGACCAAGGACUGACUAGACAUUGUAAUUCAAGGCAAUGAAGAUCCAGUCACAGAAUUCUCAACACAGUAAAAAGAAAAGCAUAAAAAUGACAGAUGUGCUAUCUAAUUCGUGCUUUUAUAAGAGGACAAUGACUCAACAGGAACAUAAAUAGACAGGCCCUUCGCAGAGGGAAGCAUUGAUUUGCAGAGGGGCCAAAGCUCAAGCUUUGAAAACAGAGAUUAUUUCUUGAAGGUUUAGAGAGUGGCACAUGCAAAUUUACUUGGAACGGCAGGUAGAUACCUCACAUAGGUAGGUAUGGUGGACUCAUAUGGAACAACUUUGGGUUUAUGGAAGUGGAUGCACAAGUAGUAUUCCCGCUUAGUACAAGUGAAGGCUAGCAAAAGACUGGGAAGCGACCAACUAGAGAGCGACAACAGUCAUCAAAAUGCACUGAGAUUAACUAACAUUGAGUGCAAGCAUGAGUAGGACAUAAAACACCAUGAACAUGAACAUCAUAGAGGCUAUGUUGAUUUUGUUUCAACUACAUGCAUGAACAUGCGCCAAGUCAAGCCACUUGAAACAUUCAAAGGAGGAUACCAUCCUAUCAUACUACAUCAUAGUCAUCUCAACAUUCAUGUGGGCAUCCAAGACAAACCAUUAUAAGCUCCUAGCUAAGUAAGCAUGGCAUAAGAAACUAUGAUCGCUAAGUUGUCAUUGCAAACAUGUUUCUCUCACAACAAAACUGAAUCAUGCAUGAUGAGCUAGUCGUAUUUACAAAAACACAAUAGAUCGAGUUCAUACCAGCUUUUCCAGGCUCAGUCACUUCAUCUAAUAUCAUCAUUAUUGCCUUUCACUUGCACGACCGAAUGUUGUGAACAAUAAUAAGCGUGCUUGUGCAUUAGACUACGCUGGAAUCUGCAGGCAAACACAAAGGAGAAGACAAAGUAAGAUGGCUCUAUGAAAGCUAAACAUGUAUGCAUGCAAGAGCCACUAAACAUUGUAACCAAUAUCUUCUACCUUGACCAAAAGAAAAAGAAAACUAUUUACACGGGAAAGCUCCCAACAAGCAAAAGAAGAAAAUAAAAUAUUUUUGGGUUUUCUCAAACUAGACAGACACACGAAAAGAAAAUGAGAAAAAGAAAUAAACUAGCAUGGAUGAUACAGUGGCAAAGUGUGAACACCGGCUAACAAAGUGAAAGCAUGAGCAAGAAUGUAAAGUCGGUGAGAACACGUACUCCCCCAAGCUUAGGCUUUUGGCCUAAGUUGGUCUACUCCCAAGGAGGGAAAUAACCAGCUCCGAGAUACUCUGGAGUGGACUGAGGAUGCCACUGCUGCGUGAGCUCCUCUGACUCCCACUGAUAAACUAGCGUCUGGUACUCGACUGGUGGCUCGAGCAUGGGCACCUGUGGUUGGGCUAGGCCCCAAUAUGCGUAGAUGUCCGAGAGCAUAAUAAUGUACCUGCCUGCAUGAAGUUUGAACAAAGAAGGAGCAGGCAAAGUAAUAGUCUCACGAGUACCCUGACUAAACACUAGGUUAUAAAUCAUCCUUCUAUUUAUAUCUCUAUCAAGAAAGUCAUGGCGAACCAUGCUAUCGUAAUCUAGAUAUCUCUCGGUAAGAAGAAUCUCUUCUUCCUCCUCCAGUCUAAUGGGUAUCUCAAAGUGUCUAGCAAGACGGGUAGCAUAGAUACCUCCAUAGAGAACUCCUUUAGAACGGUUCAGGUUCAACCGUUGAGCUACUAUAGCGCCCAAGCUAUAAGUUUUAUCAUUAUAAAGGGCUUCGCGUAAGACCGCAAGAUCUGGGGAACUAAGUGACCCAGAUUUCCCACGGCCAAUCAAACAUUUUCCCACAAAAAUGAAUGCUAGCAGCUCUAGCGUAAGACACUCCUCUCUCCUCUCCUACAGCAAUUGUAUCGAUGAAAGCUUCCAAGUCCCGUGGACGAGGUUCAAGAAUAUCCCCAACAUAAGGUAAUUUGCAAACAUUGCAAAAAUUCUGGAGGGACAUGGGCUGGGGGAUAUCAUAAAGUUUAAACUCAACCAUAGGAGGAUUCUUCCUCGGAUAGAAGUUAAAGCUUUGUACAAAGAUAUUAGUGAGGAGGAGGUAUUGCAGACACUUAUCUUCGACGAAGGCGGUAAGGCCUGCGUUUUCCACCAAGUGAUAAAAGUCCUCAUAAAUUCUAGCGGCGCGUAAGAACACGUCGCUUGGCCACUCGCAUGCUCGAACUUCUGCGACUCGAGGGACCAGAUACUUGGGCUUCUUCUCACUUCCAUCAUCCUUGGGGUCACGGCUUGAAGAGCCUCUUAAGAACCUCCUCAUGUUUUCCCUUUUCUAUCUCUGAAAAUUUCUGAAAUUUUUAGUGACUCUAAGGAAAAGUGAACAAGGCUCAACAAAACUCAUAGCAACUACUCCCACAAGUGCCUAGAGGCCAUAUUACACAUCAAAACUACUUGGGACCAGCUAAAAUUAGCAUGCAAAGCUCAAGAACAUGGUUACCAAGGCAGCAAAAAUACGCGAAGUAUAAUGCACUAGAGCAAAAACUAAUUGGACAAUGGAGGAGUCACUUACCAAGGAGUAAUUUCCCCAAAACAGUUCGGAGAACGGUGCUUUGAGCAAAGAGAUCGAAAAUCCCAGCAAGAGGAGCAAGAACACGGGUUUGAGCUACGAAACGAUUUUUUCUGGAGGUAGGAGAACCAUAUGAGAGCAAGAAUGAGUGGAUGGGGUGCCUGUGGGCCCCACAAGCCUGGGUGGCACGACCAGGGGUGGUGCCCGCGCCCUUAGGGCCUGUGGCCUACUGGUGUGGCCCCCAGACUACUAGAUUUUCAGGACGUUCGGAGAACUUCUAUUUUUGGGGUACUUUUCUACCAGACGCUAAAACAGAAAACAGGGAAAACUAAACUAAAUCUAUCAUUUUUCUUCUAAGGAACCUAAAGUGAAAGCUUGGAACAGAGGUUUGUGACUCCUUGAUUCAUCCACCUCAUGGUCAUCGAAAGAAAUCCGUCAGUGAGGUUGAUCAAGCCUCUUUGACAAACCUUUUCGAAUCACAAAAGAGAACGGAGAAUUUUCGAAUAGUCACUAGGUCACCUCAAUGGGGAUGUGUAUUUCCCCAGCAAGCAAAUCAUACUUCAUCUUGACACGAGGAAUAGGGCAUUCAAAGCUCCCAAUAAGUAUCGAUGAAGUCUUUUCGAUAGCAUUGAUGCAAUGUACUCGAUAUUGUAUCUUCGGAAAGUGCCUUUGUUGCAAUCUAUAACAGCCCCUGCGGUGUUUAAAAAGGGUCUUCCGAGGAUGACAGCCAUGGCAUCGUCCUCGGGAAUAUCCAAGAUAACAAAAUCUGUUAAGAUAGUGGUGUUAGCAACCACGACAGACACAUCCUCGCAAUUGCCGAUAGGGAAAGUAGUUGAUUUGUCGGCCAUUUGCAGAGAGAUUUCAGUGGGUGUCAACUUAUCAAGUUCAAGUCUACAAUAACGAGAGAGAGAGGCAUAACACUAACACCGGCUCCAAGGUCGCAAAACGCAGUUCUAACGUAGUUGCCUUUAAUGGAGCAAGGUAUAGUGGGCACACCGGGAUCACCUAGUUUCUUAGGAGUUCCACCCUUGAAGGUAUAAUUAGCGAGCCUGGUCGAAAUCUCAACCUCAGGUAUCCUCCUCUUAUUAGUCACAAUAUCUUUCAUGUACUUAGCAUAUAGAGACAUUUUGAGCAUAUCUGUCAAACACAUUUGCAGAAAGACAGGUCUAAUCAUUUCAACGAAUCGCUCAAAAUCCUCAUCAUCCUUUUUCUUGGAUGGUUUUGGAGGAAAGGGCAUGGGUUUCUGAACCCAUGGUUCCCUUUCUUUACCAUGCUUCCUAGUAGCGAAGUCAUUCUUAUCAUAUCUUCUAUUCUUAGGCUGUGGGUUAUCAAGAUCAAGAGGUUCAAUCUCCACAUCCUUAUCAUUGCUAGGUUGAGCAUCUUCAUGAACAUCACUAUUGAUAUUAUCAUGAGGCUCAUGCUCAUCACCAGAUUGUGUUUCAACAUUAGAGACAGAGAUAUCGUUUGGACUCUCAGGGGUAGCAGCAACAUGGUUGCUAGCGUGCAGGUUCCUAUCAUCUUUCUUCUUCUUUCUAGGAUGACUAGGUGCAUCAAUGCUUACUCCUUGAGAAUCUUGUUCAAUUCUCUUCGGAUGACCCUCAGGAUACAAAGGUUCCUGGGUCAUUCUACCGCCUUUAGUGACGACUCUAACGGAAUUGUCAUUCAACUCAUUAAGCAAGUCAUUCUGAGCUUUAAAUACUUGUUCUACCUGAGUAGUAACCAUAGAGGCAUGUUUACUCAGAAGCUUAAGAUCAUUGACAUUUCUGUCCACACAAGCACUUAAAUGACUAAGCAUACGAGCAUUCUGUUCCAAUUGUCUGCUAACAAAAUCAUUGAAACUUUGUUGUUUGGCAACGAAGUUAUCAAAUUCAUCCAGGCAUAGGCUAGCAGGUUUAUCAAAAGGAAUAUCACUCUCAUGAAACAUACGCAGAGAAUUUACUUCUACUACCUGUGUCGGGUUAUCGAGACCAUGGAUCUCUUCGAUAGGUGGUAGAUUUUUGACAUCUUCAGAUUUAAUGCCUUUCUCUCGCAUAGAUUUCUUGGCUUCUUGCAUAUCUUCAGGACUCAGAAAUAGAACACCUAUUUUCUUCGGAAUUGGCUUAGGAGGUGGUUCGGGAAUAGUCCAAGCAUUCUCAUUGCACAAGAUGUUAUUUAGUAGAAUCUCAGCUUGUUCUACGGUUCGUUCCCUAAAAACACAACCGACACAACUAUCUAGGUGGUCUUUGGAAGCAUCGGUACGUCCAUUAUAGAGGAUAUCAAGUAUUUCAUUCUUCUCAAGAGGGUGAUCAGGCAAAGCAUUCAAUAGCUGGAUGAGCCUCCCCCAAGCUUGUGGGAGACUCUGUUCCUCAGCUUGAGCAAAGUUGUAUAUUUCCUGCAAGGCAGCUUGCUUCUUAUGGGCAGGGAAAUAUUUUUCAGAGAAGUAGUAGACCAUAUCCUGGGGGCUACGCACACAACCAGGAGCAAGAGAAGUGAACCAGGUCUUAGCAUCAUCCUUUAGCGAGAAAGGAAACAACUUGAGGAUAUAAUAGUGGCGGAUCUUAUCCUCACUAGUGAAUAGGGUGGCUAUAUCGUGCAGUUUGGUAAGAUGGGCUACAACCGUUUCAGACUCGUAACCGUUAAAAGGAUCAGAUUCGACCAGAGUGAUUAACUGAGGGUCGACAGAGAAUUCAUAAUCCUUAUCGGUCACAAAGAUAGGCGAAGUAGCAAACUUCGGGUCGUAUUUCAUGCUAGCAUUCAGAGAUUUUUCUUUCCACUUGCGCAGUAAUUUCUCAACAUUAUAGCUAUCCUUACACGCAAGAAGGUCCUCAGCUAUCUCUUCCUCCAUAACAUAGUGCAUAUCAGGCAUAAUAGACAAUUCAUGCAUAGUAGCAGGUUCUACUUCAAUAGUAUCAGCAGUUUCAGAAGUAUCAUCACGUCUAGAAGCAAGUCUAGCAAUAUGUGCAUCAAGGAAUGCACCAAGUGGAAAAGCAGUAUCAGGCAUAGCAUCAUCAGGCAUAGUAUCAAGCAUAGCAUCAUUAGGCAUAGUUUCAAGCAUAGCAUCAUCGGGCAUAGUAUCAAGCAUAGCAUCAUAAGGCAUAGUAUCAAGCAUAGCAUCAUCAUAAGCAUCAUGGGCAGCAGAAGUAGCAUCAUCAAGCACAGGCGACAUAUCAAGAUUUCUAGCAGGAGGCAAAGUCGCAAACUUACUCAAAACUGAAGGUGAAUCAAGUGCAGAGCUAGAUGGCAGUUCCUUACCUCUCCUCGUAGUGGAAGGCAAGAUUUUAGUUCUUGGAUCUUUUGGAUUCCUCAUAGUGACCAGCAGACGUCAAUCCCAAGUGACUCAGAGAAUAUAGCUGUGCUUCCCCGGCAACGGCGCCAGAAAAUAGUCUUGAUAACCCACAAGUGUAGGGGAUCGCAAUAGUUUUCGAGGGUAGAGUAUUCAACCCAAAUUUAUUGAUUCGACUCAAGGGGAAGCGAAAGAAUAUUCUUAAUUAUUAGCAGCUGAGUUGUCAAUUCAACCACACCUCAAAUAUUAUUGUCUGCAAGCAAAGUAUCAGUAGCAAAGUGGUAUGAUAACAACAGUGCUAGAAAAGGGUCUGUUGACGGAAGACUAUUUGUAACUAGUUAUAUCAAUGGCGCUAGAAAAUAGCAAGUUGACGGGGGACUAUUCUUGAGAAUAAUGCUUCCCCGGCUACGGCUCAAAAAGUCUUGCAACAGGUAACAACAAAGUAGCAAGUAACAACAGAGUAAUAGCAUUAGUGAUAGCAACAACAAGUAACAUCAUUAGUGACAACAAUAGCAGCAAAGUAACGUAGCAAGGACCAGUAGUAAAAGACUCGUUGGCAGUGGAUCGCUGAUGGAUGAGUAUGCCAGAUGUGAUUCAUCAUGUAACAGCUAUAACACGGAGAGAUAAGUAACUAGAUCCCGUUCGUCAAUCUAAUGUAGGCAUGUAUUCCGUAUGUAGUCAUACGUGCUUAGGGAAAAGAACUUGCAUGACAUCUAUUGUCCAUCCCUCCCGUGGCAGCGGGGUCCUAAUGGAAACUACGGGAUAUUAAGGUUCUCCUUUUAAUAAAGAACCAGACCAAUGCAUUAACACGUGGUGAAUACAUGAACUCCUCAUACUAUUGUCAUCUCCGGGAGUGGUUCUGGCUAUUGUCACUCCGGGGUUGCCGGGUCAUAACACAUAGUAGGUGACUACAACUUGCAAGAUAGGAUCUAAAACACACAUAUAUUGGCGACAACAUAAUAGGCUCAGAUCGGAAAUCAUGGCACUCGGGCCCAAGUGACAAGACCUAAGCAUAGCCAAGUAGUAGCAAUAUCAAUCUAUAACAUAGUGGAUACUAGGGAUCAAUCCCCGUCAAAACUAACUCAAUUACAUGAUAGAUCUCAUCCAACUCAUCACCGUCCAGCAAGCCUACGAUGAGAUUAGUCACGAACGAUGAAGAGCAUCAUGGAAUUGUCGAUGGAGGAAGGUUGAUGAUGACGAUGGCGACGAUUUCCCUUCUCCGGAGCCCCGAACGAACUCCAUAUCAGCCCUCCAGAUGAAGAAUAGGAGGUGGCGGCGCCUCCGUGUCGUAAAACACGAUGAAACCUUCUCCCUGAUUUUUUUUCCAGGCGAGACAGAAGAUAUAGAGCUGAGUUUGGGGGUAGUGGUGCCACGUGGGCCCCACAAGCCCUCACGAUGCGACAUAGGGGGGUGGCUGCGGCCUGUGGGCUUGUGGCCCACUGGCACGCCCCCUCUGGUGGAUCUUUGCGCAGGUAUUUUUCUUUUAUUCCAGAAAAAUCUCCGUAAACUUUCAGGACAUUCCGAGAACUUUUAUUUCUGCACAAAAACAACACCAUGGCAAUUCUGCUGAAAACAGCGUCAGUCCUGGUUAGUUUCAUUCAAAUCAUGCAAAUUAGAGUCCAAAACAAGGGCAAAAGAGUUCGGAAAAGUAGAUAUGACGGAGACGUAUCAGGGGCCUUGUCAUUGUUGUUCCCGGCAGGGGAGCGAUGGUCUGCCGGGGUCUUGUCAGCCUUCCCGGUAGGGGCGUCUUGUGGGGGCUCAGUCCUUCUCCCUCGAUGGGGAGGCUCCGUCAUGGGUUUGUCUACUUCUCUGGUAGGGAACUCCUGUCAGGGUCCUUGCUUCUUUCCCGACAAGUGGGAGCUUGUCGGGGCUUGUGAUUUGCACCUGGUGAUCUUUGGGCUUGCCUCACUUCGAGCCUUGGCAUCGCGCCUUGCCGCUGUGGGGCUGUCGGUGUCCGCGCACUAGUCUGGGGUACUAGAGACCCCAGUCUUCAGUGCACCGACACCCUUAUCACUAACUAUUCGAGGAUACCUCCUCCACUGAACAAGGAGAAAAAGAAGAAAGCGCCUUCGCAAAAAGGUCGUUCGACUGUCCCAACGUCCCCUCCUGUUACACUAGGCCGCCAUUCCACGCGUCGAACACCCAUUGUUAUAGGGUCUGUUGAUUCUACGCCCUAUACUAGUCGACCUUCCAAACACGGAGCUCCCACACGGACUGCUCCCACCACUUCCUCUUCUCCCAAGAGGUAUUAUUUUAAGAAUAAGCAUUGUUUUUUCCCAAUAAAUGAUAGGUAUUUACACCUGUCACUGUAUUUGAUAGGACCCGAACACAACCACCCCCUUCGAUGGUAGUGAAAAAUGCGGACAUCCCUCCUACAGGUCAAGCCACCGAAGAGUAUGACUAUAUUUGAGUUACGAACUCUAAAAUGGAGAGUGUAAUGAACCAUCAUCGAAGGAAAGAAUCCAUACGCCAUCCUCAUUUUACCGAACAAGAGUUUAAUGCCUUGAGUUUGGUCGAAUCGUACCUCGGAGCUGCCCGAGCAGGACUCGAAGGAGUAGCCGAACGUAUGUGAGCAAGCCUCAAGGUAUGCAUUCCGAUUUUUGUUGUUUUUGCGUAUAAAUUCCCAGCUACCAGACCCCGAUCCUCGAUUGGGCAGCAUGACCGAUCUGAGGGUCUAACCAUAUGUGUCGACAUGCUUUGUAGGCUGCGAGGGACAAAAACAAAGAACUAUCCCACGAGAUCGGGUCUUACUAAUCAGAACUCAAAGCUGUGAAAGCUGAGGUAGAACAAGUGAAAAGUUUCACCAGACAAGCACACGAUAAGAGGUUUUGUCUUGACCUCAUAUGCAUAGCUAUCCUAUUGCCCCCUUGUUUAAAAUGAAAGCAUAUUUAUAGCAGCUGGAUCCAUAGGCUAGUUGUAAAAAGAUCUAGAAACGACCAAAUAAUUGCAAAGAUAUGCCGAAUCUCAAAACAAGGCCAACUAAAAGUCCUUAUUCUGAAGUGUAAACAAGAAUAACAAGCUUGAGGCAGAAAAUCAAGAAUGUAUAAACCAGACUGAAAGUUUAAAGGCUCAACUGGUACAAGCCACCGAUGAAAACAAGAAACUUAAAGGUGGAAUGUUCGUAAGUAACAUGCCGAAUUUUUUGAAUAAAUUGAUAGGACUUUUCAAAUACGAUCAACAAUCACAUUCCUUUCGUGCAACACUCUUGACCGGGCAUCCUAAAGAAGAAGUCGACUCGUUUAGUGGCGAUCUUUUAAAAGAUUUGUCCCUGAGCUAUGAGCGUUGUCGCAAGGCGAUGAGAAGCAUGAUAAAGACCUUAUCGCCGGCACAGACACCCCCAGAAAGGAUGUCGGAACUAGUCGAGCGCUUUAAAGGGGCUCGGAGCCGAUUUGAGUUGUGGAAGACUUCGGCCUGCCAAGAGGGUGCUCGGGAAGCAUGGGCGAUGGUGAAGACAAGGUUUACAAGGCUGGCACGAGUCGGCCCGACUGGGCCCGAUGGUAAAGAGGUGCCACUUCACUUGGUUUAUGACCAAGUGAUGCCUGUCGCACGUUUUUUGUAGCAAGAUUGUUGUCUGGAUGCAAUAAUAGAUAACUUAGAUCAGCAGCCUAACGCAUAAUUGGAUGCGAGUGAGUUUUUGUAAUUCUCUAUCCGACGUGUAAAUGCUAUCUUAAUGGACCAUCCGCUUCUAGUUUCCCAGAUACUCAUCGAGAAGUGUUCCAUACUGUAUAACCUAUAAAAUCAGUAAACAGGUCGGGGAACUAGGCCAUCCGGCCAAUUGGUGCUACCAAAUAGACAAUUAUUAUGGAGUAGUGUUAUAUUACUUUUUACAUGAGCAAGAAACACCUUCCCAAGAAAAUAGUUCCUUUAUAUGUUCCUUUCUCGAGGUUUUGUGAGCAUCCGCUUUAUAUGGAUCUACUAUAUGUUCGGGGAUUAUAACCCUUCGUGUUAGCCACGAAAUUAUUGUUAUUUACCUUCCAUUGCCAGAACAAUUUUGUCCUUUAAGAACCCUAGCUUUCGGCUUCACCCCUCUGAGGUACGUAUCCGGAUUACCCGACCGUAACAAUCGAAUAGGUGCUCCCUUUAUCCUAUAGCCGAACAAUCGGGAACGUGGAGGAUAAGCACAUGAGCCAGGCAACCCAGCUUGGCAAAAUCUUAAGUCAAAUUUAGUGCAUAUUGAGGCUUUUAAGUAAAGGAAGAAAAGACACAUUAUAUAUAAAUAAUGCAAAAAAUGUAUUAUUAUCGGCUUUCCAGAGCCCCAGGUGCCUAUAGAAAUUACAUAUUUAACGGACACAAUUCGGUUAAUCCGAACAUGAACUAGGAUACGCUAAGCCCCUCUAGAGAGGAAAAAGGAAACAAUUUUUUUUUAAAAGACAACGAGGAAAUCAAUAAAUAUAACUAUGUCAACUUAGGUGUAGAAACGCCGAAGACGAGCCACAUUCUAGGGGUUCGGUUCAAGACGAUUGUCCAACGCAUUGCGUAGACGAUAUGCCCCUCCGGUAAGUACAUCGUCGUUGAUGAAGGGACCCUCCCAUUUGAGUGCAAGUUUGUUCUUUUUCUUCCCAGGGAGGCGUAGCACAAGCUCGCCCAUGUUGUAAGUCUUUGCCCAAACUUCCCUUCUUUGAUAGCGCCGAGCCUGCUGUUGAUAAAAUGUGGACCGUGUCAGGGCUAUGUCGUGCUCCUCUUUUAAUGCGUCCAAGUCAUCCUGCCAAUCUAACUCGACUUCUUCUUCCUCGUACAUGCGCACUGUUGGUGCAUCGUGGAUAAUGUUGCAGGGGAGGACUACCUCCGCCCCCUACACCGUAAAAAUGGUGUGUAACCCGUACUCCUGUUAACAGUUGUUCGUAGGCCCCACAAUACGGAGUCGAGCUCCUCUACCCAAUGGCAAUCAGACUCUUUAAGAGACCGAACUAGACGAGGCUUAAUUCCGCUCAUAAUGAGACCAUUAGCCCUUUCGACCUGUCCAUUUGUUUGUGGGUGGUAGACGGAGGCGUGGUCGAGCUUGAUGCCCAAAUUUUCGCACUAGUCCUUGACCUCCUAGGCUAUAAAAUUGGACCCAUUAUCCGUGAUUAUACUAUGUGGAACCCCGUAAUGGUGAGCCACGUCGGAUAUAUAAACUCAAUGACCGGCCUAGAUUUGGCAGAAGUUACUGGUUUGGCUUUGAUCCACUUUGUGAAUUUAUCAACCAUAACCAGUAAGUACUUCUUUUUCUUGGAUCCUCCUUUCAGAGGCCCCACCAUAUCAAGACCCCAGACCGCAAACAGUCAAGUGAUCGAUAUUGUCGGAAGAGCCAUUGCAGGCAUGUGGCUCUGGUUUGGAAAGAUUUGACAUCCAACACAAUGUUGUACAAGCGCAUGAGCGGCCCUUGAGCUGUUGGCCAAAAGAAACGAGCUCAGAAUGCCUUCCCUACCAAGGCUCUAGCCGUCAUGUGAUGGCCACCCAUACCUGCAUGUAUUUCAGCCAAGAGUUGUUUACCUUCUUGUUCGGAUAUGCAUCGCUGGAGGACACCGAUAGUGCUUUUUCUAUAAAGUUCCCCUUCGUGAACCUUGUAAGAUUUGGAUCAUCGAACUAUUCGUCUUGCUACUGUCUGGUCAUCGGAGAGUUCCUGGCGAAGGAGGUAAGCUAGAAAAGGUUCGGUCCAUGGUGCAAUUAUAGCCAUGAUCUCAUGAGUUGAGAGUGUUUCCUCUAAUGCGGAUCCACCAAUGGGGUCAUCAUGUGGCUUAACUAUAGGGGGAGCAAUGUGCUCCUUCUUUGUUUUUUGAAUAUCCCCUUGCUCAUCAUGCUAUACCACGGAAGGUUUAAACAUUCAUUCCAAGAAGAUAUUUUUAGGGACAGGGUCACUCUUGCCACACAUGCGAGCGAGGAUAUCGACGACCUGAUUAUUGUCCCUAGAGACGUGAUGGAACUCUAAACCUUCGAACCGAGUUGAUAUUUUGAGGGCAGCAUUCCGAUAAGCUGCCAUCUUUGGAUUUUUGGCAUUAAAUUCACCAUUGAUUUGAGAGAUAGUGAGGUUCGUGUCUUCUCGUACCUCCAACCUUUGUACACCCAUCGAGGUUGCCAUUCUUAAUCCAUGUAGCAGAGCUUCGUAUUCGGCCGCAUUACUGGAAUCAGUAUACAUGAUUUGCAGAAUGUACCAAAUGUUGUCGCGAGUGGGGCAUGUAAGUAUAACACCAUCACCCAGGUGAGCUAGCUUCUUGGAGCCAUCGAAGUACAUUGUUCAAUGGGAGUAUGUGCUAUACUCUGUAGGGAGUCCGGCUUCCAUCCAUUCUGCUAGAAAGUUAGCCAACACCUAAGAUUUAAUAGCUCUAUGUGACUUGUAUACAAUUUCAAAGGGUAAUAGUUCUAUGCCCAUUUAGAUAUGUGUCGAGUGGCAACCUUAUUGUUGAUUAUAUCGUUCAAGGGUACCUAAGAUGCCACUGUUACUGAACACUCUUGGAAGUGGUGUCGGACCUUGCGUGAUGCCAUGAAGAUGGUAUAAGUUACCUUUUGGUAGUGAGGAUAGUGAGUCUUGCAUGGGGUGAGGACUUCAGACACAUAGUAGAUUGGCUUCUGUUCCCUUACUUUUCGGUCUAUUGCUUCUCGUUCGAUCACGAGUACUGUGCUGACAACCUCGUUCAUGGCUGAUAUGUACAAUAACAUUGGUUCCCCUAUUGUGGGUGCUGUCAGUACUGGGUUGCUAGCCAUCAAUUUUUUGAUUUCUUCCAGGGCUGCCGUUGCCUCUUCGGUCCACUCAAAAUUUUUGGUUCAUUUGAGCAUGUGAUAGAGCGGCAGUGCCUUUUCACGGAGGCAAGAGAUAAGGCGGCUUAAUACCGCAUGCAACUGUUACCUCUUGAGCUUGCGUUGGUUUUUCCCUUGAAGAGGAAAGGGUGAUGCAGCACACUAGCAGUAAGCAUUUCCCUCAGUUUGAGAACCAAGGUAUCAAUCCAGUAGGAGUAUCAAGCCAAAUCUCCACCGUAACUGCGCAAAAAUAGCAAACUUGAACCCAACGCUACAAAGGGGUUGUCAAUCCCUUCAUGAUUGACUCCAAGGUGAGAUCUGAAGGCAGAAAGUGCAACAAAGUAAAAGUGUAAGGCUGAAAAUAUGAUGUCAAGUAGACCCGGGGGCCAUAGUGUUCACUAGAGGCUUCUAUCAUGAUAGCAAAUAUUACGGUGGGUGAACGAAUUACCGUCGAGCAAUUGAUAGAACCGCGCAAAGUCAUGACGAUAUCUAAGGCAAUGAUCAUACAUAUAGGCAUCACGUCCGAGACAAGUUGACCGAUACUUUUUGCAUCUACUACCAUUACUCCACACAUCGACCACUAUCCAGCAUGCAUCUAGUGUAUUGAGUUCAUGACAAACAGAGUAACGCCUUAAGAAAUAUGACAUGAUGUAGAGAGAUAAAUUAAUGCAAUAGAUAUAAACCCCAUCUUUUUACCCUUGAUGGCAACAACACGAUGCGUGCCUGGCUACCCCUUCUGUCACUGGGUUAGGUCAAUGCACGGUAUGAACCCAAAACNNAGCACUUCUCCCAUUGCAAGAAUCAUAGAUCAAGUUGGCCAAACAAAACCCACAACUCGAAGAGAAUUACAAGGAUAUGAAAUCAUGCAUAUAAGAGAUUAGAAGAAACUCAAAUAAGAUUUAUAGAUAAUCUGAUCGUAAACCCACAAUUCGUCGAAUCUCGACAAACACACCACAAAAGAAGAUUACAUCAGAUAGAUCUGCAUGAAGAUCAUGGAGAACUUUGUAUUGAAGAUCCAAGAGAGAGAAGAAGCCAUCUAGGUACUAGCUAUGGACCCGAAGGUCUAUGGUGAACUACUCACGCAUCAUCGGAGAGGCAAUGGUGUUGAUGAAGAAGCCCUCCGUGUCCGAAUCCCCCCUCCGGCAGGGCACCAAAACCUUCCCCAGAUGGGUUCUUGCGGAGACAGAAGCUUCCGGCGGCGGAAACGUAUUUUCGUGGCUCUCUCACGUGGUUUUGGAUUUUUCGGGGAUUUAUAGGCGGAAGAAGUAGGGCAGAGGAGCCAUAGGGGGCCCACAAGCCUGCUAGGCAUGCCCCCAGGCCACGGCUAGGGGCCUUGUUGCCUCCCCUGGUGCCCUUUGCCUUGGUUCUCAAGCUCCCUGCGUAUCUUCUGUUCUGGAAAAAAUCUUUUCAGAGGUUUUAUUCCGUCUGGACUCCGUUUAAUAUUCUCCUCUGAAAAGGGUCAACAACACGGAAAAAGCAGGAACUAGCACUUGGCACUCAGUUAAUAAGUUAGUCCCAAAAAAGAUAUAGAAUUCAUACAAAACAUCCAAAGUUUGACAAGAUAAUAGCAUGGAACCAUCAAAAGUUAUAGAUACGUUGGAGACGUAUCAAGCAUCCCCAAGCUUAAAUCCUGCUUGUCCUCGAGUAGGGAAGUGAUAAAGAAUGAAUUUUUGAUGUGGAAUGCUACCUAGCAUAUUUGUCUUUUGUAACUUCUUUCAUGUGACAUGAAUGUUCAGAUCCGUAAGAUUCACAACAAUAGUUUGCUAUUGACAUGAAAACAAUAGUACUUCAAGCAAACUAGCAAGGUAAUCAUGAACUUUUGAAAUAAUAAGGCCAAAGAAAGCUAUCCCUAAAAAAUCAUAUAGUGUGGCUAUGCUCCAUCAUCCCCACACAACAAAUUUAAAUCAUGCACAACCCCGGUAUUGGCCAAGUAAUUGUUUUCGCACUCUUACUUUCUCAAACCUUUUUGAACUCUCACGCAAUACAUGAGCGUGAGCCAUGGAUAGAGAACUUAGAGGUGGAAUAGAGUGUGGUGAAGGUUGUGAGGCAAAAAGGAGGAGAUGGUCACAUUGACGCGGCGUAUCAAAGGGCUAUGGAGAUGCCCAUCAAUAGAUAUCAAUGUGAAAGAGUAGGGAUUACCAUGCACUGGAUGCACUUAGAGCUAUAAGUGUGUGUAAGAUCAAAAGGAGAAAUAGUGGGUGUGGAUCCAACUUGCUUGCUCACGAAGACCUAGGGCAAUUUUGAGGAAGCCCAUCAUUGGAAUAUACAAGCCAAGUAAUGAAUAUUCCCACUAGUAUAUGGUGGUGACAAAACAAGAGACUCUCAAUCAUGAAGAACAUGGUGCUAUUAUGAAGCACAAGUGUGGAAAAAGAUAGUAGCAUUGUCCCUUCUCUCUUUUUCUCUUUUUUUGUUUGGGCUCUUUGGCUUCUUUCCAUAUACUUUUUUGUGUGGGCAACUUUGGCCUCCUUUUUUUAUUUCCUCACAUGGGACAAUGAUGAUCAUCACACUUUCAUUUACUCACAGCUCAAUGCUUAGAAAGAUGAUGACUCUAUAGGAAAUGCCUCCGACAGUGUACCGGGAUGUGCAACGAUCUAGCUUGGCGUAUGAUGUUGAAACAUCUCGCUAGCUAUCCUAUGAUCAUGCAAUGGAAAUAUGUAAGUGAAGGCACAAGGCAUGAGACGGAACGGUGGGAGUUGCAUGGCAAUAUAUCUCGGAAUAGCUAUCAAAAGGCCAUGAUAGGUAGGUAUGGUGGCUGUUUUGAGGAAGAUCUAUGGUGGUUUUGUGUACCGGCGAAAGUUGCGCGGCACUAGAGAGGCUAGCAAUGGUGGAAGGUGAAAGUGCAUAUAUACCAUGGACUCACAUUAGUCAUGAAGAACUCACAUACUUAUUGCGAAAGUUUUUAUUAGUAAUCGAAACAAAGUGCUAAAUGCAUACUCCUAGGGGAAGGGUUGGUAGGUGUUAACCAUCGCGCGAUCCCGACCGCAACACAAAGGAUGACAAUCAAUAAAUUAAUUAUGCUCCGACUUUCUAACAUAGCGGUUCACCAUACGUGCAUGUUACGGGAAUCAGUAACUUCAACACAAGUAUUUCUAGAUUCACAACACCUUACUAACAUGUCUCUUAACAUUACCAAAUCAAUGUCUCCAGACUAAUUGAGAGGAAUCAAACUUAUCUUUCUAAUGAAUGCACAAGAAUAUGGAAGUUUUAUUGUAUCCUCUUUCGACGCCUAUCAUCUUUAGGACUACUUUCAUAGCACAAGCCAACUACCAAGUUACUCAGAGAGAGCACUCUCAAAAAGAUAUAAGUGAAGAUUGAGAGUUCUUGUUUCUCCAAAAUAUGACACCGCCGUGCUCUAAAAGAUCUAAGUGGAGCACUAAGAGCAAAGUUAUCUAGCUCAAAAGAUAUAAGUGAAGCACAUGUGAGCUAAAUUGCCUAACUCAAAAGAUAUAAGUGAAGCUCAAUGAGUAUUCGAGCAAAUUCACGAUGAGUGCAUGUCUCUCUCAAAAUGUGUGCAGCAAGGACGAUUGUGACACAACAAAAAGAAAAGACUCCUAUAAUACACGAUGCUCCAAGCAAAACACAUAUCAUGUGGUGAAUAAAAAUAUAGCUCCAAGUAAUGUUACACAUGGAUUGAAGACAAAAGAGGGGAUGCCUUCCCGGGGCAUCCCCAAGCUUAGGCUUUUUGGUGUCCUUGAAUUUGGCUUGGGAUGCCUUGGGCAUCCCCAAGUUGAUCUCUUUCCACUCUUUAUACCUUUGUCCAUGAGAACAUCACCCAAAACUUGAAAACUUCACAACACAAAACUUAAACAGAAACUCGUGAUAAGAUUAGCACAAGAAAACAAACUACCACCUCUUUAGAUACUGUCGCAAUCUUGAUUUCCAUUUGCAUUGGUGUUAGAUUACUGUAUUGUCACUUCUCCAUGGCUAGUACCCCCCGAUACUAUCCAUAGUUUCAUCAAAAUAAGCAAUCAACACAACAAAAAACAGAAUCUAUCAAAAACAGACCAGUCUGUAGCAAUAUGUAUACUUCGUAUACUUCUAGUAUCUCAAAAAUUAUGAACAAUUACGACAAUUUGGGCAAUUGGCAUAUAAACCAGCAGAAAAAGAAUAAACUCAAAAUCUCUUUGUGGAUAAAAAUGAAAAAUAAUUUCGUGAGCAAAAAGUUUCUGUCUUUUUCCAGCAUGAUCAAACAACCAUCACCAAAUCUAGUCAUAAAGGUUUUACUUGGCUCAAACAUAAAAAGAAACACAAAAAACACAAUCAUAACAGAAUUAUGAUGGUGUGGACGCAACAAAACAGAAAGCAAAAAAGCAAAGAUAAAUUCAUUGGGUUGCCUCCCAACAAGCACUAUUGUUUAACGCCCUUAGCUAGGCAUAAGGCGAUAGAAUCACGUAUCAUCGUCUUUGGUACUCAAACCAUAAGUAGCCCUCAUCAUGGAUUCAUAAGGCAAUCUUAUUUUAUUUCUAGGAAAAUGUUCCAUGCCCUUCUUUAAUGGAAACUGAAAUCUAAUAUUCCCUUCCUUCAUAUCGAUGACAGCACCUAUAGUCCUUAGGAAAGGUCUACCAAGAAUGAUAGGACAUGUAGGAUUGCAAUCAAUAUCAAGCACAAUGAAAUCUACGGGUACAUAGUUCCUAUUUGCAAUAAUAAGAACAUCAUUGAUCCUUCCCAUAGGUUUCUUAAGAGUAGAAUCCGCAAGAUGCAAAUUAAGAGAGCACUCAUCAAUCUCAUUGAAGCCUAGAAUAUGACAUAAAGACUUUGGAAUCGCAGAAGCACUAGCACCCAAAUCACACAAAGCAUUGCAUUCAUAGUUUUUGAUCUUGAUUUUGAUAGUAGGUUCCCACUCAUCAUGAAGUUUUCUAGGAAUAGAAACUUCCAAUUCAAGUUUCUCUCCAAGAGAUUUCAUCAUAGCAUCGACUAUAUGAUCGGUAAAGGCCUUGUUUUGGCUAUAAGCGUGUGGAGAGUUUAGCAUGGAUUGCAUCAAGGAAAUACAUUCAAUCAAAGAGAAACUAUCAUAAUUGAAUUCNNNNNNNNNNNNNNNNNNNNNNNNNNNNNNNNNNNNNNNNNNNNNNNNNNNNNNNNNNNNNNNNNNNNNNNNNNNNNNNNNNNNNNNNNNNNNNNNNNNNUGGACUAGACCCAAACUAAUAGACGUAGCAUGUUGAUCGUGUCAUUUUGUUGCUACUGUUUUCUGCGUGUCAAGUAUUUGUUCCUAUGACCAUGAGAUCAUAUAACUCACUGACACCGGAGGAAUGCUUUGUGUGUAUCAAACGUCACAACGUAACUGGGUGACUAUAAAGAUGCUCUACAGGUAUCUCCAAAGGUGUUCGUUGAGUUAGUAUGGAUCAAGACUGGGAUUUGUCACUCCGUAUGACGGAGAGGUAUCUCGGGGCCCACUCGGUAAUACAACAUCACACACAAGCCUUGCAAGCAAUGUGACUUAGUGUAAGUUGCGGGAUCUUGUAUUACGGAACGAGUAAAGAGACUUGCCAGUAAACGAGAUUGAAAUAGGUACGAGGAUACUGACGAUCGAAUCUCAGGCAAGUAACAUACCGAAGGACAAAGGGAAUGACAUACGGGAUUAUAUGAAUCCUUGGCACUGAGGUUGAAACGAUAAGAUAUUCAUAGAAUAUGUAGGAUCCAAUAUGGGCAUCCAGGUCCCUCUAUUGGAUAUUGACCGAGGAGUCUCUCGGGUCAUGUCUACAUAGUUCUCGAACCCGCAGGGUCUGCACACUUAAGGUUCGACGUUGUUUUAUGCGUAUUNNNNNNNNNNNNNNNNNNNNNNNNNNNNNNNNNNNNNNNNNNNNNNNNNNNNNNNNNNNNNNNNNNNNNNNNNNNNNNNNNNNNNNNNNNNNNNNNNNNNUGGACUAGACCCAAACUAAUAGACGUAGCAUGUUGAUCGUGUCAUUUUGUUGCUACUGUUUUCUGCGUGUCAAGUAUUUGUUCCUAUGACUAUGAGAUCAUAUAACUCACUGACACCAGAGAAUGCUUUGUGUAUAUCAAACAUCGCAACGUAACUGGGUGACUAUAAAGAUGCUCUACAGGUAUCUCCAAAGGUGUUCGUUGAGUUAGUAUGGAUCAAGACUGGGAUUUGUCACUCCGUAUGACGGAGAGGUAUCUCGGGGCCCACUCGGUAAUACAACAUCACACACAAGCCUUGCAAGCAAUGUGACUUAGUGUAAGUUGCGGGAUCUUGUAUUACGGAACGAGUAAAGAGACUUGCCGGUAAACGAGAUUGAAAUAGGUAUGCGGAUACUGACGGUCGAAUCUCAGGCAAGUAACAUACCGAAGGACAAAGGGAAUGACAUACGGGAUUAUAUGAAUCCUUGGCACUGAGGUUCAAACGAUAAGAUAUUCAUAGAAUAUGUAGGAUCCAAUAUGGGCAUCCAGGUCCCGCUAUUGGAUAUUGACCGAGGAUUCUCUCGGGUCAUGUCUACAUAGUUCUCGAACCCGCAGGGUCUGCACACUUAAGGUUCGACGUUGUUUUAUGCGUAUUUGAGUUAUAUGGUUGGUUACCCAAUGUUGUUCGGAGUCCCGGAUGAGAUCACGGACGUCACGAGGGUUUCCGGAAUGGUCCGGAAACAAAGAUUGAUAUAUAGGAUGACCUCAUUUGGUUACCAGAAGGUUUUCGUGCAUUACCGGAAAAGGUUCGGGCUCAUCGGUAGUGUACUGGGAGUGCCGGGAGGGGUGCCGGGGACCAUCAGGAGGGGUGUCACGCCCCAAGGGGUCUCAUGGGCUAUGGGAAGAGAUAAACCAGCCCCUAGUGGGCUGGAAUAAGUUCCCACUAAGGCCCAUAAGGUUUGAGAAGGAAAAAACACAAGGUGGAAAGAGUUUCCAAGUGGGAAGGUGGAAUCCUACUCCAAGUAGGAUUGGAGUAGGACUCCUCCACCUCCAAUUUAGGCCAAACCUUUAGGUUUUGAGGCUGCCUCCUCCCCUCCCUCCCUCCUAUAUAUAGUGGGGUUUUAGGGCUGAUUUGAGAUAACUUUUGCCACGACAGCCCGACCACAUACCUCCACGGUUUUACCUCUAGAUCGCGUUUCUGCGGAGCUCGGGCGGAGCCCUGCUGAGAUUAGAUCAUCACCAACCUCCGGAGCGCCAUCACGCUGCCGGAGAACUCAUCUACCUCUCCAUCUCUCUUGCUGGAUCAAGAAGGCCGAGAUCAUCGUCGAGCUGUACGUGUGCUGAACGCGGAGGUGCCGUCCGUUCGGCACUAGAUCGGAGCGGAUCGUGUGACGGAUCGCGGGACGGUUCGUGGGACGGUUCGCGGGGCGGAUCGAGGGACGUGAGGACAUUCCACUACAUCAACCGCGUUCCUUAACGCUUCUGCUGUGCGAUCUACAAGGGUACGUAGAUCGGAAAUCCCCUCUCAUAGAUGGACAUCACCAUGAUAUGUCUUUGUGCGCGUAGGAAUUUUUUUGUUUCCCAUGCGACGUUCCCCAACAAGACAUAACCCCACCGCGUCCUCGAUCGGAGAAGGAACUCACAUAAGAGACAGUCACGGUUAGCACACAGUUGGCAUAUUUUAAUUAAGUUAACUUCAAGUUAUCUAGAACCAGUGUUAAACAAAGUUUCCACGUUGCCACAUAACCGCGGGCACGGCUUUCUGAAAGAUUUAACCCUGCAGGGGUGCUCCAACUAGUCCAUCACAAAUUACCACAAGCCGCAUUGAAAUCCUCAAUCACGAAGCUCGCGAUCUCGUCGGAUUCCCUAGUGGAAAACCUCAACUCUGAGAUUACCCAAAGCAUCACCGGAAUCUCGAUGCACAAGAUAUCUCGUCAAAGGUAAAACUUAUCCAGCAAGGCUGCCCGGCGUGUCGACGAUCCCGAUAGGAGCCGCGUAUGUCGUUCUCAGGACACGACGGAUAAGCGAAGCGUACGAGUACCAAACCUUGAGUUUCCUCGCGGUGGCCCUGCACGGUGCUCUGUUUUGGACCAGCACCAUCAACACUGGCCCUCCCUGUAUUAUAUAGAAUUACUCCCCGGGUAGCGCUAACUCCCUAUGCAUUUCAAUUUAACAGAAUUAUUCUGUUGGGAAAAUGCAGUACCAAUGUUGGGCCUUGCCGGACCAGCUUUAAUCUAAAACGAAGUAUCAAGGGGGUCCCCAUAACAACCCCGAUCAUGUUAGGAGCGCUCAUUUAUGAAACAUAACACCGGUAGCCGAAAUUAAGGGGGCAAAGGUGGAACAAAGCACCAGGCUAGAAAGGCCGAGCCUUCCACCUUUUACCAAGUAUAUAGGUGCAUUAAAUUAAAUAGCAUUUAAUAGGGUGAUAUAACAAGGAACCCAUGUUUACACAUGGAAGCAUCUGCACCUGCAACUAGCAACGCUAACACAGGGUUAAGCAAGCAGUAACUUAGUCAAUCAGUGGUUUGCUAGGUCGAACAGGGUGAAGGUUUCAUGGCAUUGUUGAGAGGCUGAUAUUUAACAUGUGGUAGGCAACGAGACAUAAUCGAUGGAAGCGAUAAAACUAGCAUGGCAAUGAUAGUAAUGGUAUAUGGGGAAAUGGUCAUCUUGCCUGAGAUCCCGCUUGGAAGAAGAACAAAUCGAUGGAGUCGGCAAACCAUCAUAGUCGAACGGGUCCUCACAUUCCGACACGCUUGCGGAACUCUAUCAAGACGGGCAAACCGGAAACAAACAUCAACACGAAUAUUCACCACAACAAAAGCAAGACAUGAUGCAUACCCUAAUAUGAUGCAUGAUCAGUUCAUUGAUGCAAGGGAUGGCAUGGCAAUUCACCUCACGCAAACACUACACAUUAAGUGAAGCUCGAUAUGCAACGGGUUACAUAUCGACGAAACUCCAUGAUUGAUUAUUUAGUUCACUCCCGAUUAUUUACACGGCAAUAUUAAAUUGUACUUAACAUGUCAAGGGGUGAAGCGUUGAUCCUAAGUGUCAUCCUAGUCGGUUUAACUCGCGGAACAAAGAGCGGAGCUACGGCACGAGAGACAUGCAACACAAGAUCAUAUGCCAUGAAUGCUUUAUGCAUGCAAGUUACAACAUCACGGGCAAGAAGAGAAAGAAACAGGUGUCGCCACGGCGAGCGAAAGGGAAAUUAUGGCGGCNNNNNNNNNNNNNNNNNNNNNNNNNNNNNNNNNNNNNNNNNNNNNNNNNNNNNNNNNNNNNNNNNNNNNNNNNNNNNNNNNNNNNNNNNNNNNNNNNNNNUAGUUGAUCAAGGAUGGUUAAGGUUUUCUGACCAUAUACAAGUGUUGUGUGACAGCCCUAGACCGAUGCCUAGAAGAUUCCCCCUUUUAUUUCUGUUUCCGUCGUGUGCUUAUUUUUAUUUGUUGCAUCAUCAUGUAGUUGCAUCAUCGCAUCAUGCAUGGCAUCUUGCAUCGUCUGUCGCGUGUGGUGCUUGGAGUGUUGUGCUUCGAGUGAUCACCGAGUCAUAGAGCGAUAGUAGCUCACCCUCUCUCUCCCUCUUAUUUCAUUUUUGUGGUUUUUGCUUAAGAACAGUUUUAACCCCGUCAAGGGUUCGUUUUCUUCUUUUCAUUAAAAAUCUUUUUUAUUAAAUGUGGGGGCAACCCUUGGGUUUUGAUUUUAUUUUUCCUUUUGUUUUAUUUUAAAACCGUCUCAUUUUAUUUUCUCUUUUAAAAGGCUUUUAUUUUAUCCUUUAAAUAAAAGAGAUUUUAUUUUAUUCUCUUGUCAAAAGGGGUUUAAAUUUUAUUCUUUUUUAAAAGGGUUUUAAUUUAAUUCUUAAGGAAAAGGUUUCAUUUUUAUUUUGUUUAAAAAGCCCAAACUAUUUCUUAUAGUUGGGGUAUUUUUUUAAAGGAGUAAAAGGCAUUUUUUUUAUUUUGUUAAAAACCAUUUUUUUCUCUUGUGAUUGUUUCGUGAUUUUUUUAAAAAGAGAGGGGUUGAGAGGGAGCCAGCCAUCCUGCCAUGCCCAAGGCCGAGUCCUCCCGUGCUGACCUAGCGAGCCUGCCCGAGACCCCCAUCUCCCCGUGUGUCUCCCUCCUUUGCCCGAUUCCUCCUCGAUCGCCUCUGCCCCACGAUGCAAGCCCCCUGCCGCCGCCUCUCCAUCCUCCCUGUUCCCCUGCCUUGCCCGAGAUCCACGCUGGCCUCCCAUCCGUGCCGCCGCCCCCGUCUGCGAGAUGCCAGCGCCGAGCCCGGCUCGCCCCCGUUUCCCUCGCCUGCCGUAGGAGCUCGACGCCCUGGCCGCCGUGCUCGUCGUUCGUCGUGCCCCGUGUUGGCCCGUCCCCGCGUAGUCCCACGCGCCGCCCUCAUCCUCGCCGCCAGCAGCCGGUCACCGCCCGAGGUCCCCGUCGGGGUCAGCCCGUGCUGGCUCGUUCCCGCGCGGCUGCCGCCCGUCGUGAUGUCAUGCUAACCUGCCGCCGUGCUCGGCCCUCGCCGCGUCGCCGUGGCCUCGCCGUCCCCAGCGCCCUUGGUCCCACGCCGCCUCCUCCGCCUUCCUGCGCCAUUGCCUGCUGCCGUGUGCAGGUUGCUGGUGCCAGUUGCCGUUGCUGCAUUUUAUUUUCCCGCCGAGCUGCCCUGCUGUGGCGUUGCUAAGCUGCUACUGCUAGCUUGCUGUUGCUGUGCCAUGCUCCUUGCGCGUUGCUGCCUACCAUUUCCGUUGUAGUUGCUGCUUGCUGCUGCCGCCUGAUGUUGCUGGUACCUGCUUGUUGUUGCCCGCCGAUAGCUGCUGUUGCGUGUUGUUUGCUGUUGCUGGUACCCGUGCUGCCGCUGAGGCUAGAAGCUGCUGCUAGGUAGUUGCUAGUUGCUGUAGUUGAUGGUUGUUGUUCCUGCUACUUUGCCGUUAUUGCUUGCUGUUGCCGCAUGUUGUAGGUUGCUUGCUGAGGCAUUCUAGUGGCUAGAUGUUAGUUGCUGCCGCCAGUAGUCGUGGCCGCCGCUCACCUUUGCUCGUGCUGCCGCUUGCGCCGCCGCGUGCGCCGUUUCCCUCCGUCAUGGAACCGACAAGAUCACGGUGCACAACAACGACCCCGACGACCCCGGAAGCGAGUUCGACUUCCUCGACAUCGCCGAAGACCCGUGAUCGACUACCGACGCCAAAGACUGUGAACCACGAUGCCGAGUACGACUACCGUCGACGAGACCCGAGUUCCUCGACGACCACGACUUCCACGACGACCGUUGUUCCCCUUCACCGAACCGCUCCGAUUCGCACGCGUCGAAGGUAUACCGAUGAGACGUGGCCGAGAACCGUAUGCAUGUGAUGUAUGAGUUGUAUCGUGCGUAUGCAUCUUAUGUUGCCCGAGCACGUUGUCCCUCUUAUGUUGUGCCCGACACAUGGGAACCCGAGAUACGGGAUCACCCAUCUUAAUUUAACGUUCCCGCACACGAUCCCUAUUCGUUGGCACGAUAUCUCGUCGAGUUAUCGGGAUAGGAACGUUGCCAUGGCAUCGUAUCCGUCUUGCCGCCAUAAUUUCCCUUUCGCUCGCCGUGGCGACACCUGUUUCUUUCUCUUCUUGCCCGUGAUGUUGUAACUUGCAUGCAUAAAGCAUUCAUGGCAUAUGAUCUUGUGUUGCAUGUCUCUCGUGCCGUAGCUCCGCUCUUUGUUCCGCGAGUUAAACCGACUAGGAUGACACUUAGGAUCAACGCUUCACCCCUUGACAUGUUAACUACAAUUUAAUAUUGCCGUGUAAAUAAUCAGGAGCGAACUAAAUAAUCAAUCGUGGAGUUUCGUCGAUAUGUAACCCGUUGCAUAUCGAGCUUCACUUAAUGUGUAGUGUUUGCGUGAGGUGAAUUGCCAUGCCAUCCCUUGCAUCAAUGAACUGAUCAUGCAUCAUAUUAGGGUAUGCAUCAUGUCUUGCUUUUGUUGUGGUGAAUAUUCGUGUUGAUGUUUGUUUCCGGUUUGCCCGUCUUGAUAGAGUUCCGCAAGCGUGUCGGAAUGUGAGGACCCGUUCGACUAUGAUGGUUUGCCGACUCCAUCGAUUUGUUCUUCUUCCAAGCGGGAUCUCAGGCAAGAUGACCAUUUCCCCAUAUACCAUUACUAUCAUUGCCAUGCUAGUUUUAUCGCUUCCAUCGAUUAUGUCUCGUUGCCUACCACAUGUUAAAUAUCAGCCUCUCAACAAUGCCAUGAAACCUUCACCCUGUUCGACCUAGCAAACCACUGAUUGACUAAGUUACUGCUUGCUUAACCCUGUGUUAGCGUUGCUAGUUGCAGGUGCAGAUGCUUCCAUGUGUAAACAUGGGUUCCUUGUUAUAUCACCCUAUUAAAUGCUAUUUAAUUUAAUGCACCUAUAUACUUGGUAAAAGGUGGAAGGCUCGGCCUUUCUAGCCUGGUGCUUUGUUCCACCUUUGCCCCCUUAAUUUCGGCUACCGGUGUUAUGUUUCAUAAAUGAGCGCUCCUAACAUGAUCGGGGUUGUUAUGGGGACCCCCUUGAUACUUCGUUUUAGAUUAAAGCUGGUCCGGCAAGGCCCAACAUUGGUACUGCAUUUUCCCAACAGAAUAAUUCUGUUAAAUUGAAAUGCAUAGGGAGUUAGCGCUACCCGGGGAGUAAUUCUAUAUAAUACAGGGAGGGCCAGUGUUGAUGGUGCUGGUCCAAAACAGAGCACCGUGCAGGGCCACCGCGAGGAAACUCAAGGUUUGGUACUCGUACGCUUCGCUUAUCCGUCGUGUCCUGAGAACGACAUACGCGGCUCCUAUCGGGAUCGUCGACACGCCGGGCAGCCUUGCUGGAUAAGUUUUACCUUUGACGAGAUAUCUUGUGCAUCGAGAUUCCGGUGAUGCUUUGGGUAAUCUCAGAGUUGAGGUUUUCCACUAGGGAAUCCGACGAGAUCGCGAGCUUCGUGAUUGAGGAUUUCAAUGCGGCUUGUGGUAAUUUGUGAUGGACUAGUUGGAGCACCCCUGCAGGGUUAAAUCUUUCAGAAAGCCGUGCCCGCGGUUAUGUGGCAACGUGGAAACUUUGUUUAACACUGGUUCUAGAUAACUUGAAGUUAACUUAAUUAAAAUAUGCCAACUGUGUGCUAACCGUGACUGUCUCUUAUGUGAGUUCCUUCUCCGAUCGAGGACGCGGUGGGGUUAUGUCUUGUUGGGGAACGUCGCAUGGGAAACAAAAAAAUUCCUACGCGCACAAAGACAUAUCAUGGUGAUGUCCAUCUAUGAGAGGGGAUUUCCGAUCUACGUACCCUUGUAGAUCGCACAGCAGAAGCGUUAAGGAACGCGGUUGAUGUAGUGGAAUGUCCUCACGUCCCUCGAUCCGCCCCGCGAACCGUCCCACGAACCGUCCCGCGAUCCGUCACACGAUCCGCUCCGAUCUAGUGCCGAACGGACGGCACCUCCGCGUUCAGCACACGUACAGCUCGACGAUGAUCUCGGCCUUCUUGAUCCAGCAAGAGAGAUGGAGAGGUAGAUGAGUUCUCCGGCAGCGUGAUGGCGCUCCGGAGGUUGGUGAUGAUCUAAUCUCAGCAGGGCUCCGCCCGAGCUCCGCAGAAACGCGAUCUAGAGGUAAAACCGUGGAGGUAUGUGGUCGGGCUGUCGUGGCAAAAGUUAUCUCAAAUCAGCCCUAAAACCCCACUAUAUAUAGGAGGGAGGGAGGGGAGGAGGCAGCCUCAAAACCUAAAGGUUUGGCCUAAAUUGGAGGUGGAGGAGUCCUACUCCAAUCCUACUUGGAGUAGGAUUCCACCUUCCCACUUGGAAACUCUUUCCACCUUGUGUUUUUUCCUUCUCAAACCUUAUGGGCCUUAGUGGGAACUUAUUCCAGCCCACUAGGGGCUGGUUUAUCUCUUCCCAUAGCCCAUGAGACCCCUUGGGGCGUGACACCCCUCCUGAUGGUCCCCGGCACCCCUCCCGGCACUCCCAGUACACUACCGAUGAGCCCGAACCUUUUCCGGUAAUGCACGAAAACCUUCUGGUAACCAAAUGAGGUCAUCCUAUAUAUCAAUCUUUGUUUCCGGACCAUUCCGGAAACCCUCGUGACGUCCGUGAUCUCAUCCGGGACUCCGAACAACAUUGGGUAACCAACCAUAUAACNNNNNNNNNNNNNNNNNNNNNNNNNNNNNNNNNNNNNNNNNNNNNNNNNNNNNNNNNNNNNNNNNNNNNNNNNNNNNNNNNNNNNNNNNNNNNNNNNNNNACUACACGUCAUUAAGGCAGAAACUUGUUUCUGUUAAAACCCCAAGUAAAAAUAUUUUUUUAAUCUUAUACCACAGUAAUAUAUAAUCACUAGGAAGCAGUAGCAAAAAGAAUCAACUCAAAAUCAUUUUUUAAACUCUUGUAAUAAGCAAAACAAGGUUUAAACUAAAUCUGAUCUAAUUCAAAUUUUAAAAUUUGAAACAUAGACAAAUUAUAUGUUUUCAAAAACUACAGAAAAAUUGGGAUCUACUGGAAAAAGAAUCAACCUCAUUGGACUUCGGGAUCAAAAGCUAUGCUCAAAACAAAAUUGAAACUUUUCUGUUUUUGGAACUAAACAGAAAAAGAAAACAAAUACUAACAGACACGUGGCAAUCCCUGAUUUGCUGCGGGGGUGUGUGCUGCGGGUAUAAUGAGCAAACGGCUGAAACUUAAGAAAAUCUACGGCUAAAAAAUAAGUGGGGCAGAAAACCGUUCGGGUUUUUACUUAAAAACCGAAGGGGUACCUAACUUCUAAUCUAGCGCGUUGGUUCUUGAUCUAACGGUGGAGGAGGGGUGGGGUGCUCACCGUGGUGGAGAUGAACUCCGGCAGGGUCUGAGGCGGCGGCUGAAGGUGGUGGAGGUUGGGGAGAAAGCUCCGGUGAGUCCCGACGGUGGCCGAAGGCUUGGGGAGGCGGCGACAAAGCUCCCGCGUCCUCUGGCAGCGACGGCAAGGCGAGGGAGGGGCGUCGGGCGAGCAGGGGAAGCUCGGGGCUUCGGGUGGUGGCCAACUCCGGCGGUGCAGCAGGGGCGGUUUGGGCGGCGAGACGGCGGGGCGAGGUGGGGAACGGGGUGCGGCGUGCGGUGGGGGUAUUUAUAGGGGGAGAGGGGGCCUCGGGAGGGAAGGAGGAGGGAGAUCCGGGGAGAGGGGAUCGGCUCCGGCGAACUUGGAAGGGGGCCGAGGUGACGGGAAGGAAAGAGAGGGAGGGAAAGGAAAGAGGUGACCGAGCGGGUGGCGGUUCGGAGGGUGGGGCCCGCUGGCAGGGAGAGAGAGAGAGAGGUGACUGGGGAUCGGCCACCCGAUCCGGAGUGGAUUCGGAUCCGGCGAGUGGGAUUCGGCCCACAGGGGCUAUCUAGCGACGGUGCGAUUUUAGAAAAAAAAAUACCUUUCCUAUUUUUCUAAAAUAGGAAGUAAAACAAAUAAAAAGGUAGGUAAAUAAAAUCCUAAAAUAGGGGUAUUAUAUACCGAAAAAAUCAGAAAAAUAUCCUCUACUCGAUUAACAUUUUUCCAAGGCAAAAAUAGAAACUUUUAAAAAAUGAUUUUUUUAGAAAAUCCCCUAAAUGCUUUAUUUCUUUUUGGCAAUUAUUUUCACGAUAAAACUUUGGAUGUCUUGGCUCCAAAUAUUUCAGAGAUGCCUCACAUUUUGGAGGGUCAUUUUCCUCCGCUCUCUCUUGCGUGCAAGAGAUUAUUUCCCGGCACUUCUCGUGUGAAAAAAAAUAGAAAUGCAAAAGGCAAAAGUCGAAAGAAUUCAAAUGCAAACUUUAUUUAAAUCAAUAUGCAUAGAUGCUUAGCUACAAUGUAAAACAUUCCCAAUUAGGAAAAUUGGGAUGUUACAGACCACCAUAAUUUCCUAUAAAUACAUAACCGCCCAAAAAGGAACCUAGAUCGGGAGUUCCGCCGCCGCAAGCCUUUGUAGCCACCAAAAACCAAUCAGGAGCCUGUUCUGGCACCCUGCCGAAGGGCGAAUCCAUCUCCGGUGGCCAUCUUCAUCAUCCCGGUGAUCUCCAUGACGAGGAGGGAGUAGUUCUCCCUCGGGGCUGAGGGUAUGUACCAGUAGCUAUGUGUUUGAUCUCUCUCUCUCGUGUUCUUGAGAUGUCAUGAUCUCGAUGUACCACGGGCUUUGCUACAAUAGUUGGAUCCUAUGAUGUUCUUCCCCCUCUCCCUUCUUGUAAUGAAUUGAGUUUUCCCUUUGGAGUUAUCUUAUCGGACUGAGUCUUUAAGAACACUUGAUGUAUGCCUUGCACGUGUCUAUCUGUGGUGACAAUGGGAUAUUCAUGUGAGUACUUGAUGUAUGUUUUGGUGAUCAACUUGCGGGUUUCGUGACAUUGGGAACCUAUGCAUAUGGGUUGGCACACAUUGUGACUCUCCGGUAGAAACUUCGGGGCACUCUUUGAAGUUCUAUGUGUUGGUUCAAUAGAUGAUUCUGAGAUUGUGUGAUGCAUAUCGUAUAAUCAUGCCCAUGGAUACUUGAGGUGACAAUGGAGUAUCUAGGUGACAUUAGGGUCUUGGUUGAUAUGUGUCUUAAGGUGUUAUUCUAGUACGAACUCUAUGAUGGAUCGAACGGAAAGAAUAGCUUCGUGUUAUUUUAGUACGGACUCUUGAAUAUAUCGAUUAGAAAGAAUAACUUUGUGGUGGUUUCGUACCCGACAAUAAUCUAUUCGUCUGUUCUCCGCCAUUAGUUACUUUGGAGUGACUCUUUGUUGCACGUUGAGGGAUAGUUAUAUGAUCCAAUUAUGUUAUCAUUGUUGAGAGAACUUCACUAGUGAAAGUAUGAACCCUAGGCCUUGUUUCCACGCAUUGUAAUACCGUUCGUGCUCGCUUUUACUUUUAGUUACCUUGCUGUUUUUGUAAUUUCAGAUUACAAAAACCUAUAUCUACCAUCCAUAUUGCACUUGUAUCACCAUCUCUUCGCCGAACUAGUGCACCUAUACAACUUACCGUUGUAUUGGGUGCGUUGGGGACAUAAGAGAUUCUUUGUUAUUUGGUUGCAGGGUUGCUUGAGAGAGACCAUCUUCAUCCUACGCCUCCCGCGGAUUGAUAAACCUUAGGUGACCCACUUGAGGGAAAAUUGCUACUAUCCUACAAACCUCUGCACUUGGAGGCCCAACAACGCCUACAAGGAGAAGGUUGCGUAGUAGACAUCAGUGACGUCCGUGAUCUCAUCCGGGACUCUGAACAAAACUUCGGUCACCGCACCUAUAACUCAACUAUACCGAAACGCACCGAACCUUAAGUGUGCAGACCCUGCGGGUUCGAGAACUAUGCAGACAUGACCUGAGACACUCCCCAGUCAAUAUCCAAUAGCGGGACCUAGAUGUCCAUUUAGGAUCCUACAUAUUCUAUGAAGAUCUUAUCGGUUGAACCUCUAUGCCAAGGAUUCAUAUAAUCCCGUAUACCAUUCCCUUUGUCGUUCGGUAUGUUACUUGCCCGAGAUUUGAUCGUCGGUAUCCCUAUACCUAUUUCAAUCUCGUUACCCGCAAGUCUCUUUACUCGUUCCGUAAUACAAGAUCCCAUGACUAACACUUUAGUCACAUUGCUUCCAAGGCUUAUAUGUGAUGUUGUAUUACCGAGUGGGCGCCGAGAUACCUCUCCGUCACACGGAGUGACAAAUCCCAGUCUUGAUCCAUGCUAACUCAAUGGACACCUUCAGAGAUACCUGUAGAGCACCUUUAUAGCCACCCAGUAACGUUGCAACGUUUGAUACACACAAGGUAUUCCUCCGGUGUCAGUGAGUUACAUGAUCUCAUGGUCAUAGGAAUGAAUACUUGACACGCAGAAAACAAUAGCAACAAAAUGACAGGAUCACAUGCUACGCUUAUAGUUUGGGUCUUGUCCAUCACAUCAUUCUGCCAAUGAUGUGAUCGAGUAAUCAAGUAAGAACACUUGUAUAUGGUCAGAAAACCUUAACCAUCCUUGAUCAACUAGCUAGUCAACUAGAGGCUUACUAGGGACAUAGUUUUGUCUAUAUAUCCACACAUGCAUUUAUGUUUUCAUUCAAUACAAUUAUAGCAUGGAUAAUAAACGAUUAUAUUGAUACAAGAAAUAUAAUAAUAACUAUUUUAUUACUGCCUCUAGGGCAUAUUUCCAACAGUCUCCCACUUGCACUAGAGCCAAUAAUCUAGUCUCACAUUGCUAUGUGAUUUACAUUGUAAUGAAUCUAACACCCAUACAGUUCUAGUGUUGAUUAUGCUUCGCUCGUGGAAGAGGUUUAGUUAGCGGAUGUGCAACAUUCAGAUCCGUGUGCACUUUGCAAAUAUUUACGUUCUCUCCUUCGACAUAGUCGCGGAUCAGGUUGAAGUGUCGUUUGAUGUGUCUGGUCUUCUUCUGAAAGCUUGGUUCCUUGGCUAGAGCAAUGGCACCAGUGUUGUCACAGAACAUAGUUAUUGGAUUUAGUGUGCUCGGCACAACUCGAAGAUCCUUCAUGAACUGCUUCAUCCAGACACCCUCUUAGCCGCCUCCGAGGCAGCCAUGUACUCUGCUUCACAUGUAGAAUCUGCUAUGACGCUUUGCUUGGAACCGCACCAGCUUACCGCACCCCCAUUGAGAAUAAAUACGUAUCCGGUUUGAGACUUAGAGUCAUCCGGAUCAGUGUCAAAGCUUGCAUCAACGUAACCCUUUACGACGAGCUCUUCGUCACCUCCAUAAACGAGAAACAUUUCCUUAGUCCUUUUCAAGUACUUCAGAAUAUUCUUGACAGCCGACCAGUGUUCCACUCCUGGAUCACUUUGAAACCUACCUGCCAUACUUAUGGCCAGGUUGACGUCCGAUCUUGUGCAUAGCAUUCCAUACAUGAUAGACCCUAUGGCUGAAGCAUAGGGGACGGUAUGCAUCUUUUCUCUAUCUUCCGCAGUUACUUGACAUUGAGUCUUACUCAACUUUAUACCUUGUAACACCGGCAAGAACCCUUUCUUGGAUUGUUCCAUUUUGAAAUUCUUCAAAACUUCAGCAAUAUGUCAUCCACAUAUAAUAUUAGAAACGCUACAGAGCUCCCACUCACUUUCUUGUAUAUACAAGAUUCUCCAACAACUUGUAUAAACCCAAACGCCUUGAUCACCUCAUCAAAGCGUUUAUCCCAACUCCGAGAUGCUUGCACGAGUCCAUAAAUGGAUCACUGGAGCUUGCAUACUUUGUUAGCAUUCUUUGGAUCAACAAAACCUUCGGGUUGCAUCAUAUACAACUCUUCCUUAAGAAACCCAUUAAGGAACACCGUUUUGACAUCCAUCUGCCAGAUUUCAUAAUCGAAAAACGCAGCUAUUGCUAACAUGAUUCAUACGGAUUUAAGCAUCGCUACCGGUGAGAAUGUCUCAUAGUAGUCAACUCCUUGAACUUGUGAAAAACCAUUUGCCACAAGUCGAGCUUUAUAAACGGUCACAUUACCGUCCGCGUUCGUCUUCUUCUCAAAGAUCCAUUUGUUCUGAAUAGCCUUGCGACCUUCAGGUAAUACUUCCAAAGUCCACACUUUGUUUUCAUACAUAGAUCCUAUCUCAAAUUUCAUGGCCUCUAACCAUUUGUUGGAAUCUGGGCCCACCAUUGGUUCUUCAUAAUUCGCAGGCUCAUUUUUGUCUAACAAUAUGAUAGAUAAGACAGGAUUCUCGUACCACUCAUGAGCAAUACGUGAUCUUGUCGACCUGCGAGGUCCGAUAGUAAUUUGAUUCGAAGCUUCAUGAUCAUCAUCAUUAGCUUCCUCCUCAACUCGUGUUAUCUCGAUAGAGAUUUCCCUAUGCCCUGCUCCACCAUCCUGUUGGAGCAGAGGUUCCACAACAUCAUCAAGUUCUAUCUUCUUCCCACUCAAUUCUUUCGAGAGAAACUCUUUCUCAAGAAAAGCUCCGUUCUGAGCAACAAACACUUUGCCCUCGGAUCUGUGAUAGAAGGUGUACCCAACUGUCUCUUUUGGGUAACCUAUGAAGAGGCACUUUUCCGCUUUGGGUUCCAGCUUUUCAGGGUGAAGCUUUUUGACAUAAGCAUCGCAACCCCAAACUUUAAGAACCGACAACUUUGGCCUCUUGCCAUGCCAUAGCGCAUAUGGUGUCGUCUCAACGGAUUUUGAUGGCGCCCUAUUUAAAGUGAAUACAACUGUCUCUAAUGUAUAACCCUAAAACGAUAAUGGCAAAUCGGUAAGAGACAUCAUAGAUCGCAACAUAUCUAACAAAGCAUGAUUACAAUGUUCGGACACACCAUUACGUUGUGGUGUUCCAGGUGGUGUCAACUGUGAAACGAUUCCACAUUGUCUUAAGUGAGCACCAAACUCGUAACUCAGAUAUUCACCCCCUCGACCAGAUCGUAGGAACUUGAUCUUCUUGCUAUGAUGAUUUUCAACUUCACUCUGAAAUUGUUUGAACUUUUCAAAUGUUUCAGACUUGUGCUUCAUCAAGUAGAUAUAUCCAUACCUACUCAAAUCAUCAGCGAAGGUGAGAAAAUAACGAUAUCCGUCGCGUGCCUCCACACUCAUUGGUCUAUACACAUCAGUAUGUAUGAUUUCCAACAAGUCACUUGCACGCUCCAUUGUUCCAGAGAACGGAGUCUUAGUCAUCUUGCCCAUGAGGCAUGGUUCGCACGUGUCAAGUGAUUCAAAAUCAAGUGACUCCAAAAGCCCAUCAACAUGGAGUUUCUUCAUGCGCUUUACACCAAUAUGACCUAAGCGACAGUGCCACAAAAAGGUGGUGCUAUCAUUGUUAACUCUACAUCUUUUGGUCUCAAAGUUAUGGAUAUGUGUGUCAUCACAAUCAAGAUUCAAUAUGAACAAAACCCUCACAUUGGGUGCAUGACCAUAAAAGAUAUUACUCAUAUAAAUAGACCAACCAUUAUUCUCUGACCUAAAAGAGUAACCGUCUUGCAAUAAACAAGAUCCAAAUAUAAUGUUCAUGCUUAACGCAGGCACUAAAUAACAAUUAUUUAAGUUCAUAACUAAGCCUGAUGGUAACUGAAGUGAGACCGUGCCGACGGCGAUUGCAUCAACCUUGGAACCAUUUCCCACGCGCAUCGUCACUUCAUCCUUCGCCAGCCUUCGUUUAUUCCGCAGUUCCUGCUUCGAGUUGCAAAUGUGAGCAACAGAACCGGUAUCAAAUACCCCGGCUCUACUAUGAGAGUUGGUUAGGUACACAUCAAUAACAUGUAUAUCACAUAUACCUGGUUUCGCGUUGGCCACCUUCUUAUCAGCCAAAUACUUGUGGCAGUUGCGCUUCCAGUGACCCAUCCCCUUGCAAUAAUAGCACUCAGUUUCCGGCUUAGGUCCAGCCUUGGGUUUCUUCGUCGGAGGGGAAACAGUUUUGCCGCUCUUCUUGGAGUUACCCUUCUUGCCUUUGCCGCUUUUCUUGAAACCAGUGGUCUUAUUGACUAUCAACACUUGAUGUUCUUUCCGGAUUUCUGACUCCGCGACUUUCAACACCGCAAAUAACUCGUGGGGUGACUUAUUCAUCCCUUGCAUGUUAUAGUUCAACACAAAGCUCUUGUAGCUAGGUGAUAGUGAUUGAAGAAUUCUGUCAGUGAUAGCCUCUUGCGGGAGUUCAAUCCCCAUCUCAGCUAGAUGGUUUGAGUACCCCAGACAUUUUGAGCACAUGUUCACUGAUAGACGAAUUCUCCUCCAUUUUGCAAGCAUAGAAUUUAUCAGAGGUCUCAUACCUCUCGAUCUGGGCAUUCUUCUCAAAGAUAAACUUCAACUCCUGGAACAUCUCAUUUGCUCCAUGACGUUCAAAGCAUCGUUGAAGUCCUGGUUCUAAGCCAUACAAGACUGCACAUUGAACUACCGAGUAGUCCUCCUUACGCGCUUGCCAAGUGUUCAAAACAUCUUGAUCAGCCGUAGCGGGUGGUUCAUCUCCUAGCACUACAUCAAGGACAUGAUUCUUUUGCCCAGCUUGUAAGAUAAGCCUCAGAUUAUGAGCCCAGUCUACAAAGUUGCUACCAUUAUCUUUCAACUUAGCUUUCUCUAGGAACGUAUUGAAAUUCAGGGUUGCUACUGCGCGAGCCAUUGAUCUACAACAUAAAAAUAUUUCAAAGUUUCCUUAGACUAUGUUCAAGACAAUUAGAGUUUAGAUGAUCAUAUUACUAAUAAACUCCCACUCAAAUAGACAUCCCUCUAGUUAUUUGAGUGUGGCAUGAUCCAAAUUCACUAACUCAAGUCCGAUCAUCACGUGAGUUGAGUGUAGUUUCAGUGGUAAACAUCUCUAUGUUAAUCAUAUCAACCAUACGAUUCAUGCUCGACCUUUCGGUCUCUUGUGUUCCGAGGCCAUGUAUGUACAUGCUAGGCUCGUCAAGUUUAACCCGAGUGUUCCACGUGUGCAACUGUUUUGCACCCAUUGUAUGUGAACGUUGAGUCUAUCACACCCGAUUAUCACGUGGUGUCUCGAAACGACGAAUUGUCGCAAUGGUGCACAGUCGGGGAGAACACAAUUUUAUGUUGAAAUUUUAGUGAGGGGUUGCUACGGCGACAGAAAAAUUCUGUCGUCUCUUGAGCUUGCGUUGGUUUUUCCCUUGAAGAGGAAAGGGCGAUGCAACACAGGAGCAGUAAGUAUUUCCCUCAGUUUAAGAACCAAGGUAUCAGUCCAGUAGGAGAAUCGCGUCAAGUCCAAAGUACCCGCACUAACAUAAAAGAGCUUGCACCCAACGCUAUAAAGGGGUUGUCAACCCCUUCAAGAUUGAUUGCAAAGUGAGAUCCGAAGGCGGAAAGUGCAACGAAGUAAAAGAGUAAGGCUGACAAUAUGGUGUGAAGUAGACCCGGGGGCCAUAGUGUUCACUAGAGGCUUCUCUCAAAAUAGAAAAUAUUAUGGUGGGUGAACAAAUUACUGUCGAGCAAUUUAUAGAACUGCGCAAAGUCAUGAUGAUAUCUAAGGCAAUGAUCAUACAUAUAGGCAUCGCGUCCGAGACAAGUAGACCGAUACUUUCUGCAUCUACUACUAUUACUCCACACAUCAACCGCUAUCCAGCAUGCAUCUAGUGUAUUGAGUUCAUGACGAACAGAGUAACGCCUUAAGCAAGAUGACAUGAUGUAGAGGGAUAAUCUCAAACCAAUGAUGAAAACCCCAUCUUUUUACCCUUGAUAGCAACAACACGAUGCGUGCCUCGCAACCCCUUCUGUCAAUGGGUGAGGUCACCGCAUGGUAUGAACCCAAAACCAAGCACUUCUCCCAUUGCAAGAAUCAUAGAUCAAGUUGGCCAAACAAAACCGAAAACCUGAAGAGAAUUACAAGGGUAUGAAAUCAUGCAUAUAAGAGAUCAGAAGAAACUCAAAUAAGAUACAUAGAUAAUUUGAUCAUAAAUCCACAAUUCAUCGGAUCUCGACAAACACACCACAAAAGAAGAUUACAUCGGAUAGAUCUCCAUGAAGAUCAUGGAGAACUUUGUAUUGAAAAUCCGAGAGAGAGAAGAAGCCAUCUAGCUACUAGCUAUGGACCCGUAGGUCUAUGGUGAACUACUCACGCAUCAUCCGAGAGGUCAUGGUGUUGAUGAAGAAGCCCUUCGUAUCCGAAUCCCCCCUCCGGUAGGGCACCAGAACGUGCCCCAGAUGGGAUCUUGCGGAGACAGAAGCUUGCGGCGGCAGAAAAGUACUUUCGAUGAUCUCCUGAUUUUUUCUGGAAUUUUUGGGAAUAUAUAGGCGAAAGACCUAGGGCAGACGUGGCCUAGGGAGCCCACAAGCCUGGGAGGCGUGGGCCCCCUGGACGCGGGUAGGGGGCUUGUGGGGUCCCUGGUGGCCCCCUGCCUUGGUUCUCAAGUCCCCCGAUCAUCUUCUGUUUCGGAAAAAAUAUUUUUGGAAGUUUCGUUCCGUUUGUAUUCCGUUUAAAAUCCUGCUCUGAAAAGGGUAAAAAACACGGAAAAAACACGAACUGGCACUUGGCACUGAGUUAAUAAGUUAGUCCCAAAAAAGAUAUAAAAGGCAUACAAAACAUCCAAAGUUUGACAAGAUAAUAGCAUGAAACCAUCAAAAAUUAUAGAUACGUUGGAGACGUAUCAAGCAUCCCGAAGCUUAACUCCUGCUCGUCCUCGAGUAGGGAAGUGAUAAACACUGAAUUUUUGAUGUGGAAUGCUACCUAGCAUAAUUGUCCUUUGUAACUUCUUUCAUGUGACAAGAAUGUUCAGUUCCGUAAGAUUCAAAACAAUAAUUUGCUAUUGACAUGAAAACAAUAAUACUUCAAGCAAACUAGCAAGGUAAUCAUGAACUUUCAAAAUAAUAAGGCCAAAGAAAGUUAUCCCUACAAAAUCAUAUAGUCUGGCUAUGCUCCAUCAUCCUCACACAACUAAUUUAACUCAUGCACAACCCCGGUAUUGGCUAUGUAAUUGUUUUCGCACUCUUACUUUCUCAAACCUUUUAUAACUAUCACGCAAUACAUGAGCGUGAGCCAUGGAUAUAUCACUAUAGGUGGAAUAGAGUGUGGUGGUGGUUGUGAGACAAAAAAGGAGGAGAUGGUCACAUUGACUCGGCGUAUCAAAGGGCUAUGGAGAUGCCCAAUAAUAGAUAUCAAUGUGAAUGAGUAGGGAUUGCUAUACAAAGGAUGCACUAGAGCUAUAAGUAUGUGGAAGCUCAAAAGGAGAACUACUGGGUGUGCAUCCAACUUGCUUGCUCACGAAGACCUAGGGCAGUUUUGAGGAAGCCCAUCAUUGGAAUAUACAAGCCAAGUUAUAUAAUAAGGAUUCCCACUAGCAUAUGGUGGUGACGAAACGAGAGGCUCUCAAACAUGAAGAACAUGGUGCUAUUAUGAAGCACAAGUGUGGAAAAAGAUAGUAGCAUUGUCCCUUCUCUCUUUUUCUCUUUGUUUUAUUUGGGUUCUUGGGCCUCUUUUUUUUUAUUUGGGCUCUUUGGGCUCUUUUUUUAUUUCCUCACAUGGGACAAUGCUCCAAUAAUGAUGAUCAUCACACUUUUAUUUACUCACAUCUCAAAGCUGAGAAUGAUGAUGACUCUAUAGAAAAUGCCUCCGGCAGUGUACCGGGAUGUGCAACGAUCUAGAUUGGCGUAUGACGUUGAAACAUCUCGCUAGCUAUCUUACGAUCAUGAAAUGGCAAUAUGAGAGUGACGACACAAGUCAUGAGACGGAACGGUGGGAUUUGCAUGGCUAUAUAUCUUGGAAUGGCUAUGAAAAUACCAUAGUAGGUAGGUAUGGUGGCUGUUUUGAGGAAGGCAUAUGGUGGGUUUGUGUACCGGCGAAAGUUGCGCGGCACUAGAGAGGCUAGCAAUGGUGGAAGGUGAAAGUGCAUCUAUACCAUGGACUCACAUUAGUCAUGAAGAACUCACAUACUGGUUGCGAAAGUUUUUAUUAGUAAUCAAAACAAAGUGCUAAACGCAUACUCCUAGGGGAAGGGUUGGUAGGUUUUAACCAUCGCGCGAUCCCGACCUCAACACAAAGGAUGACAAUCAAUAGAUCAAUUAUGCUCCGACUUCCUAACAUAGCGGUUCACCAUACGUGCAUGCUACGGGAAUCACUAACUUCAACACAAGUAUUUCUAGAUUCACAACACCCUACUAACAUAACUCUUAAUAUUACCAAAUCCACGUCUCAAAACUAAUUGAGAGGAAUCAAGACUUCUCUUUCUACUCAAUGCACACGAAUAUGGAGGUUUUUGUAUCCUCUUUGGGUACCUAUCACCUUGGGACUACUUUCAUAGCACAAGCCAACAACCAAGUCACGCACCGCCGUGCUCUAAAAGAUCUAAGUGAAGCACAAAGAGCAAAAUUAUCUAGCUCAAAAGAUAUAAGUGAAGCACGAUGAGCAUUCUAGCAAAUUCACGAUGAGUGCAUGUCUCUAUCAAAAGGUGUGCAGCAAGGAUGAUUGUGACACAACAAAAAGAAAAUACUCCUAUGAUACAAGACGCUCCAAGCAAAACACAUAUCAUGUGGUGAAUAAAAUUAUAGCUCCAAGUAAUGUUACCGAUGGAUUGAAGACGAAAGAGGGGAUGCCUUCCCGGGGAAUUCCCAAGUUUAGGAUUUUUAGUGUCCUUGAAUUUGGCUUGAGAUGCCUUGGGCAUCCCCAAGCUUGAGCUCUUUCCUCUCUUUAUCCCUUUUUCCAUGAGAACAUCACCCAAAACUUGAAAACUUCACAACACAAAACUUAAACAGAAACUUGUGAUAACAUUAGCACAAGAAAACAAACUACCACCUCUGUAGGUACUGUAGCAAUCUUGAUUUCUAUUUAUAUUGGUGUUAGAGUACUGUAUUCUCACUUUUCCAUGGCUAGUACCCCCCGAUACUAUCCAUAGUUUCAUCAAAACAAGCAACCAACUCAACAAAAACAGAAUCUGUCAAAAACAGACCAGUCUGUAGCAAUCUGUAUACUUCGUAUACUUCUGGUACCUCACAAGUUCUGCAAAAUUACUACUGCCUGGACAAAAGGCAUAUCAACCAGCAGAAAAAAUAAUCAACUCAAAAUCUCUUUCUGCAUAAAAAUGAAAAAUAAUCUCGUGAGCGAUAAGUUUCUGUCUUUUUCCAGCAGGAUCAAACAACCAUCACCAAGACUAGUCAUAAAGGUUUUGCUUGGCUCAAACACAAAAAGAAACACAAAAUACACUAUCAUAACAGAAUUAUGAUGGUGUGGACGCAACAAAACAGAAAGAAAAAGAUAAAUUCAUCGUGUUGCCUCCCAACAAGCGCUAUUGUUUAAUGCCCUUAGCUAGGCAUAAAGCGAUAGAAUCACGUAUCGUCGUCUUUGGUGCUCAAACCAUAAGUAGCCCUCAUCAUGGAUUCAUAAGGCAAUCUUAUUUUCUUUAUAGGAAAAUGAUCCAUGCCCUUCUUUAAAGUAAACUGAAAUCUAAUAUUCCCUUCCUUCAUAUCGAUGAUAGCAUCGAUAGUCCUUAGGAAAGGUCUACCAAGAAUAAUAGGGCAUGUAGGAUUGCAAUCAAUGUCAAGCACAAUGAAAUCCACGGGUACAUAGUUCCUAUUUGCAAAAAUAAGAACAUCAUUGAUCCUUCCCAUGGGUUUCUUGAUAGUAGAAUCCGCAAGAUGCAAAUUAAGAGAACACUCUUCAAUCUCAUUAAAACCCAGAACAUCACAUAAAGACUUUGGAAUCGCGGAAACACUAGCACCCAAAUCACACAAAGCAUUGCAUUCAUAGUUUUUGAUUUUGAUUUUGAUAGUAGGUUCCCACUCAUCAUGAAGCUAUCUAGGGAUAGAAACUUCCAAUUCAAGUUUCUCUUCAAGAGAUUUUAUCAUAGCUUCGACGAUAUGAUCGGUAAAGGCCUUGUUUUGGCUAUAAGCGUGUGUAGAGUUUAGCAUGGAUUGCAUCAAGGAAAUGCAUUCAAUCAAGGAGCAACUAUCAUAAUUGAAUUCCUUGAAAUCCAAAGUAGUAAUUUCAUUACUACUCAAAGUUUUAAUAUCUUGUACUCCACUUUCAAUGCUUUUAGCAUCAAGAUAGAUGGACUCCGAAUCAUUGGGGCGUGUUUCAACCAAAGUGGAUUCAUAUCCAGGCCCAUCAUCAUUAGGUUUGACACAAGAAAACAAAGAUUCGAGGGGAGUCACACCAAGCAGUUUAAGAUUUUUGUGAUUCUUAUCACGAGAACACGCCUUUCUAAGCCAUUCAUGUCUAGCACGAAUUUGGGCGGUUCUUUAUUUGCUCUCACUCAUGGAAACACGCAUAGCUUUCAAAGUUUCAUCCAUAUUGAUCUUGGGAGGAGCAUAUCUAACUUUCAGAGCAUCAAUAUCACUAGACAUUCUAUCAACGCUCCUAGCGAAAUCGUCAAUUUUGAGUAGUUUUUCCUCUAUGGACGCAUUGGAAAUAUUUUGUGAGUUGAUAAACUCUUUGAUAUUACUCACUAGAUCAUAGGGUAAUCUAUUGUAAUUUCCAUGAGUAUUGUUGUAGGAGUUGCCAAAGUUAUUAGAGGAGUUACUAGGAAAAGGCCUUGGAACAUAGUUUCCUCUAAAAGCAUUGUUGUUGCCAAAAUUAUUCCUACCAACAAAAUUAAAGUCCUAGCUAGCGUUGCUACUCUCAAUCAAGGAAGAUAAGGGCAUAUCAUUAGGAUCUAAAGGAGCACUUAUACUAGCAACCAAAUUCAUUAACUCAUCCAUCUUAGCACUCAACGAGUUAAUUUCUUCUAUAGCGUGUACCUUCUUACUAGUAGGUGACCUUUCAGUGUGCCACUGAUAGUAGUUUGUCAUGAUAUUGUCUAGGAGUUUUGUGGCUUCUCUUAACGUGAUUUCCAUGACCGUUCCACCGAAGGCGGAGUCCAAGAUAUUUCUAGCAGCGAAAUUCAAGCGAGCGUAGAAGAUUUGUAUAAUAAUCCAAAGACUCAAGCCAUGAGCGGGACAAUUUCUAAUCAUCAAUUUCAUCCUCUCCCAAGAUUGUGCAACAUGUUCAUGAUCAAGUUGCUUAAAAUUUAUGAUAUCAUUACAGAGAGAGAUAAUCUUAGCCGCCGGAAAAUACUUGGAUAUAUAAGCAUCUUUGCACUAAUUCCAAGAAUCAAUACUAUUUUUGGGCAAAGAUGAAAACCAAGUUUUUGCUCGAUCUCGCAACGAGAAAGGAAAAAGCUUCAAUUUAAUCACAUCAUUAUCCACAUCUUUCUUCUUUUGCAUAUCGCAAAGCUCAAUGAAGGUAUUAAGAUGGGAUGCGACAUCUUCACUAGGAAGGCCAGAGAAUUUCUCUUUCAUAACAAGAUUCAACAAAGCGGCAUUGAUUUCGUAUGACUCCGCACUAGUGGCGAGAGCAAUCGGAGUACUAAUAAAAUCAUUAUUAUUAGUAUUCGAGAAGUCACAAAGUUUGGUGUUUUCAGUCAUGGUGACUUCAACAAGCAAGCAAGCACACAAGAGAACAAAGAGCAAGCGAGAGAAAAGGGCGAACGAAAAAGGCAAACGAAGAAAAGGGCAAACGAAGAAAAGGGCAAAUAUUUUUUUUGUAUUGUUUUUGUUUUUUUUCAGAAGUGGGGGAGAGGAAAACGAGAGGAAAAAAGUAAAUGCAAGAGAUGAGUUUGCGACACUUACUUGGAUGAGUUCUUGACUUGAUCCUCCGCGGCAACGACACCAGAAAUCCUUCUACUACGGUGACAGAAACCUUCUAUCGUCUCUUGAGCUUGCGUUGGUUUUUCCCUUGAAGAGGAAAGGGCGAUGCAGCACACGAGCAAUAAGUAUUUACCUCAGUUUGAGAACCAAGGUAUCAAUCCAGUAGGAGAAUCGCGUCAAGUCCAAAGUACCUGCACAAACACAAAAGAGCUUGCACCCAACGCUAUAAAGGGGUUGUCAAUCCCUUCAAGAUUGAAUGCAAGGUGAGAUCUGAAGGCGGAAAGUGCAACAAAGUAAAAGAGUAAGGCUGAAAAUAUGGUGUGAAGUAGACCCGGGGGCCAUAGUGUUCACUAGAGGCUUCUCUCAAAAUAGCAAAUAUUACGGUGGGUGGACAAAUUACCGUCGAGCAAUUGAUAGAACCGCGCAAUGUCAUGACGAUAUCUAAGGCAAUGAUCAUACAUAUAGGCAUCACAUCCGAGACAAGUAGACCGAUACUUUAUGCAUCUACUACUAUUAUUCCACACAUCGACCACUAUCGAGCAUGCAUCUAGUGUAUUGAGUUCAUGACGAACAGAGUAACGCCUUAAGCAAGAUGGCAUGAUGUAGAGGGAUAAUCUCAAACCAAUGAUGAAAACCCCAUCUUUUUACCCUUGAUGGCAACAACACGAUGCGUGCCUCGCUACCCCUUCUGUCAAUGGGUGAGGUCACCGCACGGUAUGAAUUUGGGUUCUCCUUUUGAGCUUUCACAUACUUAUAGCUCUAGUGCAUCUCUUGUAUGGCAAUCCCUACUCAUUCACAUUGAUAUCUAUUAAUGGGCAUCUCCAUAGCCUAUUGAUACGCCGAGUCAAUGUGACUAUCUCCUCCUUUUUGUCUCACAACCACCACCACACUCUAUUCCACCGAUAGUGCUAUAUCCAUGGCUCGUGCUCAUGUAUUGCAUGAUAGUUAUAAAAAGUUUGAGAAAGUAAGAGUGUGAAAACAAUUACUUGGCCAAUACCGGGAUUGUGCAUGAUUUACAUUAGUUGUGUGAGGAUGAUGGAGCAUAGCCAGACUAUAUGAUUUUGUAGGGAUAACUUUCUUUGGCCUUGUUAUUUUGAAAGUUCAUGAUUACUUUCCUAGUUUGCUUAAAGUAUUACUGUUUUCAUGUCAAUAGCAAACUAUUGUUUCGAAUCUUACGGAUCUGAACAUUCAUGUCACGUGAAAUAAGUUGCAAAGGACAACUAUGCUAGGUAGCAUUCCACAUCAAAAUUUCGUUCUUUAUCACUUCCCUACUCGAGGACGAGCAGGAGUUAAGCUUGGGGAUGCUUGAUACGUCUCCAACGUAUCUAUAAUUUUUGAUUGUUUCAUGCUAUUAUCUUGUCAAACUUUGGAUGUUUUGCAUGACUUUUAGAUAUUUUUUGGGACUAACUUAUUAACUCAGUGCCAAGUGCGAGUUCUUGUUUUUUCCAUGUUUUUGACCCCUUUCAGAGGAGAUUUUGAAAUGGAGUCCAAACGGAAGAAAAUCCCCGAAAAUAUUUUUUCCGGAACGGAAGAAGAUCGGGAAGCUUGAGAGCCAAGGUAGGGGAGCCUCAGGAGCCCCACAAGCCACCACCCCGCGGCCAGGGGGGUAGGCCGCGGCCCACAGGCUUGUGGCCCUCCUGAGCGCCCCCUGACCUAGGGGUUGCGCCUAUAAAUUCCCUAAAAAUCCCAAAAAACUUAGGAGAUCAUCGAAAUUACUUUUCUGCCGCCGCAAGCUUCUGUCUCCAUAAGAUCCCAUCUGGGGCAUGUUCUGGUGCCCUGCCAGAGGGGGGAUUCGGACACGGAGGGCUUCUUCAUCCACACCAUGACCUCUCCGAUGAUGCGUGAGUAGUUCACCAUAGACCUACGGGUCCAUAGCUAGUUGGUAGAUGGCUUAUUCUCUCUCUUGGAUCUUCAAUACAAAGUUCUCCAUGAUCUUCAUGGAGAUCUAUGCGAUGUAAUCUUAUUUUGCGGUGUGUUUGUCGAGAUCCGAUGAAUUGUGGAUUUAUGAUCAGAUUAUCUAUGAAUAUUAUUUGAGUUUCUUCUGAUCUCUCUUAUGCAUGAUUUAAUAUCCUUGUAAUUCUCUUCGAGUUGUGGGUUUUGUCCGGCCAACUAGAUCUAUGAUUAUUGCAAUGGGAGAAGUGCUUGGUUUUGGGUUCAUACCGUGUGGUGACCUCACCUAGUGACAGAAGGGGUAGUGAGGCACGCAUCGUGUUAUUGCCAUCAAGGGUAAAAAGAUGGGGUUUUCAUCAUUGGUUUGAGAUUAUCCCUCUACAUCAUGUCAUCUUGCUUAAGGCGUUACUCUCUUCGUCAUGAACUCAAUACACUAGUUGCAUGCUGGAUAGCGGUCGACGUGUGGAGUAAUAGUAGUAGAUGCAGAAAGUAUCGGUCUACUUGUCUUGGACGUGAUGCCUAUAUGGAUGAUUAUUGCCUUAGAUAUCGUCAUGACUUUGCGCGGUUCUAUCAAUUGCCUGACAUUAAUUUGUUCACCCACCGUGAUAUUUGCUAUUAUGAGAGAAGCCUCUAGUGAACACUAUGAGCCCCACGGUCUACUCCACACCAUAUUUUCAGCCUUACACUUUUUACUUUGUUGCACUUUCUACCUUUAGAUCUCACUUUGUAAACAAUCUUGAAGGGAUUGACAACCCCUUUGAAGCGUUGGGUGCAAGAUUGUUUGUGUUUGUGCUGGUACUCUGGACUUGACGAGGCCCUCCUUCUGGAUCGAUACCUUGGUUCUCAAACUGAGGGAAAUACUUACUGCUCCUGUGCUGCAUCACCCUUUCCUCUUCAAGGAAAAAACCGACGCAAACCAUUGAAGUAACAAGAAGAAUUCCUAGCGCCAAGGAAGGACUUUUGUUGCCGCAACACCCUCCGUAUCCGAAUACCCCCUCCGGCAGGGCACCGGAACGUGCCCCAGAUGGGAUCUUGCGGAGACAGAAGCUUGCGACGGCGGAAAAGUAGUUUCGAUGAUCUCCUGAUUUUUUCUGGAAUUUUUGGGAAUAUAUAGGUGAAAGACCUAGGGCAGACGUGGCCCAGGGAGCCCACAAGCCUGGAAGGUGCGCCCCCCUUGCUGCGGCUAGGGGGCUUGUGGGGUCCCCGGUGGCCCCCUGCCUUGGUUCUCAAGUCCCCCGAUCGUCUUCUGUUUUGGAAAAAAUCUUUUACGAAGUUUCGUUCCGUUUGGAAUCCGUUUAAAAUCCUCCUCUGAAAAGGGUCAAAAACACGGAAAAACAGGAACUGUCACUUGGCACUGAGUUAAUAAGUUAGUCCCCAAAAAGAUAUAAAAGGCAUACAAAACAUGCAAAGUUUGACAAGAUAAUAGCAUGAAACCAUAAAAAAUUAUAGAUACGUUGGAGACGUAUUAGGGGUCACCUUAUAAUGCUACCGCCGUUCUAAGCAAGAUAACGUGCAUAAAAGGAUUAACAUCGCAUGCAAUUCAUAAGUGACAUCAUAUGGCCAUGAUCUUGUGCUUCUUGAUCUCCAUUACCAAAUCACCAGCAUGAUCUUCGUCGUCACCGGCGCCACACCAUGAUCUCCAUCAUCGUGCCACCAUCGAGGUUGUCGUGCUAUCUAUGCUAUCACUACUAAAGCUACAACCUAGCAAUAUAGUAUACACAUUUGCAAGCACAAACGUUAGUUUAACGACAACCCUAUGGCUCUUGUGGGCUGCUGUAGCAUCAACGUGCACGUUGAUAUUUAACUAUUACAACAUGAUCAUCUCAUACAUCCAAUAUAUCACAUCAUGUCUUUGGCCAUAUCACAUCACAUGCAUACCCUGCAAAAACAAGUUAGACGUCCUCUAAUUUGUUCUUGCAUGUUUUACGUGGAUGCUAUGGGUAUCUAGUAUGAUCGCAUCUUACUUACACAAAACCACAACGGUGAUGUGCAAAUUGCUAUUUAACCUAUCUCCAAGGACCACCUCGGUCAAAUCCGAUUCAACUAAAGUUGAAGAAACAAAUACCCGCCAGUCAUCUUUAUGCAACAAGUUGCAUGUUAGUUGAUGAAACCGGUCUCUCGUAAGCGUACGAGUAAGGUUGGUCCAGGCCGCUUCAAUCCAACAAUACCGCUGAAUCGAGAAAAGACUAAGGAGGGAAGAAAAUCGAACAUCAACGCCCACAAAAACUUUUGUGUUCUACUCGAGAUUACAUCGACGCAUGAACCUAGCUCAUGAUGCAACUGGUGGGAAACGUUGCAUGGGAAACAAACAAUUUCCUACACACACGAAGACCUAUCAUGGUGAUGUUCAUCUACGAGAGGGAGAUCGAAUCCACAUACGCUUGUAGAUCGCUAAGCGGGAAUCGUUCAUAAACGCGGUUGAUGUAGUGGAAUAGCUUCGUGAUUCAAAUCGCCGUCAUCCCACAAUCCGUCCCGAUCUAGCACCGAAUGGACGACACCUCCGCGUUCAACACACGUACAACUCGAUGAUGAUCUCUGCCUUCUUGAUCCAUCAAGAGAGACAGGGAAGUAGAUGAGUUCUCCGGCAGCGUGACAACAUGCCGGUGAUGGUGAUGAUCUAUUCCUGCAGGGCUCCGCCCGAGCUCCGUAGAAAACCGAUCUAGAGGAAGAACUACGAAGUAGAGGUUUAGGGUUGCACGUGGCAAAGUUGUGUCUCAAAAACCCUAAAAUCUAUAUUAUAUAUAGGAGGAGGGGAGGGGCUAGCCUUGAGGAUCAAGGGAGCCCCAAGGGCAUCGGCCGAAGGGAGGAGGAGGGACUCCCACUCCAAUUCAGUUUGGAAGGUGGAGUCCCUUCCUUCCUUCCUUCCCACCUCCUUUUUUUCUCCUUUGAUUUUCCCUUGGCCGAAAUAGCCCUAUUGGGCUGGCCUCACCAGCCCACCAAGGGAUGGUGCGCCACCGAUGGUCCUAUUAGGUUCUCUCCUGGGUGGGUGGCCCCUCCCGGUGAAAACCCGAAACCCAUUCGUCACUCCCGGUACACUGCCGGUAAUGCCCGAAAUCUUCCCGGAAGCCAAAUGAAACAAUCCUAUAUAUCAAUCUUCGUUUCCGAACCAUUCUGGAAACACUCGUGACGUCCAUGAUCUCAUCCGGGACUCCGAACAAAACUUCGGUCACCAACACCUAUAACUCAACUAUACCGAAACGUCACCGAACCUUAAGUGUGCACACUCUGCGGGUUCGAGAACUAUGCAGACAUGACCUGAGACACUCCUUGGUCAAUAUCCAAUAGCGGGACCUAGAUGUCCAUAUUGGAUCCUACAUAUUCUACGAAGAUAUUAUCGGUUGAACCUCUGUGCCAAGGAUUCAUAUAAUCCCGUAUACCAUUCCCUUUGUCCUUCGGUAUGUUACUUGCCCGAGAUUUGAUCAUCGGUAUCCCUAUAACUAUUUCAAUCCUGUUACCGACAAGUCACUUUACUCGUUCCAUAAUACAAUAUCCGUGACUAACAUAGUCACAUUUAUUGCAAGGCUUAUAUGUGAUGUUGUAUUAUCGAGUGGGCCCCGAGAUACCUCUCCGUCACACGGAGUGACAAAUCCCAAUCUUGAUCCAUGCUAACUCAACGGACACCUUCGGAGAUACCUGUAGAGCACCUUUAUAGUCACCCAGUAACGUUGCGACAUUUUAUACACACAAGGUAUUCCUCCGGUGUCAGUGAGUUACAUGAUCUCAUGGUCAUAGGAAUGAAUACUUGACACACAGAAAACAAUAGCAACAAAAUGACACAAUCACAUGCUACGUUUAUAGUUUGGGUCUUGUCCAUCACAUCAUUCUCCCAUUGAUGUGAUCCAGUCAUCAAGUAACAACAUGUCACGCCUAAGAUGCGACCCUAUCCUCAAUUUGGCACGAGGGCCUCGUCAGGGAUAGAAGCGCAUCUCGUCGUGUCGCAAGAAUGGAUAUCUUUACAAGUACAUGUACUGAAAAGAAGAGAUAUAUGGAAUUGGCUUACACUCGCCACAAGCUACAUCAGAGUCACAUCAGUACAUUACAUAAUCAUCAAGAGUAAGAGCAGGGUCCGACUAUGGACAAAAAUAAACGACAAAAGAAGAACGACGUCCAUCCUUGCUAUCCCAGUCUGCCGGUCUGGAACCCAUCCUAGAUCGUUUAUGAAGAAGAAGAAGAAGCAACUCCAAAUGAACAAUCAACGCGCUCGCGUCAAGUAACCUUUACCUGUACCUGCAACUGGUGUUGUAGUAAUCUGUGAGCCACAGGGGACUCAGCAAUCUCAUUUCCAAAGGUAUCAAGACUAGCAAAGCUUAAUGGGUGAGGUAUGGUUAAGUGGUGAGGUUGCAACAUCGGCUAAGCAUAUAUUUGGUGGCUAAACUUACGAGUACCAGAAUUAGAGGGGGAAGAUCUACGCAUAACGGACGUGAACUAUUGAUGAUCAAAUGAAUGAUCCUGAACACCUACUACGUCAGACAUGUUGGAAAUAUGCCCUAGAGGCAGUAAUAAUUAGUUAUUAUUAUAUUUCUUUGUUCAUGAUCAUCGUUUAUUAUCCAUGCUAUAAUUGUAUUGAUUGGAAACACAAUACUUGUGUGGAUACAUAGACAAAACACUGUCCCUAGUAAGCCUCUAGUUGACUAGCUCGUUGAUCAAAGAUGGUCAAGGUUUCCUGGCCAUAGGCAAGUGUUGUUACUUGAUAACGGUAUCACAUCAUUAGGAGAAUCAUGUGANGUUAUAUGGUUGGUUACCGAAUGUUGUUCGGAGUCCCGGAUGAGAUCACGGACGUCACAAGGGUUUCGGAAUGGUCCGGAAACGAAUAUUGAUAUAUAGGAUGACUUCAUUUGGUUACCGGAAGGUUUUCGUGCAUUACCGGAAAAGUUUCGGGCUCAUCGGUAGUGCACUGGGAGUGCCGGGAGGGGUGCCGGGGACCAUCAGGAGGGGUGUCAUGCCCCAAGGGGUCUCAUGGGCUAUGGGAAGAGAUAAACCAGCCCCUAGUGGGCUGGAAUAUGUUCCCACUAAGGCCCAUAAGGUUUGAGAAGGAAAAAACACAAGGUGGAAAGAGUUUCCAAGUGGGAAGGUGGAAUCCUACUCCAAGUAGGAUUGGAGUAGGACUCCUCCACCUCCAAUUUCGGCCAAACCUUUAGGUUUUGAGGCUGCCUCCUCCCCUCCCUCCCUCCUAUAUAUAGUGGGGUUUUAGGGCUUAUUUGAGAUAACUUUUGCCACGGCAGCCCGACCACAUACCUCCAUGGUUUUACCUCUAGAUCGCGUUUCUGCGGAGCUCGGGCGGAGCCCUGCUGAGAUUAGAUCACCACCAACCUCCGGAGCGCCGUCACUCUGCCGGAGAACUCAUCUACCUCUCCGUCUCUCUUGCUGGAUCAAGAAGGCCGAGAUCAUCGUCAAGCUGUACGUGUGCUGAACGCGGAGGUGCCGUCCGUUCGGCACUAGAUGGGAGCGGAUCGUGUGACGGAUCGUGGGACGGUUCGUGGGACGGUUCGCGGGGCGGAUUGAGGGACGUGAGGACGUUCCACUACAUCAACCGCGUUUCUUAACGCUUCUGCUGUGCGAUCUACAAGGGUACGUAGAUCGGAAAUCCCCUCUCGUAGAUGGACAUCACCAUGAUAGGUCUUCGUGCGCGUAGGAAUUUUUUUGUUUCCCAUGCGAUGUUCCCCAACAGUGGCAUCAUGAGCUAGGUUCAUGCGUAGAUGUCUUCUUGAGUAGAACACAAAAGUUUUUGUGGGUGGUGAUGUGCGUUUUGCUGCCCUCCUUAGUCUUUUCUUGAUUCCGCGGUAUUGUUGGAUCGAAGCGGCUCGGGCCGACAUUACUCGUACGCUUACGAGAAACUGGUUUCAUCGCUACGAGUAACUCCGUUGCUCAAAGAUGACCGGCGAGUGUCGGUUUCUCCAACUUUAGUUGAAUUGGAUUUGACCGAGGAGGUCCUUGGAUGAGGUUAAAUAGCAACUCAUAUAUCUCCGUUGUGGUGUUUGCAUAAGUAAGAUGCGAUCCUGCUAGAUACCCAUGGUCACCACGUAAAACAUGCAACAACAAUUAGAGGACGUCUAACUUGUUUUUGCAGGGUAUGCUUGUGAUGUGGUAUGGCCAACGAUGUGAUGUGAUAUAUUGGAUGUAUGAGAUGAUCAUGUUGUAAUAGUUAAUAUCGACUUGCACGUCGAUGGUAUGGCAACCGGCAGGAGCCAUAGGGUUGUCUUUAAACUAACGUUUGUGCUUGCAGAUGCGUUUACUAUAUUGCUAGGACGUAGCUUUAGUAGUAAUAGCAUGAGUAGCACGAAAAACCCGAUGGCGACACGUUGAUGGAGAUCAUGAUGAUCGAGAUCAUGGUGUGACGCUGGUGACAAGAAGAUCGUGCCGGUGCUUUGGUGAUGGAGAUCAAGAAGCACAUGAUGAUGGCCAUAUCAUGUCACUUAUGAAUUGCAUGUGAUGUUAAUCCUUUAUGCACCUUAUCUUGCUUAGAACGACGGUAGCAUUAUGAGGUGAUCUCUCACUAAAAUUUCAAGACGAAAUUGUGUUCUCCCCGACUGUGCACCGUUGCCACAGUUCUUCAUUUCGAGACACCACGUGAUGAUCGGGUGUGAUAGACUCAACGUUCACAUACAACGGGUGCAAAACAGUUGCACACGCGGAACACUCGGGUUAAGCUUGACGAGCCUAGCAUGUGCAGACAUGGCCUCGGAACACAUGAGACCGAAAGGUCGAGCAUGAAUCCUAUAGUUGAUAUGAUUAGCAUAGAGAUGCUUACCACUGAAACUAUUCUCGACUCACGUGAUGAUCGGACUUGAGAUAGUGGAUUUGGAUCAUGUACCACUCAAAUGACUAGAGAGAUGUACUUUUUGAGUGGGAGUUCUUAAGUAAUAUGAUUAAUUGAACUAAUUGUCAUGAAUAUAGUCUAAUGGUCUUUGCGAAUUACGAUGUAGCUUGCGCUAUAGCUCUACUGUUUUUAUAUGUUCCUAGAGAAAAUUUAGUUGAAAGUUGAUAGUAGCAAACUUUGCAGACUGAGUCUGUAAAGCCGAGGAUUGUCCUCGUUGCUGCGCAGAAGGCUUAUGUCCUUAAUGCACCACUCGGUGUGCUGCACCUCGAGCAUCGUCUGUAGAUGUUGUGAACAUCCGACAUACACGUUUCUGAUGACUACACGAUAGUUUAGUACAAAAUACUUAAUGGCUUAGAAGCAAGGCGCCGAAGACGUUUUGAAACGUCAAGGAACAUAAGAGAUGUUCUAAAGAGAUGAAAUUGUGAUUUCAUGCUUGUUCCCUUGUUAAGAGGUACGAGACCUCCGACAAGAUUCUUUGUUCACAAAGUAAAGGAGAAAAGCUCAAUCGUUGAGCGUGUGCUCAGAUUGUCUGAGUACGACAAUCGCUGGAAUCAAGUGGGAGUUAAUCUUCCAGAUGAGAUAGUGAUAGUUCUCCAAAGUCACUGCCACCAAGCUGUGAGAGCUUCAUGAUGAACUAUAGCAUAUCAAGGAUAGAUACAAUGAUCUUUGAGUGAUUCGCGAUGUUUGACACUGCGAAAGUAGAAAUCAAGAAGGAGCAUCAAUAGUUGAUGGUUAGUGAAACCACUAAGUUUCGAGAAAGGCAAGGGCUAGAAGGGAUACUUCGUGAAACGGCAAAACAGUUGCUGCACUAAUGAAGAGACCCAAGAUUAAACCCAAACCUGAGACUAAGUGCUUCUGUAAUGAGGGGAACAGUCACUGAGGCGGAGCAACUCUAGAUACUUGGUAGAUAAGUAGGCUGGCAAAAGUCGAAAGAAGUAUAUUUGAUAUACAUGAUGUGUACUUUACUAGUACUCCUAGUAGCAUGAGGGUAUUGGAUACCGGUUCGGUUGCUAAGUGAUUAAUAACACGAAAUGAUAGCUACGGCAUAAACGGAGACUAGCUAAAGGCGAGGUGACGAUACGUGUUGGAAGUGUUUUCAAGAUUGAUAUGAUCAAAACGUUGCACGCUCCCUCUACCAUCGGGAUUGGUGUUAAAACUAAAUAAUUGUUAUUUGGUGCUUGCGUUAAGCAUGAACAUGAUUGGAUCGUGUUUAUUGCAAUAGAUUAUUCAUUUAAAGAGAAUAAUGGUUACUCUAUUUGCUUGAAUAAUCACCUUCAAUGGUUUAUUGAAUCUCGAUCGUAGUGUUACACAUGUUCAUGAUAUUGGUGCCAAAAGAUACGAGGUAAUGAUGAUAGUACCACUUACUUGUGGCACUGCCGCUUGAGUCAUGUUGGUAUAAAUUGCAUGAAGAGGCUCCAUGCUGAUGGAUCUUUAUACUCACUUGAUUUUGAAUCACUAGUGAGAUCCAAAUCAUACCACAUGAGCAAGGCCUUGUUUUCAUUGAGAUGAAACAAGAUAGUAACUUGUUGGAAGUGAUACAUUUUGAUGUAUGCAGUCCAAUGGGUGCUGAGGCACGCAGUGGAUAUCAUUAUGUUCUUACUUCAAUGACGAUUUGAGCAGAUACAAGAGUAUUUACUUAAUGAAUCACAAGUCUGAAAUAUUAAAAAGUUCAAUUCUGUUUCGGAGUGAAGUUCGUCGUAACAAGAGGAUAAACUGCCUACGAUAUGAUCAUAGAAAUGAAUAUCUGAGUUACGAGUUUUGGUACGCAGUUAAGACAAUGUGGAAAUUGUUUCGCAGUUCAUGCCACCUGGAACAUCAUAGUGUGGUGAUGUGUCUGAACGUCAUAGCCACACACUAUUUGGUAUGGUGCAUGCUAUGAUGUCUCUUAUCGAAUUACCACUAUCGUUUAUGGGUUAUGCAUUAGAGACAACCGCAUUCACUUUAAAUAGGGCACCGCGUAUUUCCAUUGAGAUGACACAGUAUAGACUGAGGUUUAGGGAAAUCUAAAUUGUCGUUUCUUGAAAGUUUGGGGCUUUGACACUUAUGUGAAAAAGUUUCAGUCUGAUAAGCUCGAACCCAAAGUGGAUAAAUGCAUCUUCAUAAGAUAUCCAAAACAUUUGGGUACAUCUCCUAUCUCAGAUCCGAAAGCAAAGUGUUUGUUUCUAGAAACGGAUCCUUUCUCGAGGAAAGGUUUCUCUCGAAAGAAUUGAGUGGGAGGGUGGUAGAACUUGAUGAGGUUAUUGAACCAUCACUUCGACUAGUGUGUAGCAGGGCGCAGGAAGUUGUUCCUGUGGCGCCUACACCAAUUGAAGUGAAAGCUGAUGAUGGUGAUCAUCGAGCAUCGGAUCAAGUAACUACAAGCCUCGUAGGUUGACAAUGCGCGUACUACUGCAGAGUGGUACGGUAACCCUGUCUUGGAGGUCAUAUUGUUGAGCAACAGUGAACCUACGAGUUAUGGAGAAAGCAAUGGUGGACCCGAAUUCCGACAAAUGGCUGGAAGCCAUGAAAUCCGAGAGAGGAUCCAUGUAUGAAAACAAAGUGUAGACUUUGGAAGAACUACUUGAUGGUCAUAGGACUGUUGAGUAAAGAUGGAUCUUUGAAAGGAAGACAAACGACGAUGGUGAUAAGUCACUAUUAAGAAAAGCUCGACUUGUCGCAAAGAUGUUUUCGACAUGAUCAAACAGUUGACUAUGGUGAGACUUUCUCACUCGUAGCGAUGCUAAAAGUCUGUUAGAAUUAUGUUAGUAGUUGUUGCAUUAUUUUUGAAAUAUUGCACAUAGGAUGUCAAAACAUUGUUUCCUCGACGAUUUCCUUGAGCAAAAAUUGUAUGUGAUACAACCAGAAGGUUUUGUCGAUCCUAAAGAUACUAACAAGUAUGCAAGCUCCAGCGAUCCUUCAAUGGACUGGUGCAAGCAUCUCGGAGUUGGAAUAUGCACUUUGAUGAGAUGAUCAAAGAUUUUGGGUUCGUACAAGGUUUGUGAGAAACUUGUAUUUCCAAAGAAGUGAGUGGGAGCACUAUAGAAUUUCUGAUAAGUAUAUGUGGUUGACAUAUUGUUGAUCAGAAAUAAUGUAGAAUUUCUAUGAAGCAUAAAAGGUUGUUUGAAAGGAGUUUUUCAAAGGAAUACCUGGAUUGAGCUACUUGAACGUUGAGCAUCAAGAUCUAUGGAGAUAGAUCAAAACGCUUAAUAGAAGUUUCAACAAGAUGCAUGCCUUGACAAGUUUUUGAAGGAAUUCGAAAUAGAUCAGCAAAGAAGGAGUUCUUGACUGUGUUGUAAGGUGUGAAUUUGAGUAAGACUCAAAACCCGACCACGGCAUAAUAAAGAGAAUAGACAAAGGUCGUCUUCUAUGCUUUAGACGUAGACUCUAAAGUAUGCCAUGCUGGGUACCGCACCUGAUGUGUGCCUUGACUCAAAGUCUGUUGAGAGGUACAGAGAGUGAUCCAUGAUUGAAUCGCUAGCAGCGGUCAAAAUUUAUCCUUAGUAACUGAUGGACUAAGGAAUUUUUCUCGAUUAUGGAGGUGGUUAAAGAGUUCGUCGUAAAGGGUUACGUCGAUGCAAGCUUUGACACUAAUCCGAAUAACUAUGAGUAGUAAAACGGAUUCGUAUAGUAGAGUAGAUGUUUGGAGUAUUUCUGAAUAGCACAUAGUAGCAGCAUCUAUAAGAUGACAUAGAGAUUUGUAAAGAACACACGGAUCUGAAAAUUUCAGAACCGUUGAGUAAAGCCUCUCUCACGAGCAAGACGUGAUCAGACCCCAUAACUAUAUGGGUGUUGGAUUCGUUGGAAUCACAUGGUGAUGUGAACUAGAUUAUUGACUCUAGUGCAAGUGGGAGACUGUUGGAAAUAUGCCCUAGAGGCAGUAAUAAUUAGUUAUUAUUAUAUUUAUUUGUUCAUGAUAAUCGUUUAUUAUCCAUGCUAUAAUUGUAUUUAUUGGAAACACAAUACUUCUGUGGAUACAUAGACAAAACACUGUCCCUAGUAAGCCUCUAGUUGACUAGCUCAUUGAUCAAAGAUGGUCAAGGUUUCCUGGCCAUAGGCAAGUGUUGUUACUUGAUAACGGGAUCACAUAAUUAGGAGAAUCAUGUGANNNNNNNNNNNNNNNNNNNNNNNNNNNNNNNNNNNNNNNNNNNNNNNNNNNNNNNNNNNNNNNNNNNNNNNNNNNNNNNNNNNNNNNNNNNNNNNNNNNNGAUCUAUCAUGUAAUCGAGUUAGUUUUGAUGGGGAUUGAUCCCUAGUAUCCACUAUGUUCUGAGAUUGAUGUUGCUACUAUUUUCCCAUGCUUAAUGCUUGUCACUAGGGCCCGAGUGCCAUGAUUUCAGAUCUGAAAUUAUAUGUUGCCACCAAUAUAUGUGUGUUUUAGAUCCGAUCUUGCAAGUUGUAGUUACCUACUAUGUGUUAUGAUCCGGCAACCCCGGAGUGACAAUAACCGGAACCACUCCCGAUGAUGACCAUAGUUUGAGGAGUUCAUGUGUUCACCAAGUGCUAAUGCGUUGGUCCGGUUUUUUAUUAAAAGGAGAACCUUAAUAUCCCGCAGUUUCCUUUUGGACCCCGCUGCCACGGGAGGGAUGGACAAUAGAUGUCAUGCAAGUUCUUUUCCCUAAGCACGUAUGACGACACACGGAAUGUAUGCCUACAACACAUUGAGGAGCUAGCCACAUAUCUCUCCGUGUUAUAGUUGUUGCAUGAUGAAUAUCAACCAAACAAAUCACCGACCCAUUGCCUACAAGUUUGUCCUACUGCUCUUACUUGUCUUGCUCUGUUGCUGCUGCUACUACUGUUGCUACUGCUGUUACUUGUUUUGCUCUCNNNNNNNNNNNNNNNNNNNNNNNNNNNNNNNNNNNNNNNNNNNNNNNNNNNNNNNNNNNNNNNNNNNNNNNNNNNNNNNNNNNNNNNNNNNNNNNNNNNNUGUUCUUGAUCCUAUCUUGCAAGUUGUAGUCACCUACUAUGUGUUAUGACCCGGCAACCCCGGAGUGACAAUAGCCGGAACCACUCCCAGGGAUGACCAUAGUAUGAGGAGUUCAUGUAUUCACUAUGUGAUAAUGCUUUGUUCCGGUUCUCUAUUAAAAGGAGAACCUUAAUAUCCCUUAGUUUCCAUUAGGAUCCCGCUGCCAUGGGAGGGAUGGACAAUAGUUGUCAUGCAAGUUCUUUUCCAUAAGCACGUAUGACUAUAUACGAAAUACAUGCCUACGUUACAUUGAUGAACUGGAGCUAGUUACAUAUCUCCCCAUGUUAUAAUUGUUACAUGAUCAAUGUCAUCCCGCAUAAUUAUCCAUCACCGAUCCAAUGCCUACGAGUUUUUCCUACUGGUCCUUGCUACGUUACUUUGUUGCUACUGCUGUCACUGCUGCUACUGUUACCACUACUGAUGUCACUGUUGCUACUGUUACCAUUGCUACCGUUGCUAUCACACUACUUUGUUACUGAAACUUUGCUGCACAUACUAAGUCUUUCAGGUGUGGUUGAAUUGACAACUCAACUGCUAAUACUCGAUAAUAUUCUUUGGCUUCCCCUUGUGUCGAAUCAACAAAUUUGGGUUGAAUACUCUACCCUCGAAAACUAUUGCGAUCCCCUAUACUUGUGGGUUAUCAGGGCCCACCUGCAUGGGGGGCCACAAGGAUGUGGGUAGUGGGGAAAAUCCCCACACCCUUGGUCUAGGCACAUGAAUAUUCCCCCUUAAAAGGAAUAGGUGGUGGGUAACGUAGCAUAAAUUCAAAAUUUUCCUACGCAUGUUCAGAUCUUCCUAUGGAGAGACCAGCAACGAGAGAGGGAUAAGAGCAUCUUCGUACCUUUGAAGAUCGCUAAGCGGAAGCGUUGCUAGAACGCGGUUGAUGGAGUCGUACUCGCGGCGAUUCCGAUCUAGUGUCGAACAACGACACCUCCGCGUUCAACACACGUGCAGCCCGGUGACGUCUCCCGCACCUUGAUCCAGCAAGGAGGAGGGAGAGGUUGGGGAAGAAGUCCAGCAACACGACGGCGUGGUGUCGGUGGAGAGACGAGGUCUCCCGGCAGGGCUUCGCCAAGCACCAGCGGAGAGGAGGAGGGAGNNNNNNNNNNNNNNNNNNNNNNNNNNNNNNNNNNNNNNNNNNNNNNNNNNNNNNNNNNNNNNNNNNNNNNNNNNNNNNNNNNNNNNNNNNNNNNNNNNNNUGGUACCAUAUUUAUGCCUUUUCUCUCUUAUUUUGCAAGGUUUAUUUUUGAAGAGGGAGAAUUCAGGCAGCUGGAAUUCUCGACUUGAAAAGGAGCAAAUCCUAGUCCACUAUUCUGCACAUCUCCAAAUGCCCUAAAAAGUUACGUGGGUUUUUUCUGGAUUAUAUAAAAAAUAUUGGGCGAAAGAACUACCGGAGGAGGGCUGCCAGGGCGCCACAAGCCCUGACACCGCCACCCCCUGGUGGCGGAGUGGGGGCUUGUGGGCUCCCUGACGGCCCACUAGCCCCCCUCUUUUGCUAUAUGAAGCGUUCUGGUCCAGAAAAAAUCAAGAGGGAGCUUUUUCUUGGUUUCGCCGCCGCCACGAGGCGGAACUUGAGCAGAUCCAAUCUAGAGCUCCGACAGGACGAUCCUGCCGGGGAAACUUCCCUCCCGGAGGGGGGGAAUUGUCGCCAUCGUCAUCACCAACACUCCUCUCGUCAGAGGGGAGGCAUCUUCAUCAACAUCUUCAUCAGCACCAUCUCCUCUCCAAUCCAUUGUUCAUCUCUUGUAACCAAUCUUCGUCUCGCAACUCCGAUUGGUACUUGUAAGGUUGCUAGUAGUGUUGAUUACUCUUUGUAGUUGAUGCUAGUUGGAUUACUUGGUGGAAGAGUUUAUGUUCAGAUCCUUGAUGCUAUUCAUUACACCUNNNNNNNNNNNNNNNNNNNNNNNNNNNNNNNNNNNNNNNNNNNNNNNNNNNNNNNNNNNNNNNNNNNNNNNNNNNNNNNNNNNNNNNNNNNNNNNNNNNNCGUGUUGAUGUUUGUUUCGAGUUUGCCUGUCUCGAUGGAGUUCCGCAAGCGUGUCGGAAUGUGAGGACCCGUUCGACUACGAUGGUUUGCCGACUCCACCGAGUUGUUCUUCUUCCAAGCGGGAUCUCAGGCAAGAUGACCAUUUCCCCAGAUACCAUUACUAUCAUUGCCAUGCUAGUUUUAUCACUUCUAUCGAUUAUGUCUCGUUGCCUACCACAUGUUAAAUAUCAGCCUCUCAACAAUGCCAUGAAACCUUCACCCUGUUCGACCUAGCAAACCACUGAUUGGCUAAGUUACUGCUUGCUUAACCCUGUGUUAGCGUUGCUAGUUGCACGUGCAGAUGCUUCCAUGUGUAAACAUGGGUUCCUUGUUAUAUCACCCUAUUAAAUGCUAUUUAAUUUAAUGCACCUAUAUACUUGGUAAAAGGUGGAAGGCUCGGCCUUUCUAGCCUGGUGGUUUGUUCCACCUUUGCCCCCUUAGUUUCGGCUACCGGUGUUAUGUUCCAUAAAUGAGCGCUCCUAACACGAUCGGGGUUGUUAUGGGGACCCCCUUGAUAAUUCGUUUUAGAUUAAAGCUGGUCUGGCAAGGCCCAACAUUGGUACUACAUUUGCCCAACAUAAUAAGUCUUUUAAUUGAAAUGCAUAGGGAGUUAGCGCUACCCAAGGAGUAAUUCUACAUAAUACAGGGAGGGCCAGUGCUGAUGGUGCUGGUCCAAAACAGAGCACCGUGCGGGGCCACCGCGAGGAAACUCGAGGUUUGGUACUCGUACACUUCGCUUAUCCGUCGUGUCCUGAGAACGAGAUACGCGGCUCCUAUCGGGAUCGUCGACACGUCGGGCGGCCUUGCUGGAUAAGUUUUACCUUUGACGAGAUAUCUUGUGCAUCGGGAUUCUGGUGAUGCUUUGCGUAAUCUCAGAGUUGAGGUUUUCCACUAGGGAAUCCGACGAGAUCGCGAGCUUCGUGAUUGAGGAUUUCUAUGCGGCUUGUGGUAAUUUGUGAUGGACUAGUUGUAGCACCCCUGUAGGGUUAAAUCUUUCGGAAAGCCGUGCCCGCGGUUAUGUGGCAACGUGGAAACUUUGUUUAACACUGCUUCUAAAUAACUUGAAGUUAACUUAAUUAAAAUAUGCCAACUAUGUGCGUAACCGUGACUGUCUCUUUCGUGAGUUCCUUCUCUGAUCGAGGACACGGUGGGGUUAUGUCUGACGUAGGUGGGUGUUCAGGAUCAUUCAUUUGAUCAUCAGUAGUUCACGUCCGUUAUGCGUAGAUCUUCCCCCUCUAAUUCUGGUACUCGUAAGUUUAGCCACCAAAUAUAUGCUUAGCCGCUGCUACAACCUCACCACUUAACCAUACGUCACCCAUUAAGCUUUGCUAGUCUUGAUACCUUUGGAAAUGAGAUUGUUGAGUCCCCUGUGGCUCACAGAUUACUACAACACCAGUUGCAGGUACAGGUAAAGGUUACUUGACGCGAGCGCGUUGAUUGUUCAUUUGGAGUUGCUUCUUCUUCUUCUUCAUCAUCGAUCUAGGAUGGGUUCCAGACCGGCAGCCUGGGAUAGCAAGGAUGGACGUCGUUCUUCUUUUGUCGUUUAUUUUUGUCCGUAGUCGGACCCUGCUCUUACUCUUGAUGAUUAUGUAAUGUACUGAUGUGACUCUGAUGUAGCCUGUGGCGAGUGUAAGCCAAUUCCAUAUAUCUCUUCUUUUCAGUACAUGUACUUGUAACGAUAUCCAUUCUUGCGACACGACGAGAUGCGCUUCUAUCCCUGAUGAGGCCCUCGUGCCAAAUUGAGGAUAGGGUCGCAUCUUGGGCGCGACAAUUUGGUAUCAGAGCAGUACCGACCUAGGAGCCCCCUUGAUUGAUCGAACUUGGCCGAGUCGAGUCUAGUAAAAAAUACUUUGAGUCUAAUUAUAUAUCAAAGAGUAGGAUUCUUUUUUCUCCUCUUCUAUGCUCUGGUGAGGAAUCUUGACGUAAUAUUUUAAUUCUACUCCUCUUCUCACUCAAAAAAAAAAUUAGGAUCACGCGGAUAUUUUUGGAAUCUAUAUGAUGCCGAUGUGACGGAGUUUUGUCUUGGUGCCUCCUAUUUGCUUUAAGUUUCAGGGGAGUUGAGCUCCAGGGGAUUCUUGAGCACAUCGUUAUCAUUCAGAUUUGUUAGUAUCUCAGAAGGAAGGAUGUUCGUAAUUGCUUCAAUACUAGUAGUGGUGAGAUAACCCCGAUGUCCCCAGUACUGGUGCAGAUUGUUCGGGAGUACUGCCAUACUUUGUAUCAUUGUGAUCACGAGGGUCUGUUGUAGAUGAAGGUCCGAGAUUCUGGUCGUGUGUUGACGGAUGUGAUACAAGUGACGGGUUAGUAUAGGAGUUGUGUGAUUAUUACUCCUUGUAUCCCUGUACCAGAUUGCAUGACGAGAUAUUUCGGGAAUUCAUAGGUGGGAAUUCAAGUACUUGCUUAUAGGACAAUCUUCCAACAAAUGCAUGAUGUUAGGUUGGGGUUCGACAUAUAGUGGAUUCCUGUCCACGAAAAUAUCAGACGAAAUCUCUCUCAUGAGUUUGUUCUGGCUUGUUUCAUAAGCCUCAUCCCUUUGUUUUGUUGGAAUAUGGUAAUUCAAGUUUCUUCGAUGUCAAGUGGUGAUUUCAGAUCUUUCCUAAGUGGUGUUCUCAUAUUUUUUAUGAGAGUAUUAAUUCUUUUGUUCGUUCAAUUGUCAUAUCAAUUCUCGUCAACCGGAGUCGUCAUGACAAUUCUUUUCCAACCGGUGUGUUUCUCUUCAAGUGAAUUCAACCCUAUCCAAUUUGCAAGAUCUUUCUCUCAUUUUAUUCCGGAGUUCAUCUCAUCUAGCCCAAGUUGUCUUUGUUUUUCCCCACCCUCCCACCCUUUUUCUUCAGUGAUUCAAUUUUCAUCCAAGAGUUUUCUUUUCAUUGUUGCUUCCGCUAUCUUUUCUUCCAUGUCCUAUCCGGUGAUUCAUUGUGAAGAUUUUCAGGAGCUUCGUGCUCAUCUUUAUUCAAUCUUGUUAUCUUUCCGGUGAAUUCAGUUCAGUUAUUCAUGCUCAUCAUAUCCUUUUCAACCAUUAAAUUCUUUCCAACGUUGGAAAUUCUUUCAGCCUAUGUUGUUAUCAUUUCUUUCUUUUCUGUCCGGAGUGCUGAAGAUAUUUCAGUAGUUUCUCGUUUUCAAUUAUGUAAUUAUUUCGAGGUGCUCAACCUCAUCUAGUUUUCAUUUAUAUCGGUGCAAUAUCUCUCUUUCUAGCAAUCUUUUCAACGAUUGUUUCUUUGAGUGGGCCCAUAACCCACAGGUUUUUCCCAGGAUCUUAUAUGUCUCUUCUAUUUUUCCAGAGGUCUUUAAUUAUUUUCAACUAUGACGUAAGUAUGAAUUUCAUCAAUCAUAUUACUUCUUCAAGAUAUAUUUGAAUUAAUUCUCAUAUUUGGCUCAACCUUUCAUUCUUCUCUAUUCCGGAGUGUCUUAGUAAUUCUUGGUAUUCCCAUUCAAUUGUGAAUUCUUACCGGUGCUUCCUUCAAUUUUGCUUCAAGUGGUGCUUAUCUCUCUGCCUCUUCAAGAUUCAUUUUUAGAAUAAUAAGUGUUAUGCUAAAUCCGUUUCUUGUCAUCAAUUUAAUUUGAUGAAGGAUGAGCAUAACAUAAUUCUUAUUCUUGUUUUUCCUUCUUCCAAGAGAUUUCAAUUCUUCUUCUGGAGUGGCUCUUGAUAUCAAUUCCUUUUCUCAAGUGUUUUUAUCUUUCUUUUCCGGAGUUCCAAGUUGUAUCAAGUUUCUCUCUGUGAGGCUUCAUCUAAAUCUUGGCAAGGUCAUAAUCUUAUUCCUUCUACCUUCGUAUCUUUGCAUCAUUCAUUUGUAUACAGAGGUCCUUCAUGGUGGUUCUUCAAGGUUUCAAUCCUUUAUCAAAUGUUCUUCAAGAUUCUUGUUGGAGAACCUCAAGUAUCCUUUCUCUUGCAUUUAUAUGCGCAAUUGUUCUUCCUUUAUCCUUUGAGGUGGUAUUACAUCAUUCUUGUUAGUGUAGGAGCCUCGGAGAGAUUGCCUUUCAAGAAGGAGAUAAUUAAACCCACCAAUUCUAUGAUCAUGAGAUAUUUGCAACCCAUGGUUUCUUCAUUGAGCUAUCUUGGCUUGGAGUUCAUCUAAAGCUUUUCCUAUGGAUUGUGGCUAUUAUGGUGCUUGUCAUUAAUCCAAGUUCUCAAUGUAUCCUCUUGGUCUAAGAAAUUGUUCACAUCUUGUUUCUCCCAAUAAAUCCUUGUUUCUGUUAGUGGUUGGUUGUCACUUCAUUACUUUGAAAAGCUUUCCAUAAGCCCACUACUAUCUUGUUCUUUUCGUUGUUGUUUUUUCAAAAACUCUGUCCAAUUCUUCUUGCAAGGAUGCUUGCCAAGUUCAUUGGAGUUAGUAGUUGUCAUUCUCUCUUCAUUCUCUUCUUCCGCUUGAGCUAGUUCCUAUUCUAUUGUUCCGGAGGCAUUGUGUUGUAGCUCUUUUGGGUCUGUUAUGUUGUUCUACCAAGAUCAUGGUGUUCCCUUGUUCUAUUUAGUUGUUUGUUAUGAAUAUUGUCUAAUUCUUCCACCUCGUCGAAUUUUUUGUCCCAUUUUCCUACCGAAGUGCUGCCGAAAUUUUCCGUGAAUUCUUGCUUCUUUGUCAUAUCAUUCCUCACCUCUUGCAACCUUCAAGGAUCGUUAGUUUCACUCGUUUGUCAAAGAAGCGACUGAGUUUUACCUCUUGUGCUUUCUCAUCCUCUCCCCCCUUUCAUUCUUGGAUCUCGGGGCGAGAUCCUCUUGUAGUGUAGGAGAGUUGUGACAGCCCUAGACCGACGCCCAGAAGAUUACCCCUUUUAUUUCCGUUUCCGUCGUGUGCUUAUUUUUAUUUGUUGCAUCAUCAUGUAGUUGCAUCAUCGCAUCAUGCAUGGCAUCUUGCAUCGUCUGUCGCGUGUGGUGCUUGGAGUGUUGUGCUUCGAGUGAUCACCGAGUCNNNNNNNNNNNNNNNNNNNNNNNNNNNNNNNNNNNNNNNNNNNNNNNNNNNNNNNNNNNNNNNNNNNNNNNNNNNNNNNNNNNNNNNNNNNNNNNNNNNNNNNNNNNNNNNNNNNNNNNNNNNNNNNNNNNNNNNNNNNNNNNNNNNNNNNNNNNNNNNNNNNNNNNNNNNNNNNNNNNNNNNNNNNNNNNNNNNNNNNNNNNNNNNNNNNNNNNNNNNNNNNNNNNNNNNNNNNNNNNNNNNNNNNNNNNNNNNNNNNNNNNNNNNNNNNNNNNNNNNNNNNNNNNNUCGAGUGAUCACCGAGUCGUAGAGCGAUAGUAGCUCCCCCUCUCUCUCCCUCUUAUUUCAUUUUUUUGGUUUUUGCUUAAGAACAGUUUUAACCCCGUCAAGGGUUCGUUUUCUUCUUUUCAUUAAAAAUCUUUUUAUUAAAUGUGGGGGCAACCCUUGGGUUUUGAUUUUAAUUUUCCUUUUGUUUUAUUUUAAAAUCGUCUCAUUUUAUUUUCUCUUUUAAAAGGCUUUUAUUUUAUCCUUUAAAUAAAAGAGGUUUUAUUUUAUUCUCUUGUCAAAAGGGGUUUAAAUUUUAUUCUUUUGUAAAAGGGUUUUAAUUUAAUUCUUAAGGAAAAGGUCUCAUUUUUUUUUUGUUUAAAAAGCCCAAACUAUUUCUUAUAGUUGGGGUAUUUUUUUUAAAGGAGUAAAAGGCAUUUUUUUAUUUUGUUAAAAACCACUUUUUUCUCUUGUGAUUGUUUCAUGAUUUUUUUUAAAAGAGAGGGGUUGAGAGGGAGCCAGCCAUCCUGCCACGCCCAAGGCCCAGUCCUCCCGUGCUGACCUAGCGAGCCUGCCCGAGACCCCCAUCUCCCCGUGUGUCUCCCUCCUCUGCCUGAUUCCUCCUCCAUCCCCUCUGCCCCGCGACGCAAGCCCCCUGCCGCCGCCUCUCCAUCCUCCCUGUUCCCCUGCCUCGCCCGAGAUCCACGCCGGCCUCCCAUCCGUGCCGCCGCCCCCGCCUGCGAGAUGCCAGUGCCGAGCCCGGCUCGCCCCCGUUUCCCUCGCCUGCCGCAGGAGCUCGACGCCCUGGCCGUCGUGCUCACCGUUCGUCGUGCCCCGUGCUGGCCCGUCCCCGUGCGCCGCCCUCAUCCCCGCCGCCAGUAGCCGGUCACCGCCCGAGGUCCCCGCCGGGGUCAGCCCGUGCUGGGUCGUUCCCGCGCGGCCGCCGCCCGUCGCGAUGCCGUGCUGACCUGCCGCCGUGCUCGGCCCUCGUCGUGGCAUCGCCAUCCCCAGCGCCCUUGGUCCCGAGCCGCCUCCUCCGCCUUGCUGCGUCGCUGCCUCUGCCGUGUGCGGGUUGCUGGUGCCAGUUGCUGUUGCUGCAUUUUAUUUUCCCGCCGAGCUGCCCUGCUGUGGCGUUGCUAAGCUGCUGCUGCUAGCUUGCUGUUGCUGUGCCAUGCUCCUUGCACGUUGCUGCCUACCGUUGCCGUUGUAGUUGUUGCUUGUUGCUGCCGCCUGAUGUUGCUGGUACCUGCUUGCUGUUGCCCGCCGCUAGCUGCUGCUGCGUGCUGUUUGCUGUUGCUGGUACCCGUGCUGCCGCUGAGGCUAGAAGCUGCUGCUAGGUAGUUGCUAGUUGUUGUAGUUGAUGGUUGUUGUUCCUGCUAGCUUGCCGUUAUUUCUUGUUGUUGCCGCGUGAUGUAGGUUGUUUGCUGAGGCAUGCUAGUGGCUAGAUGUUAGUUGCUGCCGCCAGUAGUCGUGGCCUUCGCUCGCCUUUGCUCGUGCUGCCGCUUGCGCCGCCGCGUGCGCCGUUUCCCUCCGCCGUGGAACCGACAAGAUCACAGUGCACAACGACGACCCCGACGACCCCGGAAGUGAGUUCGACUUCCUCGACGUCGCUGAAGACCCGUGACCGACUACCAACGCCGAAGACUGUGAACCACGACGCCGAGUACGACUACCGUCGACGAGACCUGAGUUCCUCGACGACCAUGACUUCCACGACGACCGUUGUUCCCCUUCACCGAACCGCUCCGAUUCGCACACGUCGAAGGUAUACCAAUGAGACGUGGCCGAGAACCGUAUGCAUGUGAUGUAUGAGUUGUAUCGUGUGUAUGCACCGUAUCUUUCCCAUGCACGUUGUCCCUCUUAUGUUGUGCCCGACACAUGGGAACCCGAGAUACGGGAUCACCCCAUCUUAAUUUAACGUUCCCGCACAUGAUCCCUAUUCAUUGGCACGAUAUCUCGUCGAGUUAUCGGGAUAGGAACGUUGUCGUGGCAUCGUAUCCGUCUUNNNNNNNNNNNNNNNNNNNNNNNNNNNNNNNNNNNNNNNNNNNNNNNNNNNNNNNNNNNNNNNNNNNNNNNNNNNNNNNNNNNNNNNNNNNNNNNNNNNNUCCGGCUCCCUCCGGACGUCCGAGCGUCGGACGUCCGACCCCCUUCGGAAAUCCGGAACCUCCCACCAGUAGCAGUUGUGUCGUAUAACUCGGAUUUCCGGCCUCCCGCCGGACGUUUGGUCGUUGUUCAAUUCACAGUAUUUUCAGUGAUAUCUACAGGCCUCGGACGACCGACCCCUGUCGGAUAUCCGACCCCUCGCGGACGCCCGGACUUCCGAAAACUGUCGGACGUCCGGACCCUGUGUGACUUAAAGUGUCCCUAGUAUUUUCAGUGAUAUCUACAGGCCUCGGACGACCGACCCUUGUCGGACGUUCGACCCCUCGCGGACGCCCGGACUUCCGACAACUGUCGGACGUCCGGACCCUGUGUGUCUUAAAGUACCUCCAACGGCUGGAUUUCACUCCACACUAUAAAUACACCCUCCCACUUCGUGAGAGCGUAGCUGUAAUGCCCCAAGUGUAGAACCUACCCCUUUUGGACCUACUUCAUGUGGGACCACCUUGUCAGAGAUUAUGAUGUUAAGUGGGUACCAUGAUUUCAUGUGUGUUCCUUGUUAUUUCCUUCUCAUGCAUGCAUGCAUAGCAUAUCAUAUCAUUUCAUGUGUUAGGUGUUAGGUGUUGGUGCAUGUGGUCAUAUGAUUCCAUGUGGUGUUUUUAAUCUUGUGGUCAUGUAUCUUGUGAUUUCAUGUGUUGAGGCAUAUGUUAUGAUGUGGUGUGAAGUGAUGAGAGGGUGGUGCUUGGCAUCAAUUACAAACCCCCCUUGUGUAGUUCCAAACCUUUUUAUUUAUUCUUUUUCCCAAGUUCAAAUCCUUUUGCUCCUAUGUUGUUAUAAAAAUGUUACACCUUUAGAGCAUUUUAGUUGGUAUGUGGGUAUGAAGCAGAGGGGUUUUUAAACUUAUUUUGUUUGGGGUUUUUCCUUUAUUUUCAGUUUAUUUUAAUCUGAUUGACAAUUAUUUUUAGUGUUAAAAUAUCAUUUUGGUAUUUUAAGAAUUUGGGGCAUAAUUCCCUUGUGCCCAGGAGUAUUUGUUUCUAUUUUUUCUUAGGCCUUAGUUUUUCUUGGGGUUUUAUUUGCUAAGGUGGUGUAUUUAAAUUGGCAAGGGCCAGGCUCCCUCUUCUCUCCCUGGCGUGGUGGCCCAACUCCUCCCUGGCCCAAGCCCCCUCGCGCAGCGCAGCCCACUCGCCGUCCCUCGUCUUCCUCGUGGCGACGUCACGCUGUACGAUCAGCGCUCCACCACUGAUCUCCCUUCCCAUCGAUCUGGUGGCUCCAAGCUCGCCUCCCGAGACGUUAUAAGGAGCCCCCGGUCUUCCUCCUCCUCCGUAGGGUUCCUUCUCCCCCUCCAGUGCGCCGCCACCUUCCCCAUCUCUCUUCCUCCCCGCACGUAAGGUCUGUAGGCUAGCAGCCGAGAGAGAGAGGGACGAGCUCGCCGCGUCUACCUCGCGUACGUCGCCGUCCGGCGAGUCCGCCAUGUCCAGGAGCUCGGGGUUCGGCCCCGCGUUCCAUUCCCGUCGUCGGUAGGGUCGGGGAGCGACCCCAUCGUCGAGCACGAGCUCGCCUUCGCCGCGAACCCGGUGGACUACCUCCUCUUCCUCGGUUCUGCAGAUCAGCAGGAACUACUUCGACUUCUUCUUCCUCUCCGGCCAGCCUCCUCCUGCAGAUCGGCCUCCUACUUCUUCCCUAGGUGAGGACGUCGUCCCCUUCCUUCUUCCUCCCUGGUUCGCCCUAGAUCCGAGAUGGGGUCAUCGUAUUCCUCUCGAGUGUUGUUCGUUAGAGGCCAGCAAGUUCGUGUGCGUGCAUCUUCUCGAUCGGGAUGGUGCGUAGAGAGGUAGCUAUAGCAGGGGAGCUCUCCCCUUCGGAUUGCAACGUCGUGUUGCAGGGGCCCUCCUUCGGUAGCACAGCGUAGCAGCAACAACGCCGGCAAGGGAAACCCGGCAGCCUCUCUGUCGCUGGUGUUCUCUGUAGGCAGAGGGGGUUUUCCUAUUAGCUUACCUGUUUCAGUUCCCCCUUCUGCCAGUAUCCAUGUCGUAGCCCAGUGGUUUGUUCCCUGUAGUGCCUGAUGCAGGUGCUGGGUUCGAUCCCUCCCCGCGGCACUUUUUUUGCUUCUCCGAAUUAUGAGCACAGAAUACUGCAGGAAUGGCCUCAACUUGCAUGAACCCUUCGUUCUGUCGAAUAGUUGACAGUAGCAGAGUGGUAGAGGGUAGUUUGUGGCGUCAGUGGGUUCUGGGUUCGAAUCCCAGGUGCUCCUGAUGUAUUUUUUUGCCAUUUCUUUUAUUUCUAUUUCUUUUGCUUGUCUGACCAUAUUUGUGCCUAACCCAUAGGCAUUAAAGUGGACCAUUUCGAUCCCUUCUCCUGCUGUGCAUAGAUAGAGGCAGGUUCUUUGGUUGUGAUGUGUGUGUGCACACACAUGUGAUAGUGCAAGUGUUGUGUGUAUGUGUUUAUGUGGCUUAAUUGGAAGUGGCUCAUGUGAUCUUGCUAGUGUGUUUGGGUGUGUAGUACUUGCAAGUAUGUGCAUUGUGGAAUAGGUGAGAUGUGUGUGUUGAGGUUAUGUGUGUGUAAGUAGUGCACACAUAUGUGGUACCUAGCAGGAGUGUAUGUAUGUGUGGAUCCAUGUUUACUUGCAUAGAAGUUGUUCCUUCAUGUUGUGCUUGAGAUUAAGUGCUUGUGAUGAGGGUAUUGUGAUGAAAUGUGUGUGUGUGGACCUUCCCCCCCUUUUUGCAAGUUGAACACCUCCUCAUGUUUAAUAUGAGAGAGGGCAUGUUGUGUGUGGGGUUGGAUUGUGAGAAGUAUUGGUGUUGUUGAUGUGCAUGACACAAACAGGGGGUUCAAACCCCCAUGUCACUUUGUCAUUGUGCACAUGAACCCUACCUUUGUAGUUGUUGUCUUAGAAGGGUACUUUAUGGAGUUGCAUAUUCAGAUUUGUAGCAAGUUUGAUCUUUGAUUCCAUGGAAUAGGUGGAGCCCAAGGGCAUGAGUUUUUGUGUGAUAGAAGUAGGGAUUUUGCUCUACACUAUAGUGGUGUCAAUUACCUCUUGGUGUUUUGUGUGUGCAAACUAUGCCUAGACAAAGUGGGCAUGUGGUUGAAAAAUUCCAGAUUAGUGAACUCUGAAAUUUCACUAAGUCUGGGAUUCUGGAAACAUUUUCUUCAUCUAUAGAUGAGGAUGUGCUGGUCAUUCUGUUGAGAACUAGCUUUAUUUCAGUGCUAGGAUUUUGAACCUGGUAUGUUUGUGAAGCUCCCUGUCAAAUUUCAAAUCAUUUGGAGUCCAGUAGCUUGUGUUUUGAUUGCUAUCAAAAAGCUUCAAAACAGAGACAGAAACUCAGGUGCAAGAAUUUUCACUAAGUCCCUGAGAUCUGAUGGUUUUGGGAAAGUUUGUGGCCUUGUAUCUUCUAGAGUUUAAUACCUUCUCAUGCAUGUCAAAAUAUCUUAGUGUACAGUACUGUCCAGAAACUUGCAGUAGUUUAUUUUGCUUGUGAUAGUGAUAGAAAUAGUGGUGCAUGCUCAAUUUUCAUCUCAUGCAUCAUGUGAUUGUUGCAUCUUGUAGUGCUGCUGUUCAUUGGCUGUUAUUCUUAUGUUGCGUAGCACCGGGAUCGGAGAACGAAUACGUGGAGUCAGGAGAGUACGUGCAGGACGAACCAGAACCAUUCCAAGCUGAGGAUAUCACAGGCAAGAUGAUAUGACCUUGAUUCCAUCUCUAGACUUGUUAUGUUAGUUUCGUUUCCAUGUCAUAUUGCUCGCUACCUACCACUGAAAUUAAAUUGCCUCUUCAUAUGCCAUGAGCCCAAACACCGUACUCCUUCCUAGCAAACUUGUGUGGCUAAGUAGGCUUGCUCAGCUACUAAUGUUAGCAUUGCUAGUUGCAGGUGCUUUGCCUCAUGUGAUAACAUGAGCUUGAUAUCAUUAUCUUAAAUUUUGUUAUUUAAUUAAUGCACCUAUAUACUUGGUAAAUAACGGGAGGCCUAGCCUUUUGCCGGGUGCUUUGUUCCAUUAUUGCCGCCUUAGUUACCGGUUACCGGUGUUUGAUUCCAUAAUGAUCGCUCCUAACACGUUCGGGGUUGUUAUGGGGACCCCCUCGAUAAAUCGCAUAGUGCUAAGGCUUGUUCGGCAGGACCCGGCAUUGGUGUUAAUUUGCUAAACAACUUAAUAAUAAUCUGCAUAGGGAGUAGCUACCCCAAGGAUCAUUAAUCAACAACCCGGGCUAGUGCUCCUCAUGAGUGUUGGUCCAAACUGGUCUGCCUGCGGGGCCACCACAAGGAAACUUGAGGUUUGGUAUCUGUAGCUAGUUCCAUCCGUCGUGUCCUGAGACUGAGAUACGCGGCUCUUAUCGGGGUCAUCGACACGUCGGGAGGUCCUGCUAGCCUUACCUUACCUAAGCGGUAUAUCUUGCGUAUAGGAAUCCCAGUGAAGCUUUGGUUUCCCCCAGAGCUGAGGUUUUCCUCUAAGGAAUCCAACGAGAUCACGAGAUUCGUGAUAUAGGAUGCCUUUGCGGCCUGUGUUCGUUUGUGAUGGACUAGUUGGAGCACCCGUGCAGGGUUUAAUCUUUCGGAAAGCCGUGCCCGCGGUUAUAUGGCAACUUGGAAUAUUUUGUUAACAUCCGGUAUUAGAGAACUUAAACAUAAACUAAUAAAAUUGCCAACUGUGUGCGUAACCGUGGCUGUCCCUUCGAAGAUCUCUCUUCGAUCGGGAACACAGUGGGGUUAUGAAUGCCGUAGGUAGGUGUUCAGGAUCACUUACUGAUCAAGUAAUCCCGACCGUUAGCGUAGACCACCUUCACUUCUCUUCUGCGUAAGUUAGCCACUUAUUCAAACAUAGGAUGCAGCACCUGAUACACCUUACCCCUACCUUACCCAAUAACAUGACUAGUUCUGGCACCAAGGUCUUAGAUUGCUGAGUCCCCGUGGCUCACGGAUUCCUCCGAAACUCCCAGCAGGUACAGGUACCCCAGAGACAGAUGAUCCCGAUGGCACCCAGCUGGCGUGGCAGUACGACGAGUAGACAGACCGCCUCUACGUGAACUAUCCAGAGGACUGAGCCGUGGUCGUGAUCGUGGGCCUGCAGCAGGGUAGCAUAGCAUUUUCCAUGUUUUGUAGUCCGUACCGGAACUACCUUGUUUGUAUCUGUGUUGUACUCUGAGUUAUUAAUAAGAAGACGGUUGAAUCCCGAAUUGUCUACUUGUAUUAUUAUUUUGUGCUAUGUUACUUGCUUGCGAAACGCUUAGAUGCGCUUCUUUCCUAUUCGGGGGCCUCGACCCCCAGAUCGGAAAGGACCGCAUCUUGGUCGUUACAGUAGCCCAACACAGCCUUAUUCUCAUAAGAACACAUUUCCACCUCACACACAUUUGCUCACUCCAAAUCUUAGAUCCCAAGAGCAUUUGUGAGCCCCUUUGAGAGUUGUUCCAAUCAAAAGAUAGAUNNNNNNNNNNNNNNNNNNNNNNNNNNNNNNNNNNNNNNNNNNNNNNNNNNNNNNNNNNNNNNNNNNNNNNNNNNNNNNNNNNNNNNNNNNNNNNNNNNNNNNNNNNNNNNNNNNNNNNNNNNNNNNNNNNNNNNNNNNNNNNNNNNNNNNNNNNNNNNNNNNNNNNNNNNNNNNNNNNNNNNNNNNNNNNNNNNNNNNNNNNNNNNNNNNNNNNNNNNNNNNNNNNNNNNNNNNNNNNNNNNNNNNNNNNNNNNNNNNNNNNNNNNNNNNNNNNNNNNNNNNNNNNNNNNNNNNNNNNNNNNNNNNNNNNNNNNNNNNNNNNNNNNNNNNNNNNNNNNNNNNNNNNNNNNNNNNNNNNNNNNNNNNNNNNNNNNNNNNNNNNNNNNNNNNNNNNNNNNNNNNNNNNNNNNNNNNNNNNNNNNNNNNNAGGAAUCAAUCCGUGUGAUUACCCCCCGGAAAAGUUUGUGAGGGUUUGGAAGCCACCUCAAAGGCUUACCACUAGUGGUUGAGAAACGCCUUCGUGGUGUUAUCUCAAAGGGAGAAUAGGGUGAGCCUUCGUGGCGUUGGUGUGCCUUCGUGGUAACAUCCACCUCUCUAACGGUGACUAGCUUCCCUACAAGGAAGUGAACAUCGGGAUACAUCUUCGUCUCAGUGACCUUGGUUAUCCUUAACCCUAACUCCUUACUUGUGGUUUACUUGUGUUAUUUGAGCAUACAUACAUUGCAUAUUGUUUGUGCUCAUUAUAUUGUGUUGGCUAUUUAUUGUACAAGANNNNNNNNNNNNNNNNNNNNNNNNNNNNNNNNNNNNNNNNNNNNNNNNNNNNNNNNNNNNNNNNNNNNNNNNNNNNNNNNNNNNNNNNNNNNNNNNNNNNNNNNNNNNNNNNNNNNNNNNNNNNNNNNNNNNNNNNNNNNNNNNNNNNNNNNNNNNNNNNNNNNNNNNNNNNNNNNNNNNNNNNNNNNNNNNNNNNNNNNNNNNNNNNNNNNNNNNNNNNNNNNNNNNNNNNNNNNNNNNNNNNNNNNNNNNNNNNNNNNNNNNNNNNNNNNNNNNNNNNNNNNNNNNNNNNNNNNNNNNNNNNNNNNNNNNNNNNNNNNNNNNNNNNNNNNNNNNNNNNNNNNNNNNNNNNNNNNNNNNNNNNNNNNNNNNNNNNNNNNNNNNNNNNNNNNNNNNNNNNNNNNNNNNNNNNGUCGUAUAGCUCAAGUAAGUUUGUGUAACUUACUUGUGCUUGUUAGUAACUGUAUUGUGUCCAUCUUUGUAGAUCGUGUUGUUAAUACACGUUCCAGUGCCUAGCGCAUUUAGGAUUUGUGCUUGACAAGUACCCUCUUAGUUUAUUUCCGCAUUAGGUUCAAGCCAAAUCCGAAGAAGUUUUUAAAUAGCCUAUUCACCCCCCCCCCUCUAGGCGUCAUCGAGGUAUUUUCAAAGGUUUUAUCCAAAGAUUAGUCAUAAAGACACAUGGUUGAUCAAGACUAAGUCACAGAGUGAAUCAAGUUGAUCAACACACAAAGCGUACGGGACGUAUCGAGAGGGAUCAAGUGAUCCCAUGGUAUGAUAAGCAUUGUCCAUUAUGCUUUGUGUACUAACCCAUGGUCUUCGUGCGAGUUCUAUGUGGGAUUAGGUGUGUUUCCAUGGGCUUGUGUCAAGAGGAAGAUCUCAUUCAACCCAUGGAAGGUUGCGGUGUGCAAGUUCAAGUGGAGCAUUAUGAAGAGAUCAUGCUUGAAUCUUGCCGUCCAUUGUGGUGGCAAUGUACUUGUGAAGAUGUGCUGAAGAAUGGCUCACCCAUAGUGGAGUAUGGAGGAGCAAUCUACUAGUCUUCAUCGAGCCGGCGCAAUCAAGAAAGGUGGUCCAUCUUCAGGAUGACAACAUCAUCAUCAUCUAGAUCAAGUGCACUAUGUGUAAGGCAAAGGUUUGUCCUUGAUAGGUUUUCUAUUUUAUCGGUCAUCGUGUGUUAGUCGGGAGACCAGGUUAUAGGAUAGAUUGACGUACUAUCAAGGGGGGCUAUCAAGUGAGUAUCUUGGUCGUAUUGUUCGUUGAGAGCUCAAACCAUUGCAUUCUUGGCAUCAUCCUAUUUCUUGGUUGUUGGUUGGCUUUCCUUUAUGUGGGUUUUUGAGCUUACGGUCAUGUUGAUGACAAGCUCGAGUUCAUUGAAAACGGAGUCCAUAUGCAUCUUCUAUGAUGUUUUAGAUGUUGGAGUUUUUGUUGGUUCUUCUUUCAUAGAGGUUUCACAUCUCUAUAUCAUUGGCAUUUUCAUAACUGCAUGUUGGAUAGUACUUGUCGUGUGCUAUUCAACAAGCUUGAGUUUGCUCAGUUUGGAGCUCGUAUGGGAAAGUUAUGGCAGUUUUUGUGGCAAGGCAAUUUUUCUGUGUUAAGCGGAAGUACCCCUAGGAGCGGAGCGGUAGUACCACUCGGGCGGUACUUCCGCCCUCCCCUUUCGUCCCUACUUCCGCUUAGUCCUUAUCUAUAGCAUCAUCGGUGUGUUUCCCCACUUUGAGCGGAAGUACCGCUUGGGGAGGAGCAGUUGUGUCGCUCGAGUGGUACUGUCGCCCUCCCAAUCCCUCCUUACUUUCGCUUAAUUUUUCCUUAUGACAUCUUAGGUCCAUGUUUUCCAUGUUGAGCGGAAGUACCGCUGGGGGCGGAGUGGUAGUACCACCAUGUCGUGUCCAUCUGCUUGUGGUGCCCAGUACUUCCAUGCUAGCGGUAGUACCAGUUUUGCACGAUGAGUGCACAUAACGGUUGGAUUUGGAGAGCACUAUAAAAGGAGGUCUUCUUCCCCAUUUCUCCCCAACCUUUGAGCUCGUGUUCUUCCACUAUUGUUGACCUUCUUCGAGCUUGCUAACUCUCGAUCCCUCCAAUGAUUCUUGCUAGUUCUUGAGGGAAAAGAGAGAGGAGAUCUAGAUCCACAUUUCCACCAAUCACUUUCUCCUCUAUGUGAGGGGAACCCCUUGGAUUUAGAUCUUGGAGUUCUUUGUGAGAUCCUUGUUCUUCCUCUCAUAUUCCUCAAUAGUUUUUGUUGUUGUGGAGGGAUUUGAGUGUGAGGGACUUGACCACUUCAUGUGUUCUUGCCAUUGAUUUAGUUGCAUCGGUUUGAGUUCUCCACAGUGAUAUGUGGAAGUGAAGUUUGAGAAGCUUAUUACUCUUGGGUGUUUGGUACCCUAGAGCUUGUUCUUCUUGGGUGCUUUGGCAUCCUAGAAGCUUGAUGGUGCCUUGGACCUGAAUCAUUGUGGUGUAAAGCUCCGAGAGAGCAUCGGAGUCUCCAAUUACGUUGUGGAGAUUAUUGCCCCGAGCAUUUGAGGUCAUCUCGGAGCCACAAUCCAUUGUGGUGAAGCUUCGUGGUGUUGUUGGGAGCCUCCAAUAAGUUGUAGAGAUUGUCCCAACCUUGUUUGUACGGGUUUGGUGACCACCCUCAAGGGCCCCUUAGUGGAAUCACGACAUCUCGCAUUGUGUGAGGGCGUGAGGAGAUUACGAUGGCCUUAGUGGCUUCUUGGGGAGCAUUGUGUCUCCACACCGCUCCAAACGGAGAUUAGCAUCCGCGCGAGUGUGAACUUCGGGAUACAUCGUCGUCUCUGUGUGCCUCGGUUAGCUCUUCCCCGAGCCCUUUACUUAUGCACAUUGCUUUGUGAUAUCCAUAUUGUUUCCUGUUAUAUAUCUUGCUAUCACUUAGUUGUUUAUCUUGCUUAGCAUAAGUUGUUGGUGCACAUAGGUGAGCUUAGUUGUUUUAGGUUUUGUGCUUGACACACUAAACGUUAGUUUUAUUCUGCAUGUGUCCACGUCCUUUCAGUUUCCCUAUAUCCUCAUGCUCUCAUACAUAUUCUUGCAACUUUUCUUAUCCCCUAUAUCUAGUUUGUUGCAAGUCAUGCUAUCUACAAAAUAUAGGUAAAGUGGUGAUCCUAGUGUGUGUGAUUUGCAUUCCAAAGACAUAUCAAAUUAGUGCACACAUCUAGGGGGGCACGUCUAUAUUUUGUAUAUGGUUGGUUUGCAUAUUAUUCCUUGAUAUAUUUUUUUGGAAAAAGGAGGAUGACCCCCGGCCUCUGCAUCUGGGAGAUGCAUGCAGUCACUUUAUUAAUUAUUCAAAAGAUCUUACAAAGCAAUACAUCAAUAUGUUUGAAGCCACCCUCUUGGCAACAUCUGUCGCUACUCCUAUCCAAUGAUGAAGGGGUGCAGAAAGUGUGAGCCACAUACCGAAAUCUCUCACCUAGCCUAAUAUCUAAAGCGGGAGGCCCAGACCGAGCCACAUAUCGGGUCACGGGCACAAACUGGUCUGACGCACCCUCAUAGGUCAUCGCCGCCGACCUCCAUCAAUCCAUCUUCAGAACAGUUACUGACGCAUUGACCUUUCAAGACCUGCCGUCGAUGCCCCCACGGCGCCAGACAGCGCCUCCUCCCUACGCGCGCUCAUCAUCACGCAUCCGUCGCCGAGACUUUGCUAUGCCUCGCCGCCGAGACUCCACGUCGUCGAUGUGUCACACGGAACGCCGCUCCACUAUAGAUGUCGACCAAUGGUCCCUCGAGCCCGUGUGUACCUCCAUGAAUGACGCCCCCAAGGGGGAAACAACACCAGAGCGUCGCCGUCAUCCGAUCUACUGAUCUAGGGUUUCCCCCGGAGGUAGCACAGAGUGGCCUUGAACUUCUCCUUGGCAAUGCCUUCACGAAGGUAACGAUGUAGACAGCUCCGCCAUCGCCGGCCUUGGCAGUAGACGAAAGCAAGCUUUUACCCAGAUUUGUUCGAAGAACCCAUCUCUCCUGCACGGGCCACCACAUCCUGCGACGUCCCCGGGAGCGGGAUCCCAAGUUCCACCGCCACCGGUGACGCCACAACGACCCACCACCUGGUUGUCAUCCCUGACGAAAGGGAUGGCGCCACCACCUUGUUUAGAUCCAGCAGCACACCAACGCCUCCUGUUGCGCCCAAUCACAUCGGUGAAGGAGGACAGUCAACGCGCGCGCCCACCACUGCUUAGGGCCGUCGAACGGCGCCCGAGCCCAACCACCCGGAGGAGAACCGAUCUGGGCGGGGAACCCUAGAUCCACCGCCGCCAGUCCCCGCAGCGCCGCCGCGAUCCCAUCGGGCCGCCGCCCGAGCUCGCCAACUCCGCCUCCAUGUCGUACACCCACGGGCGCUGUCGCAUCUCAGCUAGAGGAUCCCCUAGUGAAGAAGGGAGGAAGGCCCGUCGUCCAUCGUCCGUCGGGCGAGCUUCGCUCGCCAGCCUCCUCCGACGGCGGCGGGGAAGCAGGGAAGGAGGAAGGUCGAGGGCGGCGGUGGCUAGGGCGCCCAAGUCGCCCCCCUAGAGGCGAUGCGAGCGGUUACCUGGAGGUCCGAUAUGACCUCACUCUAAAGUGCAAAUAUCUUGAUAUCUAUUGUGCAAAUAUCUUAUUGUCGUCAAUUCACCUAAAAGUGGGAGAUUGUUAGGGCAUAUCUCUCUGUAGUUGGUUCUGGUGUUGAUGACAAUGCAUUGUGCGGACUAACCAUGUGCUUCAAGCAUUUCGAAUAUUAUUAUAUAUGGCACAAGACGAUUUUAUUCCCUUCAGAUGAAGAAAGAGCAAAGACGGGUUUUCCGGUGUUUCGUUUGUUUUGAGCUGUAGCAAAACUUUACUAUUAAGAGGAGGUCCCCAUUUCAGCGGAAUCAACACGUACACAAGCCAUAUGCACCCACAGUCCUUCCCAUGGCUUUGGAGCAUCCAACUAUUGUUGCAUUUUCACUUUGUCACACGCCAAGCGGUAGUACCGCUGGUACCCACGGUAGUACCUCCUAUGCGGUACUUCCGUAGGUUUGUACCGUAGCAACUUCCGCUUGGAAAUAUGCAUUAUGUUAAACUUCAUCUGCGCUUCACGGUAGUAUCGCUAGUACCCACGGUAGUACCGCUUAUGCGAUACUUCCGUUGGCUAGUACUACGGCUAAUGUCACUUAGAGUUUUGCUUCUGUUAUCUCCAUCUGCACUUCGCGGUAGUAUCGCUGAUGCAGUACUUCCAUUGAUCAGUACAACAGCUACUACCGCUUGAAGUUUUGCAUUAUGUUAUCUCCUCUAACAGCUUGUGGUAGUUCCGUUGCCAUGAACGGUAGUACCGCUUCAUGCGGUACUUCUGAACUGGUGUCGUGCUGGCUACCGCUAGUUCCUCUGUAGCCCUUCGACUAUUAGCGAUGGUACCGCUCCGACGAAACUUCAUUCCAGUCUUGGUUCACCACCCGUUGGGGUGCAGGAAUUACUUUGCCAAGCAGUAGUACCGGUUGUGCACGACCAUUGCACAUAAUGGUUGGUUUUGUUCCCCCACUAUAAAUAGGCGGUCUUCUUCCCGAACAAGAUUCAUCACGUUUCCCCCAUUGGUCCAUUGUUGCCCAAAACUCAAACUAGCUCGAUCUGCUUCCCUAGCCAUACAAACUUUUUGAUUCUCCAGGGUUUGGUGGAAAAGGCCUCGAUCUACACUUCCACCAAGAGAAAUUUGAUCCCCCACUAGUCCCUUGCGGAUCUUUUUAGGUGUGGGCACCCUAGACGGAAGAGGUCACCUCGAAACCAUAUUCCAUUGACGCGAAGGUCCAGUGGCCGCCUUCAAGUGGACCGCUAGUGAAAUCACGACAUCUUGCAUUGUGCGAGGGCAUGAGGAGAAUACGAUGGAUCUAGUGGCUUCUUGGGAGCAUUGUGCCUCCACACCGCUCCAAGGGAGACGUACCUCAAAAGGAGGGAACUUUAGUAGCACAUCCUCGUCUUCAUCGACUCCACUUGUGGUUACAUCUUACCUUUACUUGGUGCAAGCUUAUAUUGUGUUAUGUCUUGUGCCUGCUAUUGUUGUUAUUGUUGCACUCAUCAUAUAUUGUCCACCUAGUUGCAUAUCUAGACGAUUGAUAUUCUUGUUAAACCUAAUUUGUAAAAAGAAGUUAAAAAAAUAGUCAUUGUCUUUCACCCGUUCCCCCCUAGUCAACCAUACCGAUCCUUUCAUCUGUGCGGAAGCUGAUCGUCACUUUGCCAAUGGUGUCCAUCUCUAGGGUAAUGUGAACCACCACAAGUCAGCCUAAGCAGGCCGGCAAUGGCCCGUGUCGCUACCUCACCCCGGCCCGCCGUCCAGCCCAUAGGCGGAAAGCCUCAUGUGUAAAGAUGCAUCCUUACUUGUAAUAUAGUAUGUAUACCUUACUUGAGUUUCAAGCCAUGUAAACACUUGGACUCUAAUAGCCCUACCCCCCCCCCCCUCCUCCCACUUAUAUAAAAGGAGGUGUAGGGGCCUCCUAAGUUAGCACCUCAUAACCAUAGGAUCCUAGAGAUGUGACCUUCCCUAUGAGAAAAUUCCAAUAUCAAUAAAGAUAAUACAUGCAAGAUGUAGGGCACAUUACUUGAACUUGGAAAAUCGUGUGUCUCGUAUGCAUCCAAUCGGAUCCUCUAUGUGUGUUUGACCUGCUCUCUUUCUCAACCGGCCUACUCACCUCAUCGGGAUAACCUUCAAGGGAUCUAACUGAAUCUCCUCUAGAAAAAGGCGGUACCGUAGUUUGCCAAUUAUGUCAACUUACUUGUAGGGCAAUAUCUACCUUCAAACAAGAAUCCUCUGAAAGAAAUAUAAGAGCGUNNNNNNNNNNNNNNNNNNNNNNNNNNNNNNNNNNNNNNNNNNNNNNNNNNNNNNNNNNNNNNNNNNNNNNNNNNNNNNNNNNNNNNNNNNNNNNNNNNNNNNNNNNNNNNNNNNNNNNNNNNNNNNNNNNNNNNNNNNNNNNNNNNNNNNNNNNNNNNNNNNNNNNNNNNNNNNNNNNNNNNNNNNNNNNNNNNNNNNNNNNNNNNNNNNNNNNNNNNNNNNNNNNNNNNNNNNNNNNNNNNNNNNNNNNNNNNNNNNNNNNNNNNNNNNNNNNNNNNNNNNNNNNNNNNNNNNNNNNNNNNNNNNNNNACGCUCUUAUAUUUCUUUGCAGAGGGAGUAUAGUCGAAGGAAGAAAUUCUUUAGGGAUUUGAAACGUUAUUUUUAAAAAGAUCCAUUCCUCUAAAAGCAUGAGUCACACGACAUGAUUAGACGAGGUCAUGUAGUUCGACUAAUCAUGUCGUCCGCGAAUGAUGGGGUCUACUCAACGGCCACCGUGUACAAGGCUCGUUCCUUGGUUUGACUCUCUCUCCCAUAGGCCACAUGGUUUGGAAGGCUCCCCUCAGUUUAAAUUCUUUGCUUGGUUAUCUCUACAAGACCGUAUUACCUUAUUUGUUUAUCGUUACACGCUUAGACUAUGGAGAUCUAUCAUCAAGAAGAGAGAACAAGAAACAAGGUCUCAUUUGUUUAUCGUUACACGCUUAGACUAUGAAGAUCUAUCAUCAAGAAGCUUAGGCCAUAAGGCCUCAUUUGUUCUUCAAGUAUCGUUACACGCUUAGAUCAAGAAGCUUAGGCCAUAACUCACGUUAACAUCUUGAUGAAUCCAUCACAAGUGAUAGGACAGUUGAACCGAUAACCAGAGUCUAAAUUGGAAUGGACCAUCUGGACCGAACAGAAUGCUAAAGUCAAAACUUUGCUUCACCACUGCUUAUUCUUCUUGCAUCCAUUCUUGAAGAAGCAAAGCUCUGGAUUACUGCCAGCCCAAAAAAACUUCACUAUAUUUUUUUUACUAGUAAUUAUCAUGCUGUUUGCUAGGGGUGUUAUGUAAAACUCUAAACUCUAUUUUCCUCUCAUUUAAUAGAUGAGGGACUCCGUUUUGGAGAAUAAAAUAGUGAAGGCCACAAUUGGUCACAUCCAUGGAACGGAGCAAAUAUUGUUGUAUAUAAAUUGCAGUUUCUUGGAUCUCAAAAAAAGAUUCAGUUCCGUGUGAAAUGUAGUGUAGAACAUGUACGCAUACAUGAUAUAAAUUUCAACACAGUACAAUGAACAGCACUGAACUAAUAAGAAUGUUCUGGACAACUGCAAGUUCCACAAGUUGAAAAGCAAAAUACCAGAUACCAGCAUCAUAGCUUGCAAAUAAAACAUCCUAUAAAUUUAUGCUACUAUAAAAAUCUGGAUUGUCGAUGGAAACUACUUUCCUGUUUAGAUUUUAUGCACCUGAUGCAUAGUUACUUGUUAAUGUUACAAAUGACCGAGUCACAUCCAUGUUUUGAGACCCCUCCCCACCUACCAAAAUGUACCAAGAAUCGCAACAAACGCCAUACCAAACUGAACAAAAAGCAGAACCAGAAAGUUACAUACGAUGAUCAAAGUUAAUGAUGGAAUUGCUUGCUCGCACACCCACAGAUUAACAAGGAAAAUGGCAGCCAAACACCAACAGUUCAGCUCCAAAAUUUGAGCACAGCAAUUGAAUAAACUGGCAUCCCUCCUAAAGCAACAAUCAGAACACAAAGAGAAAAAGGUAGACCACGGAAGUUUCCCCACUUUAGCAUCAUUUGAGACUGUUGAGGUUGUUGCCUUGUCAAUAUGCAGGAGGCCUUCACAUCAACUUCCACAUUCUUCCUGGCAAGCAAAAAUGUUUGCACAACUGGACAACUGAUAAUAUCAAAUCAGACCUGCACAGUAAAACUCAUAAGUAGUCUUUGGUGUUACUGAAACUGCUUCGAGCCUGCAAUGACCUUCGCAGGCUAGCCAAAACCUUUACACUUGACUUCCCAACCAAUUUCAUGCAUAUCCAAUCAAUAAGGAGUGUGAGGCAGCCUGUUAAUGGGAAAGACAGUUCUGGAACAGUUCAGUAAAGGAAGUAACUGCAAACAUUCUUGAUUUGUUGUAUUCUCAUCAAAGCAUCAUUCUAUCAUAUCAACAGCAGCCAAAUUACCAGGUCAGAUAUAUGCUUAAAACAGAUGAAAAAAUAAAAUAGAUGCGGUACAUCGAAACAUGCUCUAACUCACAACAUAAGUAGGUUAGGACAUGGACACGACCAAAUUUGUUACUACCAAAAAUGUGUUGUUCCUAACAAAAUAUACAUAAAUUAUAAUAUAUUUCAUGGCAAAUCUAUACAAACAUUAUGAAAAAAAAUAUUCCAUGGAAAAUCUACUAAUUUAAAUUCGAUAUGACGGCAAUUCUUUCUAUAUUGAUAGUCAAACCUGAAAAGUUUGACUGCCACAAAUCCUACAACUAUUAAUACGAAUGGUCGGAGUAAUUGUUUGGUUGGACGAAACGCACCUAUCAUACUGGCUACUAUAAUUUAUACAAGCUUUAACUUAAUAAACAUUGAGGCCUUGUUUGGUACUAGGGUUUUUGAGGAGAUUGGUGGGGAUAAUCCCCACAGGGAUUGGGUGAAACCCCAACCUUCACCCAAUCGCUUCAAAUCCCCAUUUAUCCCCAAUCCACUAGGUAGGGGUAGCGUAUUGGGUAUUGAGAAAAAUGCACUAGAAUUUAGGGAUUUGUGAGGAAAUGUGGGGAUGAAACAUGUCAAAUACACAGAACCAAAUGGUGUUAUGGGAUAUGUGGGGAUUUAGGGGUUUGACCGGAAUAAUCCCCACUGAUUCCCUAAAAUACACUGGUACCAAACAAGGCCUGAAGGCGGCAACGACGCGGGGAAGCAAAAAAUGCUCUGAAAAAACCAUUGUAUUUGCAUCGUUGACCAGCUUAUACAAGAGAUAAAGCGGAACCAUGUGUUGGCUCAACAGGAGAGGGGGUGAUUAUGAAAUUUGAGGGCAUGCAGCUGGCACCAAAUCCAAAAUUCUCAGCAUUGAUCUGGAACCCACACUGGGAAUGUUAAAUUCAGAUAUGGAACUUGAGAAAUCGCCAGCAUUUAUCUCUUGAACAGUAGAGAUGGACAGCACUAAACGUUUUGAACAAUGAAACAGAUUAUUUCCUCGAUGGGUUGGGAAUGAAAAACAUGUUCUCUUUUAGGAAUUGGAACAUGGAGAUGUGUGUCACUAUGAAAGGCAACUAUAAGAGGAAAUGAUGCAAUCAACCAAUUCUUGUUAGUAGUCUGGUAAAUUAAUGAUGAAGUGCAACUGUUAAGAUGAUCCAAAUUUUCUAAGCCCAUAGAAUCAAAAUUCUGAGAUCUUAUCAAUGCUGGUCCUAUGCUGUGGUUUCCAUAAUCCAUUAGCCAUCUGUAUCAAAUCUACAAGUUAAUCCAGAAAAAACAGAUAGUACUAGUAGCACUCACAUGAUUCAAAAUGGAGCUUCAAGUGACUCGUCCCACACAUCACCACUUCCAUUUGAAGCAUCUUCACCAUCCUCUUCCAUCGACAGCCUGAUAUAUUCCCUAUGGGCGAACCGAUCCCACUCAGUUAGGGUUGGAUUUUCACGCUCCUGCAAUUAAAAAUGAUCCAACCUGUUAACUAAAUAAAUGCAGUGGAUUCAAACAGUUUAUUGCAAAACAGUGAUUACCUGGCGAAUUAGGAACGGAUCACGAGUUUCAAAUGCCAUAAAUUUGUUGAGAUUAAAUAGGAUAUUGAAUAUAUUUCCUGAGAGUUUACACCUUUUUAAGUCCCGCAAUGUAAAAUAUGUCUCAUUCUGCACAAAGAAAAAGUUUUAUGAAAUGCAGUUUAAGGGCAUGACUGAAUGCAUGAACUUUGAAGAGAACAAUGCAAUUCCUCCACAUUGCCUUUGGAUUCCACUGUUCCAGACAGGGGAUAAAAUGAAUUCACAGUUAUAUCCAGGAUGAUGAUACCUCUGGUCCAAUCAUAUCAAUCAUUUGGCAUAGUAUGUCCUCAAAAAGUACAGGUUCCUGUGCCAUGCACUCCAUACGAUGCAACUGCUCCUCAUAGAAAAACUGCAUCUCAUUGGUAGUUAAAAUACCAUUGCCAUCAAGAUCAAUGCACUUAAACCUGUAAAAAGUGUGACACGUUUCAGUACGUGAAAUAACAUAGUUUACCACAAACCAUACAUAAUAUGAGUUGCAGACAUGAUAUAAGCGCCCCAUACCCAUAACUUCAUGUUGGAAAUUUGGAGCAAAAUUGUGUACAAAAAAUCACACAUACUACUCAGAAAAACAUUUCCAUUAAAACGCAAUUGUUGGGACUUCGUUCACCCAUUUGCCAUCAAUGCCUAGAGACCAAAUAGCACAGAAUAGGGACUAUGAUAUUUAAACAUACAUUCGAAGGAUGGAACUGAUCACUUAUUAAAGCAACCCUCAGAUAAUAGAACAGUUACAGGCAAAACACAUCAAAACCGGGAGAACACAAUUACCAGUACUCAAGGCUAGGCUCGGAUGAUUUAUCUUCCUCUGACAAGAUGAAGUAAACAAAAUCCUCAUAACCCAUCUUUCCUUCGGUCAUGCUUGUGAAUUUCCUUGGGACCUUAGUUGGAGAAAAACCAAUGUAAGUGCACAGUAACCAACAUGAAUGCAAUCCAGCAUCUCAGCUGCCCAAUAUGAACCUGUAAUGGACUAACCUGUGAAAAGACUCUAUCAACUAUUCUAUAGGUCAAUGAAUGAUUUCCAUAUCUGAUAAGGUUCUCUUUGUCAAUCAAGAAAUCAUGAUCUGUGUCCAGCUCCCAAAAUUUGCAGUAGAUUACAUAAAAAUGCUCAUAUGAGAAAUAUCUGCAUCAGAUACAACAAAGUUACAAACUUAAAAAAAAUGUAAAAUAUUCUGUGUUUGCAACAUAUAGUAGGAUCAACUGAAGCCAUAGAAUUCCUGUGAGCCAUCACAACAACAUAAUGAAGGAGCUCAUGAAAGAACACAAUUCGUAAGGAGCUAAGAGCCAGUUCUUUUGUGGCUUAUUUGGGGCUGUGGAAAUAAGUUGCCCUCUACCCAGCUUAUUCUAGUAGCCCGACCUAAAAUUUUAUUUUAUAUGCCUAAUUAAGGGUUAACUAGUAGGCUUCUAAAAUAAAACUUUAAGUUAGGCUUUUAGAAUAAGCUGGGUAGGGGCAGCCUAUUUUCACAGCCCUAAAUAAGCCACAAAAGAACUGGCCCUAAAAAGCAUGUAACGGAAACCAUACUCUACUGAGAGAUCUUAGGAAAUAGAAAUAUACAUGCACAGAAGGGCAUCGAAGGAAUUUGUACAAUUCCAUACAUGAAUUACCUCAGUAUUUUGUUGAUAUCCUCUUCCUCAUCAAGUUGUUGCAUUGCAGCUACUAAAUUCCCACGUUUUAGCUCUCUGAGGGUAAGAUGACCAUUUCCAGAUCUAUUUAUGGAGUAGAAGAUUCUGUAUAUUACAGUCUCAGCUGAAAAACACAUUAAAACAUAAUAAGCAGAUGAAUGAGAUGCAGCAAAUUACCAGCAUUAGUUUGGUAUAUCCAUUCAUCACAAAAUCAAAAAGUAGUGUUAUUACUGACAAAAAAAAAGGUAUGCUCUACCUGCAAGUAACAGCUUGUCCUUGCAUAGCAAAAUCAUUUUCCUAUGUUACUGAAUACAAGAUAAUAACAGAUUGUUUCUUAAGGAAACAAAUACAAGUUCUUCAGAUAGACAGAAAGACAGACCAUAUUUUAGAUGUUAAUACAAAGAGUUCCGUAUCAACAAGUCUAUUGUAAAACAGACAAAUAUUGCAACAUUUAUACUCCCUCCGUACCACAAUAUAUGACGUUUUAGCNNNNNNNNNNNNNNNNNNNNNNNNNNNNNNNNNNNNNNNNNNNNNNNNNNNNNNNNNNNNNNNNNNNNNNNNNNNNNNNNNNNNNNNNNNNNNNNNNNNNNNNNNNNNNNNNNNNNNNNNNNNNNNNNNNNNNNNNNNNNNNNNNNNNNNNNNNNNNNNNNNNNNNNNNNNNNNNNNNNNNNNNNNNNNNNNNNNNNNNNNNNNNNNNNNNNNNNNNNNNNNNNNNNNNNNNNNNNNNNNNNNNNNNNNNNNNNNNNNNNNNNNNNNNNNNNNNNNNNNNNNNNNNNNNNNNNNNNNNNNNNNNNNNNNNNNNNNNNNNNNNNNNNNNNNNNNNNNNNNNNNNNNNNNNNNNNNNNNNNNNNNNNNNNNNNNNNNNNGCUAAAACGUCAUAUAUUAUGGGAUAGAGGUAGUAGAAGAUAAUAAAAGAGCCACACUUACGAUUCUUAACAUACAGAAAGACCAUGUUUUAGAUGUUGAUACGAAGAGUUCCAAAUGACGAUAUGUUUAUUGUGGAACACACUAGAAUUUCUAUAAUCAUACCUUGAGAUAGCAAACCCAUUCAGGUCUAACUUUCUAAUACCAAAGUGCGGGGGUGUCAGUCUACAACUGGGUACAGGACUUCUGUACUAACAUCUCAGGCUCAAUUUAAUUCUCAACGGAGGCCACCGCAAGCGCCGGUGCAUAGCGGACGGAUAAAGCGUGCUGAGAAUGUUAAGAGGGGUCGUGGUAGACCAAACUUGACAUGGGAGGAGUCCGUUAAGAGAGACCUGAAGGUUUGGAAUAUCGACAAAGACUUAGCCAUGGACAGGGGUGCGUGGAAGUUAGCUAUCCACGUUCCAGAGCCAUGACUUUGCUUCGAGAUCUUAUGGGUUUCAACUCUAGCCUACCCCAACUUGUUUGGGACUGAAAGGCUUGGUUGUUGUUGUUGUUGUUGUUGCGCAAUCAGAACUAUGAAGGAAUCAAUGCCUUAUUUUAUUUCCGUGUUAGGCCCUGUUAAUAAAUUAUAUUCCAUCUCUUUGACAUACACAGCUAAAAACGGGAUCUGUCUCAUUACUCAUUAGAUGCGGAGAACAUGACCAAAAAGGCUCAUAGAAAAAACAUAACAAGAAUUCGCAAAAGAAACCACUCUGCUAGGGAUCAUUUCUUCAUAUAAGAUACUAUCGUCAUUGGUUUUUGAAAGAACAGAUGACCCAGAAUGCACAUCUAAUGCACAAAUAUACAAAGAAUACUGGUGGUAGAGAUAACUACUAGGCGAGUUGAAUAACACAUAAUAGCAAUUACCGUAUCUGUCCUGAAACUCGGGAGUGCCUUGUAAAAACUCUAAACCUGGGUGAGUUGCCAGGAGUUCUUUUAGAACAGGCUUAAAAUCCUCCUGCGCAAAUUAUGGAGAAUUAGUGUUCCCUUCAAGAAAACAAACAGUAAUAUAGAAUCAUCAUCUUGUCCAGUUGGAGUCAUAUAUACAUGUCUACCAAGACCAAAACGAGGAAAGAAAUGCUGACCUGAGUGAGAUAACUGUAACCUGGCUUUCUUAAUAUUUCAAAUAUCUGGCUAGCUGUGUCCAUUGUUAUCUUAUUGUCAUUAAACCAGUAAUCGAUAAAUGCAUCCCUGAGUUUAAAUAAGAGAACACCCAUGUCAGAACUGAAAUAUAAAAUGUCGGUGUUAAUCAAGAACUGAAAUUGACAUCAAAACUGUGCAGCCAAAAUGCAACUACCGAUUGAGACAUGGCAUUCCAUAACAAUUGUUAAGUACACAUGAGACCAUGAAACACCAAAGAUGUGUUUGAUUAAAUGUUAUGUCACAAACGCUCUUAUAUUAUGGGACGAAGGGAGUACUAUCAUAGGGGGGGUGCAAUAAAUGAAACCUGACAUCCUAGUCCAUGCACACUGGAUGAAGAGGAAAACAGUGCCUAAGUAUUAUUAUAGCAAGGAUAAUGCAUUGGUGGAUAACCAUAUAUGAAGCAGGGUUAAAAAACAAGAUGAGCAAUUUCUGCUUGCUUCUGGUCUGCUUAAUUACACUGGACAAGGUAGUGUGUUUGUUCAACCUUGCACUAUAGUAGUUUGCAUUACUUAUCUCUCAAAAGCAGGAACGAUAACUAAGAUUUCUCAGAUUUCCAACACUGGUUGCGCAAUCAAAUGCUAAUUUUAAUAUCAAGUCAAAAUAUCUCAAAGAUUUCUCAGCACUUGAAACAGGUUAAUAUUCCAUAAUGAACUCAUGUUUGACCAAAUUUUGGCUACAGUUGGUAAGUCCCGUGUGCUAGCUGCAUGAAGUAUUUGUCAGUGCCCUCAAAAUAUGAUGGAACAACUAAGAUUCACUAUAUCAAAAUAUAGACCAACACUAGUGUAGCCAUGUGAGGUAUUGAAUAAACAGUGCACCUUGUUACAGUUCCAGAGCAAGCGGCGUCAAUCUUCUUGAAAAGAACACCAGAGAGGUACGAUGGCAACUUGCAUAUGUCUUUUAUAACUGGUCUGAAUUCUGAUAUGUGCAAAUAAGACGUUCGAAGUUAAGAAUGCAUUUCAAUGUGGACAAAACAAAUGAAAUCCUCAAAUAAGGUCACCUUGAAUCUGGAGCCCCUCCCCAGCAAAAAAAAGGUGAUCUAGUCUAGACAAACACUGCUCCCUCAAAUCUUUUGGUGGAGGGCGCCCAUGUUUGAAGUAAAACUGCAAACAUAUUAAAUACAGAACUAAGACUAACAAGCAAGACGCUUACAUAGUUAUAGUAGGAACAAAUAUACGUGAACAAUAACAAGCACAAAUGGGAAGCACCUGAGGUAUAACUUCUCUCACAGGUUCACUGACUAAUUUUAGAGGAGAUCCCAAGGACGAUGGUCCAGCACUAGAACCUCGUCUCAUAACACGGGGAGAGCCAGCUGUGCUCCUAGGAGAGAGUGGGGGGGCACUACCAGCAGGGAACAUUGACGGCAAAGAACUACUUGAAGCGGCAUUUGUGCUAGCAGAGCUCCCAGCAACAUUCAGUGUGGCACCGGCUUUUGCGUCUUCAAUCAAAGAUUUCACCUAGUAGUGAAGAAACCAAAUAUUAUAAGGAAUGGUACAUCCAACAGAAGUAUGUUGUAGAAACAAAUUUAUUGCUUAUUUACAAAACAAUGUCCAAUGCUUCUAAUUUACAAAAACAGUAGCAUCCAACUCCACAGAAUCAGUCAAUCAGAUAUAGAAAGGCUUAUAAUGACGAAGAAAGCAAAGUGUAUAAAACAUCAUGCUGUCACUUCAACAGAUAUCUAAGGAUAACAAAAACAGAAGAGCAAUCAAGCAGCACCAUUAAAGGCUUAUAAUGAUACAUAUAUGUAGAACCUAGCAGUAAGCACAGAUAAAUACUUCUCACCAAAUUACAAUGUGUUACUAAUAAAUUUAACUAACAAUGAUUUGUAUUCGUAUGCAUCACAUAGAAGGUAAACUCAGUGGCCAUUGAGUUCUAAUUAUAGGUGUACCACCUUAAGAAGUUAAGAGAUGUAAGAUAACAGAGUAGCCAAAGCCAAGAAAAGAGCACAUAACAAAAUUAGAAGUUCUAGUGCCUCGGAAGCCUAUUGUCACAGUUCCAAGUACAGUUGCACCACCUGUAAUUUUGAGAGUUUGACCGCUAUGCUUUAUUAGUUGGACUAGACUUGUCUAAAUCUUACAAAAAAAUCUUGGACUAAUCUGUUCAAUAUCUACCAAUACGGUUCCAAUAUUACACUUGCUGAUACAAGCACACAAGUCUUUUUUUUAAGUUAGCAGCAGUGCUGCUAGGAUUCCAUUAAGAAGAAGGUACCGAUGGCAAGUACAGAAUGGCCCAAGGACCCAAGAAACAACGAACUCGAAAAAAAAACACUAAAAGAGUGUAGCUGCAAGAUACGCGGCUACAAGAAACUAGUGAGCUCAAACUUUAUUUAAUGUCCCGUUAAUGAAGUAUAGAACAAACGUCAACAUACGUUCCAUAUUCCCAGAAGAGUGAGCUAUUUCAAGCAUAUACCAUAUAUACAGACAGGUUAAAAUUUGAAACAUCUGCUAUGUUGCUAUAUAUAUUAAGCAAUGCCUGAAAUACAAGAUGUAAGAAGCCAGCCCAUAUAGUAGAUCUAUAUUGUCCAAAUAAUCACACGUUAAAAAUCAAACAUAUCCCAAUACAUAUAUAGCACUACAUAGUAGUAACGGCAGCCUGGGGAGCCAGGAAUCCAGUCAAAUAAUCACACAUGGAAAAUCAAACAUAUCCAAUACAUGUAUAGCACUGCAUAGUUAUCACGGCAGCUUAGGGAGCGAGGAACCCCAUAUCGGUGACACUAGACAGUACCUUAGCUUAACCUAAUUAGCGCAUUACAACAUAUAUAACAAGGCGGAAAUGGAGAAUACAUGUCCCACUAGCCACUUGGUCCAAAACAUCAUCUGAAGACAAAAGAAUAUCAAAGCAUCCACUACCUACUCACAUGCUCAAUUGCCAACAGCAAAGCAGAGGGCGACGGAGCUAACAAGUGAGAUGCACAACAAGCAGCAGAGAAAACCAGCAAGAUGAAGGAGCUAAGAAAGCCCAAUGAGAGCUGUGUAUUCGCGAAGCGACAACACUGAGCGGGGAGGUGACGAUGCACGGUAGUUUUGAACUACAAAAGGCUAACGAUGAGGGGCGGUGGAGUCCCUGUGCCUCCUGGACUACUGCCAGUCAAGGCGAGCAGUUAUGUCAUCUGCUGACCUAUUUGAUAACAUGUUGUUUCCCGCAAAAAAGGUAGCAUGUCGUUGACUACUACGCUAUGCCCAACCAUAACACUCAAGACAACAUUCAACAUAACAAAGCAGAGAAAACAACGAAAUGUUAGUAGCAUCAUUUGGGAGAACAACAAUAAACACUGGAGUGGUAAAGCCUUGAGACCGUGUUAACACUACAGGUAACACCGCACACGAUAUUGUCAGCAUGAGUUCUUUUUUCUAAGGUUUCAUGUGUUUGACCAGCAAAGUAGGCAUCCCAUCAACAAGAGCUAUAUAUUCUAUGCUGCAUUAUAUCUACUGCUCUGCACAGGUAUGCAUCAAAUUAGCAGCCAAAAAGAGCUCAACAAAAUAUGCACCCCAAACAACAAUUAAACCUUCUCACAUGGAACCAGACAAUUCAAGCCAGAUCUCUAGCACAGUGCACCACUGCGAGAAUGUCCUAAGAAGAGUGAACUAUCAUUUUAAGUGAGCAUCGGCUCGAAGUAUAACACAAAUUGUUGUAGCAUAAAACAAAUAUCUUGAUAGCACUAGAUUUCAGUACAGCAUUCGAGUCCACGUCUCCUGAAAUCCAUCAUUCUUCUAAACACAUGCAACAUUGAUUAUCAUACCAACAUUCCUUUAUCUUUAAUAUAAUGAUAAAGCUGAUGAAUACGGUGAGGGCUCGUCUCAAAAACCAAUAGUAAGCACAUCAGUUCAAGAAGCCAAAAUUAGUACAGAUGGUACAUAUUCAUUCACGGCAACUGAGGAGCAGAAAGUAAGCUCCCCGAAGAAGCAGGCCAAGUACAUAUUUGCGCAAAAAUUACUACAAUCACACUCUCCCACAGAACCUUAGCCUUUGAUGUACCAGACCUCAUCGCUUUCUAUCCUCGGCUUAAGCUAGCACUCGUAAUACGAACAUGACAAUCUAAACCCAUGCAGAUCACUGCAGCAUAAGACGCCACCAAGGCAGAGCAUUCUAACAAACAUUUUUCAAGAGUUCCAACACGAGAUCACAAAAGGCCACGCAAAAUCAACGGACGAACCACGACAAUAUAGGAGCACCUCCAAAGGAGCAGGCGAAGGCAACAGGACGCGUGAGAGGUUACCAGCUUGGACGACUCAGGCAGCACGAGCCACUGGAAAUAGAGUGCCUCGGCUAUGCUUGAGUUCUCCCGGAGAGCGCCCGGCGCGAGCUCCGGCAGCUGCAGCAACUCCGGGUCAAGAGCCGACGCAUCCCUCCUCGCCGCUUCCACCUCCAUGCCGUCAACACCCUAGUGCCCUUCUCAUGCACCAAGCAAGGCCCCGAACCCUAGAUCUGUUCCCCGCGAGCGCGUCCAGAGGCUGGAGGACGCGGUGGCGCGGUGGCGCGGCGUGGGGUGAGUGACGAAUCGGGACUCGGCGGGGUUGGCGGCAGGCGGCUUAGGAGGAUCGGGGGUCGCCGGCGUCGAGAUCUGAGGCGAGGGCCGGGGGCGGGUGGAGGCGAAACCCUAGGCCG